rnacentral:lncRNA from 1 species
UUUGUUCAAUUCCCGAGAACCCUUGAGAAAACAAGCGGGUACUCGACGGGGAGCAAAAAUCAGGGAUUAAUCUAGGCUGAGAAGAAACAGAAGGAUGAGGAGGAGAAGGAGAAGAAGAAGGAGAAAAGGAGGAGGAGGUUGAAAUAGCACUUUUCAUAAAAGGUUGAAGUGCUUUCAUUAAUUCUUCGCUAAAAGGAUCCGAAUAGUAAACCGGCGUUGAGGUUCCACCGUAAACAUCUAUAACUGCUGCCAUGUGAAUUGUGAAAAGAAACUUACAAAACUAGCAAAACAAAGUGUUAAAAGAUCCCAAGAAAACAAAAUUAUAGUUCAAGAGAAGGAGAAGAAAAACAAGUUUGUUUCUACAAUCAACUUGAGGGACUUAAAAAAAAACACCCUCAAAGCCGAUAAAAACAGAAAAUAUUCACCAAAGAAACAGAGAAAUCUGGAUCUCUAUUCAGAAUCACCUGAGUUCAAAGAAGCAGCCUUCUGGGUGUAGAACAACAGAAAAUGCAAAAUUGAAAAAUUACAAAGACAGAGGAUGAUGACAGAAAGGGAACUCAAAGAAACGGGGAAAUCAGAGAAGGGGGGGAAAUGGAAGAAGUUGAAAAGAAGAGAAUAAUUGCAGAGUAAAAAGAAAGAAAAAGAGGAGAGAAAAUAGUAAUCCCUGUUUUGGGUGUAUGAGCGUAGAAUGAAAUCUGGGCUUGAAAAGAGAGGUAGGUUUGAGAGUGUAUAUAUAAGACCAAAAAUGGCCGUCUCUCUCACAAAAGAGCCACCAGUUUUGUGACUCAAAGACCGCAUUUUGCUCCGGGAAGUUAUCUCGUCAACUUCAAGAUAACAUAAUUCGAGGUGGGAUUCCCAAUGAAGUGAUGCCACGUAAGCAACUUAACACGUGGAGGUGGGGGAAUAGCAUUGGCCCACUUCGUGAAAUAUUCAGUUUAAUUGCAUUUUGUACAGACCAUAGUGGUUUGGUUUGGUUUGGUUUGGUUUGGCACGCGCAGCCAUGUCUUUUUCUUUAUUCCUUAUCCUUUCGAAUCAAUUUUGAUCAUCCCACCAUACAUCGCCCCUCCUCUCCUUCCAAUUUCUAUUUUAUAAUCAUAAUAUAUAUCCCAAUUUCUCUACUACACCUAUAACAUUUUUACAAUUUUGAUAUUUAUUGAUUGAAGACAAACUACAGGUGUUGACCUAAAAUCAAGUGACCAAAGGCUUGGUUUUCCAGAAUAAAUAAUGAAGUUUUCAGAUAUAAAACUAAUAAAUCCAAAAUGAUGUUCCACUCUAAUAUAUUUAAUUAAGGAGCAGAUGUGUUUAAAAUAGAAUAUAUUGUAUACGCGUGUGAUUAUUCACUCUGAUUAAAAUAAUAUUCACUUACAAGUUAAACGAUGAAUUCAGAAUCCAAAGCUAUAAAGUAAACACAAAUGGGUCACUAAUAAAUAAAUAGGACCAUUUUACUGCAUUCUUAGCAUGAUCAUAUAUGUCUGUAUAUAUAUAUAUAUAUAUUUGGUAUUUGAUUCUAUAUUAUAUUCCACAAACUAUUCUUGUAAAAUAUCACAUAUAACUAAUCCUUCCAUUUCAAUUUAAUUAUAAAAAGGUUAAAUAUUUUAUUUAUUUUAGGAAUAUCACUUUAGAAUUAUGUCGUAUAAAAGAUUCAAACAUUCAAUAGGAAUACAUUCACUAAACUCUAUUUUUUAAGUCCACUCUUAUAAAAGCAAUAUAUUAAACCAUUAAUAUCUGAGAUGGAAAAUAUUUUCCCCAAAAGUUCAUUUCCUUUUAAUUUUCUUGGAAGAAACUGACGAUAUUACUCACCCUAAACCUAAUAUUGAAAUAUAAUUUAAUUGAGGAAUUGAAUUUGAAAUCUUUGUUAUCGGUAUUAGCAUGUUAGAAUUAUGAAUCAAUCUUAUUUAUUGUUAUUGUCAUUGUUACCAUUAUCCUACAUUAUCGAUAACAAUAACAAUGGAUAAAUAUGAUAGAUUAUAAUUAACAACAAUAACAAUGAUAAUGAUAACAAUAAAUGUGAUAAAUUUACGAUUGAUUUUUCAAAAAAAAUUAUUAGGAUUAUACUACUUUUUCAUUACAUUUUGGUAACACUAUCACGUUACAUACAUAAAUGAAAAUGAGAGAUUCAUAUAAACAUAAGUAACAAAUAGCAUUGGUGGAAUGGUGGGGAUGUGAAUAAAAACAAAGGAGAAAGUGACAGAAUGGUCAAUUGCGGCGCCAUACAUUUCAAAGUAAGAGUUGGGGGAUGAAUGCUUUUUUCUUUUUUCUUCUUUUAUCAUUUUUUUUAUAUUUAUUUUAAAAGAAAGUAAAGCUUCAAAAAAAAUAAAAGAAAAAGAAAAUAGAAUAAUAGAAUAAUAAAAAAAUAAAAAGGGAGGAAUUAUGAUAGUUGAAUGCAAUUAAGAAUUAGUAAAUUGGUGAAUGAAAGAGUGAAUAUUGAAGGGGAAAGGGGUGGGGGGCUCCUACGCAUUCACCAAGAGCCAAGUUGGGAUGUUCACGCAAACCAAUGACCUUUCCCACUUCUUAACCAUGGUUAAAUAUCGUGGGUUUAGAGAGAGAGAGAGAGGAAUCGGAAUCCAAACGCGUGGAGAGCAUGCAGUUACCACGGAGCGUUGCCUUUUGUCUCAACUGUUGGCGUAAAGACGAAGCGAAUGCCAAAACACAAAAACACACAUCACCAUAUGCCAAAUGGCAAGUGGGGCCUCCCAUUCCUACGUGGGAUUUGCCAACUCAAACGCGCUUUCCUUCCCUUCCCUUCCCUUUCCAUUCUCCGAUUCUUUCCUUUUUCUUUUCAUUUUUACAAAUCUAUAUUAACUUAAGCUUCUCAUUAUAUUUGAUUUCAUUUUCACCCAUCAAUUCUUAACUCUAAAUAAUUCCAAUUUGCUUUACAUAUUUUCUUUCCAACAUAUGAUUCCAUUCCAUCUAUACCAUUAUACUCCUACUUCCUAUAUAUAUAUAUAUAUAUAUAUAAAUCUCUCCAUGUUUAUAACUAUUAAAUUCAUAAAACCAAAAUAUAAAUAUGUGAAUAUACACAGUACAUAAGUAUAGGAAUUAAAAUAUCACUCUAUUUUAAGAUUCUUUCUUUUAGUAUUUUAACAUUCAAUUUGUUUUACUUACAAAUUACCUUUUUUUUCUCUCGCUCCUUCUGUUCUAAAUCUCUUUAGGCAUGAUGCAUGCCAUAUAAGAUUAUCAUCCAUCUAUUUUAGCAUUCAUGAGAAAAAAAGGAAUUACAAAGUUUACAUUGUAAAAUUUUGAAGAAAAAAAAAAUACAAAGUAAACUGAAAAAUAACUAACUAUUAAAUCAUAGAACAUAUAUUUAGUGGAGCUCAUUAUGAAAAUAGAGUAUAGUGUUUGAAAAUAGACAUUUAUAGACUAACUAAGAUCCAAUGCUUAGAUUAUAAGUAACAAGUGUUUGAAAAUACAAAUUUAAUAGUUUUUCUUGUCUUUAAAGUUUAAAUUAAACCCUAAACCAAGCAUUAUUGGUAAUAUUUAAUAAUUGGUAUUUGGUAUGCCACAAGAAGAGAGAUGGUUUGACCUUUAUCUCAAAAAAGGAAUACACACAUUGUCAACCUAAAAGAGGGGUCCAACCAUUAUAAACCCACUACCAAUGCCUCUUUUUGCAUGCAACGACUAUCAGCAUUACAAUAUCUAUUUUUAUUGGAAAACAUUAAACAAAAAUUAACUUUUCAAUAUUUUUUUUUUCUUAAUGGAAAAUGGAAAAGGGAAAAAAUGUCCUUGAUGUCUAAGUUCACUAAUAUUAACUUACAUGCAUCAAAACUCCCCCUAUUUUCGUACUUUCUUAUUGUCACAAUGCAAUCCGUGAAAAAGAAAAGAAAAAUAUGAUUAUUGAGUUAACACGAAAUUGAAAUCAAAAUUAAGAAAAUUUAACUGACAUAAAACUUAAAUUAGAUCGUAUUAUAUAUUUUACAUGAGUUGGAGGGUGAAAGGAAACUUCCUCCUCUUUGACAUUAGGACUUUUAUAAUCAAAAUGUACACAACUCAUUCAUAUUGACUUUCUUUAUUAUAUUAUGCACAAAUUUCUUCUCUUCUUUUAUAAAUUUUCCACCAAAACAGUGGGAAACUGGUGAACUAAGUAAUUAAUGGAAUGCACUAAUUAAUUGGAUUUCCCAUAUACAAUAAACAAUAAAUUAUUCCCAACUUUCUUUUCAUUGUGUUAGUAACAACUACAAAGAGGUUAUUAAAAUAAUCAAACUUAAAUCUGUUAAAGAAGCAACAUUAUCGUUAGAAAAACACAAAAUAUAAAUAAACAUUCAUUGCCAAAUUUAAAUAUAAAGAGAGGAGGGUUCAUUACUCCCUCUUUUGUGUUUGUAUCUAUUUAAUUUUUUAAAAGUUUUUAUUUUGUGGUUUUACAAUUUAAGAAGUGUCCAAUAUAUUCAUGAACUUUUAAUUGUGUGUCAAGUAGGUUCUUUAACUUUAAAUACUAACAAAUUAUUGAACAACUUGAUGUUUUGAACAUUCACAAACCCUAUGAAACACAAUUUAAAGUUCAACAAGACAAAUUUCAAUUUCAUAACUAAUAAAUCAAAUUUUAACUUUUAUUAAAUACAAAAUUGAAAGCUCUAACUACUUCAAACAUUUUUAGAGAUUAAGGAUACAAAUCUAAAAGUUGAGGCUAAACUUCUAAUUUAACCUACUACUACUCAAAAUAAUGACACCCACCAAACACAUUAAAUAACUUUAGACUUACUCUAAAAGAUCAAGUAGUGGUUGAAAAUGGUGCACACAAUAUAUUUUAUUUUUUUAAAAAAAAUCAAAACUAAUGACCAAAAUAACUAAAGGAUUUUUUUAGAACUUAGAUGAAUAUAAGAAAAAAGAUUCAAAAGAUUCCAACUGAUUGAUAAUACAUAAAUUGAGGAAAGAAAUUGCUCAAUUUCAAACUUCAAACUAGAAAAUGCAAAAAAGUUUCAAAAGGUCUUGUUAAUAUACAAAAUAGCUGGAUUAAUUGAAUAGAAAAAGGGAUUAGAGAGUACAGGACAAAAAAUGAAGCUAAUAAAAUUGGUGGAUAUUAGGAUUCAGUCAAAUUAAAGAUAUUAAACAAAAGGGAAUGAACAAAACCAAAAGGCAAUUAAAAAUAGAGGUGCACCUGAACAUAUGAAGCACCAACGAAGCACUCGCAAUGAGCGUUAAGGGUAAUUAAAGUAUUAAACAUGAUGAAGGUUUUUGUGCUAAAGAAGUCAUGGAAUUGGAGAAGAGAAUGGAAGAGGAUAACAUAAAGAAUUCCUAAGUUGACAUUGAUUAAAAAAAAGGUCAACCUGAUGUAUUGCAAUAAUAACGAGGCAUCAACCAACCACUAUGUGGUUGAUAAAAAAAAAAAGAAUGUGGAUUGUGGAGCACAUAUAAUUAAGAAGAUGCAAAUGCCGGCUUACUCUGCUUCGCAUCUCUUUCUCAAGGCUUCCACAACCACAACCACAGCCACAACAUUUCAUUAUUUAUUUGAUAAUGUAAAAUAUUUACAUAUAACUUAUAUAUAUAGUUCAAGCAUGGAUUGAAACGAUAAGUUCUUUUUAUGUUUUGAAACGCUUGCAAAAACUACUGUGAAAAAGUUUAAUAAAAAAGAGUUCGAAAGAAAUAACUUUUUUGAACAGACAAUUCAUUUCAGUCAGCCAUGUAACUGUAUUUGACCAUAUAACUUAUCAUGAGAUAAAAUGAAAUAAAAAUAAUUAUAUAUGUCCCUUUUGAACUACAUUCCUUCCAGCAAGUCUUUCUUUCUUUUCUUUUCUUUUUUUUUUUUGUAGAAGAUUUGAAUUUUAGCCAUUAGUAUCCAAAACAGUUGGGAGAUGAUCUUGAAUUUCUUAAUUCUCAAUAAAAAUAAAAAAAAAAGAAAAACAGGAGUGAUUUUACGGAUAAUGUCUAUAGCAAAAAUGAUUUGCUCAAUGUUUGGGUUAUACAUUUUUUAUUUUUAGACAAUCAUAAAUGAAUUAAAUGAUUGAGAGCAUGUUUGUAAAUGGAUUUAGAAUGAGUGUUUUAGGCAUAAAUGAUUUGUUGAUUCUUUUACUAAGAAGUGUACAAUUAAAAAUCCUUUGUCACGAUUAAUGCUUGUUUACAAAAGUGGUUUUGGAAUCAUGAAAUUACAAACAAAAACUAUUGACAGGAAAAGAAAUUAAAAAUAAAAAAGGCAAAAAAAAAAAAGGAAGAAGAAGAAGAAAAAGAAGAAGAAGAGAGAGAGAGGGCAGUUAGGUAAGAAAUUUAAAAGGGAGGGGCAAAGACUUAGAGGGAGACGAUAAAUUUGUAGCACUUGAAAAAAUGAGAUAAGAUUAGAGAGGAACCAAAAAGUUAUUCUAGAGAUAAUGUUAAGUGAGAUUUAUAAAAUAUUUAGACAAAACGUGUGAAAAGGGAAUAUAUGCGAGACUAAAGUUAGAAGUAGAAAUAUAAAAGUUCAAAAAAAAAAAAAACAUUAGUAAAAAAAUGGAAUGAAAAAAAAAAAAGUUUUUCACAUAAUUUAAGAAUAAAUAAAGAGAGGAAUUUUCUUUAUUUAAAGAUUAGUCAUUUUGAAAAGAAAAAAAAAAUUACAACUCUAAACUUUUAAAGUUUUUAAAGUUUAUAUCAAUUUUGAAGAUUAAACUUUUAAACUCUAUAAUAAAACCUCAAAAUAGUUGAAACUGAUAUUUGCCUUUCCAAAUAAAAAAAAAACAAAAUCUCAACCAAUUCAUUGAGAAUCACCUGAGUAAUGACCAACAGCAGUUUAAAAUAAUCCUGUACCCUCUCAAAAUGAUAACUGUAAACAAACAUUACCAUCUAAAAGAAACUAAUUUUGAACCUUACAAAUAAGUUCAACCAUUCUAAAAUAACUCCAAACAUGCUCGUUGUGUAUUAAAUUGAAUUAGGUCAAAUGAUCCUUUUAACCUAUGCCAAUUACACAAACGGCAAGUACGAACAAUCACGAUUAGACCAUGAACAAACAUUAGGCAUAGGUUAAUUAAAUUUGUUAAAUAAUAGUGAAAAGAUUGGUUUCUUGAGCAUCUAUCUAUUUAAACAUUACGACAACUGGAAAUCAAAUUUUAUUUUAUAAACAAUUAUAUUUCGAAGGCUUAAAGAAUUAAUUUCUAAAGAUUGUUACAGUAAACUCUAGACAGAUUGAUUGAUUUCAAGACCUUAUAAACCAAUCUGCUAAGUUCAGCCUGUUCUUCUCACCCAGUCAAAACCUACAAGUCACUUUUUAAACACUCAUGACCCCCCUAAAAUGCAUUUUCUCAAAUCUCAACUAUGGAAUAGCAAUCUUAAAAGAGCAAGUUCAAACAAGUUACCUGUCUUCAUAGCAGAUGUAUCAAAUAUCUCAAUCUAAUUCAAGGCUGUCAUGCAUUCUGUAAAUAAAAUAUAAAUAAACGUUUAUUAACAGAUAUUAGUCCUAGUAAUUCGUAAUUUUUUAAAGAACUUGUCAUUCCUUAUUAGGAGGUGGGAUGAUUUGAUAUUAUGAAAUAUGAUUCUAUUUAAAAGAUGUCAACCCUUGAACAUUUAUCAAAUCACCUAAUCCAACAGAAUUUGAUAAGCCAUUAAAGUCUAACAUCAUUCAAAGACCAAAGUUAAAAAUAUACAGGAAAACCGAGUAGGAAAGAAGGAUGAAGACAUGACAUGGUUAUUAAAAAAUAGAAUGGAUGAUUUUACAUGUAUUCCAAAUCUAUAAUACACCUACCCUAUCCAUAGCAAGAAGUUCAAAAGUACAGAUAUGGACAGCACAAGUGACUAACCACACGGCCCAAAACCAUCAGACUGGGAGGAAAAACAACAGCACGCUAAUGCUUCUCCAUGGGCAUGGCAUUAAACAUUUCCAAAUUCAUCUUGCAAUCCUCUCUCAGAUCUUUCAGGCUAACAAAACUGCUUUGCUGUAGACCAAGUGAAACGAGAAUUACCACUGCUAUGUCUUUCCGAGAUUCAAGUAAAUGAAAGUGAAGUAGAUAUUCAAGAAUGUAAAAGACUGUACUUUCAGGCCUACACUAGUGAAUCCCUCCAUACCAACAAUGGCAUAAAAUUGUUAUUAAUUUCGUUAACUAAACUCUUUCAGAUUUCCAACAAGGUUCCUCCUCCUUAAAUUGAACAUUUCAAGAGAUCUACAAUAACUUCAUUCUUUCGUAGACAGGGUACUUGAAAAGAUCAAAGUUCAAAGGUAGAUGUACAUUUCUGAUGGGAAAUAGUCCAUACAAGUAUAAAAGAUCCGUACUUACAAGUUGGUUUCCUUCAUGAGCAAACGUAUCUUCCAUAUGACGGAACAGAGACAUCCAUUGACCACAAAGAUCAAGUUCUAGCUUUGAGCUGGAAGAAUUUCCUUGACCAUGAUAAGUCUCUUUCUCUUUGCUGCUUUUCUGAGCCAAGAUGCUUGCAUCUUUCUGGCUUUUCUUAAGUGCUAAAAGAAUGAAAAUACCAUGAUAAUCAAUAAGAAGGAAUAACCCAAGAAGCAUGGUAUUAUGACCACACAAGGAAGAACAAUUUUACCUGAAAUACGUCCUUUAAUGUCCUGGUAAUGGAGAUCUGACCAAAUGUAUGAUGCUGAUUACAAAACAGACCAAUUUAGAUUUUCUGAACACAAAUUUUAAAGAACCCCUAGUUACAUACAUAACUAAUGAACUAAAUAAACUUGCAUUCUAAUUACCUUUCAAGCAGAACGAACAAGAACAUGUUUUAAGCAAGUCGUCAUACAUGUCUGCAUUAGCACAGUUACUAGUCUUAAGUCCUGAGCACCUAUCCAAUCCCAGAGACUUGGAACCCUCUGAAAUAGGCAUCCUCGACCAUUCCGAGGAGUCAUGGUUGCUUGAGCCAAUUAUCCCAACGUCAAUAUCCUUUUCGUCAUUACUUAAAACAGGAUCAACUGCUUCCUCGUUAUUAUCAUUGUUUAGCAUAAUUCCAGGACACUCUUUCUUGUUAUCCUCAGAGCAAGUAGGGACUACAGAUGUGGGCAAGCAAGGAACUCCCAAAGCUUCACUAUCUGUAAUUCUGUGUUCACCCUCAUGCACAAGAUGUGGUUCGUCAAUCGGCAAAUUACACUGCACAGAUUGUUUUGGCAUCUCAGAAAAAGCAGUAUCAGCUUCACUCGAAGCCAGUGAGCAAUCAGAUUCCUGCUGCUCCUUGCUAAAUCUAGACAGCGCCAUUGAAUAACAUUGUUCUCCGCUCGAGCGUUUACAGUUCUCCUUGACAUAUUCGUCUUCCCCAUCCACAGUUUUCCCACAUACAUCCCUUGGUUUAGCACCUGAAUGACUCAAAAUGGAGGAAAGCUUUCGUUUGAGCGGACGAUUGGUUAGGUUUCCAAGGGCCAGACGAUUGUGGCCUAACACACCAUCAAUGUUAUCCUCCCGCAUUAUCACACACAGGAAGGGGGGACGCAAAUCUGAUCAACCAAUCUAUCUUCUAGAACUUUAAUCUCUCGGGCAGAAAAAAUCCUAAAUCAUCAGGUUCAAAUCCUAUUCAGUGUGCUGAGCGAAAAACACAAACACACACACACACAUAGAGAAACCCCAAUUUUGCAAGAUUAUGAAUAUAACAAAAGAAAGACAAGCAAGAGCGAAAAAUAAAUGAAUAAAAACAUAAAUAACACAGUAACCCUAGAAAAAUCGAGAUUCAUGGGCAAAAUCGUAAGUAUAGAAUCGGAUGGGUGAGGGGAAAGAAAAGCAUUGUAAUGUAAAAGUGAGAGAGGCAGAGAUUGCGAGAGUAACCUUGAAAAGGAUUGGAGGUAGAUUUGAUUUGAGUGAGGAGAGGGGAAAAUGGGGAAGUAAGAAGAAGGGAAGAGGAGGUCUCGGGGGAAACGGAGGAAAUGAUAAUGCUUUGGGUUUUAAUUUAUUAUUGUUUGUUUUAGAGGAUUAAUUUAUAUAUAGAGAGAGAAAGAAGAAGCGCGAAUGGUGUAAAUGUGGAGGCAGGGCCCGCGCUUCCCAUUCAAAAUGUUGCCGCAUUCUCGGUGGCGCGCUUUCCCGGCAUCUCUUCAUCCCCCCCUCCCGCUCCCUUCAAACAUCUUUUCUUUUCCCUUUCCCUUUCCCUUUCCCUUUGCCUCCUCUAUUUCUCUAUUUUUCUCUUCAAUUCUAAACAAUCAUACCCAUCUUUUUUUAUUUAUUCAUGUAUAUAAAUCCUUACAAUUUUAAAUUUCUUUUCAAUUAUGUCCUACAUUUUAAAAUUUUCUAUUUUUAUAUUCGAUCGUCUAAAUUUUUAAAAACAUUGUUUGAAGAGUUUUUGUUCCAAUAAAAAAUAUUUUGGCAUACCAACUAAUGUGUAAAAAAGGUCAAACAUAUUUGAUCAUAAAUUUGAAGACAUUUGCAAGUCUGUCUUUUUUGUAACUUGAUGUGAAACAAAUAUUAUGCAACAUUUUCACAUAAAACAAAAUGGUACAUUCUAAUAUUAAUGAUUUAUGUAUAUUAAGUGACGUAAUUGCAAUUUUAUGUGAAAAGGGACGCAAAUGUAUAUAAUGCUAUAAGUUUAUUUGAUUAACUUAGGUGUGUAUGUCAAUAUGCAUAGUCAUUACAUUUUAAAAAAAUAUAUAAUAGGUUUGAAUUUCUUUUAAAGAAAAUGUUUAAGCAAGACUACUGUUAGAUUUAUUGAGCCAUAAAGCAAUGUUAUAGUAUUUAAUAAAAUGUAUAUCAUUUGAGAGGGGAAUGAGUCCGUGAUCUAUUGUCAAAUCUACCCAAUAUAUAAUUGUAAAUGAUAUCAUACAUGCCUACUAAAUUUUAAACAUCAAACUAUCACCCUUUAAAAAUGAGGUCGUUCAAGUUUAUUCAAUAGCAAUAAGUAUUGUUGAAGAACAAAUGAGGUCAUUCAAUUUCACUUGGUCAAAAACCUAUAUGUGGUCAUGAACAUUGGAAUCAUCUCAAGUCAUGAGCGAUAACAGAAAUGUAAAAACAAGGGUGUGAGACUAAAAGUUAUAUUUUUAUUUUCCUCAACGUAGGAGGAGAAGUUAGGAUUUUAUAUAGCUCGGUGGUAUGUAUGUAUGUAUAUGAAUAGCGUUAGCCUUUCAUCUAAAAUAAGUAAAAGAAAAGGGAAAUAUACAAAAGAAAAAAAAAAACUAUAGAAUAUGUAUUUAGAGGUCGUAGAAGCUAUGUCUUUUGGGUAUUACACAAUCCUCAAACUGUCCUCUUGGAGCCGCACAUGAGUAGCCUUUUCUGAACUUACUGCUUCUAUUUCUCAACUCAACCGCCACCCUAAACUCUCCACAAACUGGCCUGUGAUCUGAAAGCCUCGAUUCCCUUCGAAUAUAACACAGCUGCUCUAUCCCAUUCCCUCGCCACAAUAUUCUAUCACACCUGAACCAAACACCCACACAAAUAUACUACUUACAAUUUCAAUACACACGCAUAUCACAUAUCACAUAUUACAUGUCAAUCACUUAAUUCUCACUACUUACCAAGCUGGUGUUCGUCGUUUCUUCUUCGAUUUCACCGUCUCCCCCGUGUAUGAAUCUGAAUUAUGAGUGUACUUGUAAGUGGGUGCAAAUUGAAUCCUCCCUUCAUUGAACCCACUGAACACUCUUCCUGCUUCUCUUUCUACAUUCAACUGUAAAUACUCCCGCUUAAGUAAAACAAGAAGCAAAACACACAGAAACACAAAGUCGUCGUAGUACUUAAGUUACGUACCUGAUCCUUCUCUAGCAAUUUAUCCCAAUCACCGUCCUCUAAUAACAUUUUGGUAUCCUCGUAGCUCAAUGACACCCGGUAGUUCAAGUCUCCCAACCAUAUUAUCCGACUGCAUUUUCACAAUCACGAAUUAAAUUAAUCAUCACAAAGUCCAUAGCAAAAACGUUAUUAUUUUGAAAAGUAAUCAUAAUAGUUGUAAUUACUCAUGGUCCAUAAUUCUCUCAGGGGCUCUUUUAUUGGGCUUCUUACAAAUCUUGCUGAACUGUGUGCUUUUGAUAAUCUCAGCAGCAUCAGCAUUUCUUUUGAUUUCAUCUCCUUCUUUCUCACCAGAUGCCAAAUGACUGCAAACAAAGCAGAAACUUGUCUCAUGCACUGACAUGCUAAUUGAUAUGCAUCCCUGAAAAAGAAAACCAAUACCCAAUUAUAAAUUCUUCCCCUGUUUUUUCAUUUUCAUAAACAAAUUACCAUUUUUUAAAAAAAAAAAAAACCAAACAACCUUGUUUCCAAGUCGACCCAUUAUCCCUCUUCCAACUGUUGAAACUCUAAGAUGACCAAUAUGUGGAACCAAUUCCUGUCUUGCCCAAACUGAAAGAAACAAACCCACCAUCUGUUUGCUUGAAAUAAGCUUGAAUUUCAUCAUAUCCCCAUUCUCUGCUUUUGACGAAGCAAGCUCUGAGAUCGAAACGAAUUCCUCCAUCAUCAACCUCCCAUAUUGCUCAUUUGUUGAAAUAAUCAUAUUCUCUAAAUCCGAUGUCGCUCCUUCAUUCAAUUUCCUUAGCCUUCUCUCUCUCGAUCCUAAUUCAAUUGGGCAAUUACAAGCCUUCAGUAGACUACUGUCAAGUGGCCUCAGGUUCCUGCUAAGCAUUUUUAAAGAGGGCUUUUGAAAAAAAGGAAGAGUCUUCGAAUCUUUUGAUGAUCCUUUUGUUGACCCAUGAUCUGACCCACCACCAAACAUGGAGUCGCUGUUGUUCCUGGAUGGUUUGUUUAUAGCUUGGUUUAUCAGUGUUAGCCAUUUUACUGCCGGUUCGUUGUCUUCUAUAACAAGCACGUUCCCAGCAUUUAGUGGAACAAUUUCUUGAAACCUAUAAAUUUUUCCCCCACAUUACCAAAACUAAUCUGUUAAAAAAUUUAACUUUUAUAAUUAAUAAGAGAGAAAAACCAAUUCAUUUUUAAAUAUUUUACGCACCCAAUCACAUAAAUGUCUGCUGAGUCUUCUACCAGUAAGAAAUCUUCGAGGUUGAUGCCAUUGUUAGGAGUUUUUCCUCCUACAUUCCAUGUCGCUGUGAAAAUCCUGAACCCCAAACCCAUCUUUUUAAUUAUAAAUUUUCAAAAGAAAAAAUAAAUGAUUAGAUCAAUUUGAAUACGACUACCAUAGGCUUGCACGUACCGGAAAUUCUUGGUCUCAUUUGGUAGAGUCAUGGGUGGUUCAAAGUUGGAGAGGUUUAAGCUUUGGAUAUCUGAACUUGUGUGUCUUUCUGAAGAUUAAUAAACAAAAGUGGUAAAAGUUUAGCUCUUUAAUACAUACCAUGAAAAUUAUUAAUAGUAAUCAAAUCAAACCCUUUGGUAAUUUGAAGUUAGGUGAAGAUGUAGACUUUCCUUUCUUCAUAACAUUUAAGUACAUUGCAAUACAAAUUUCUUUCACUUAGUUCUCCUAUUCAGAAAAAGACAAAAGUAACAUUUACAUCAAACAUGUUUAAUUAUGAACAAGAGUAACACUCUAGAAAGUUCAAGAGCAGUAGUUAAAAAUGGUAUUCGAUGAGUUUCCAUCUUUCACAAAUGGCACUCUUUUUAGCUAAUUAUAAAGUGUUGUAUCGAUCCAAACAAUACGGAUGAGGACUAAAUUUGGCUUAUGAAAUAUAAAUUUUUAAAAUUUGAUUGUUUCCUUUCCUUCUCAAAUUUAAAACUAGGGAAUAUAAGAUAAGUGAUGAAACGAAUCAAUUAUUUCAGAGAAAAAUUGACCUAAACAUAUACUUCUUUUUCUCUCCGUUGUUACUCAGUCAGAUCCUCAUCUUGGAUGAGAUACCCAAGAAAAUCCAAAAAGUUAGUAGUUCAAUGUGCUGAUAAGAGUUUUUAAUUUUGAUCUUAAUAUCAUAAGAAAUGUUUUUGUUUUUGUUUUGGGUGGUAACAGAUGUUCAUUGUAGGAUGAAUUGGAGAGAAUGUGGCUCACAUUUAUAUAGAGACAAUCGUUCUGCCCUACACACACCACAAAGGAUGUAAAACAUCGUUUUCAAUAAUUAAUUAAAACACUGUCUGAUUGGAAGCAAAAUUCUUCAUACUGAUCAAAAUAAUCAUAUUGUUCGGUAAGCUACCAAAAUAGUAUUAACAUUAAUCUCUCUCAAGUCUUUAACUCAUCGCAACGUGUCUUAAAAACCACAACACACAUUAUUUUCAUAUAUUUCAAAUGGUACCUGAAAAACUUUUCUUGAUUGUGGGAGUUGACUCCAUGAAAGCUUGUCUUCUUGAAGCAAUUCCUUUCCCUUUAAAACAAAAAUGAAACGCAUUUUAAUUACCAAAAGGGAACAAAACAUAACAAAAGAAGAAGAGAUUUAUUAGUAUUAUUAUUAUUAUAUAUACGUACCAAUAUCAAUGGCGCCAUCCCCAUAAUCUAACUUAAACAUUUCCUCCUCCGAAUUUACCCUUUCGCUCUUCUUUGAACUGAAGAUCUUUGGAAUAAUAGACUGAUGGUGCAUAAAUGCAGGGGAAGGGAGAAAGAACAAACAGAACACAUCCAAUCAAUGAAAAAAAAGGUGUAUUUGGUGAGAAAUUUAAAAGAAAAAGAAAUGAAUAAAAAUACCCGUUUUUUCUUUUCGUUCUUGACGGAGUUGUCCGGUGAAAGAGCGGGAGAAAGGGGGCCGGGGUUCUUGGAAGUGGUGGCAUAGUUCGACAUUCAUUCAUAGAACCCGAAAUUCCAAUGCAUUCAACUCGCGAACAGAAUCGCGAAAGAAGGCACCAGAAAAUGGCCGGCGAAGUAACGGACUGGAAUUAACCAGCCGGAAAAUCUUAAUAACUCCAAGAUGGGUUAUUAUUGUUAUCUUUUUUUUAAUCUGUGGCUGUUUAUUCAUAUAUAUAUAUAUAUAAUAUAAAUAAAAAGAGAAUAUAUAUUUUUUCUUUUUGGAGGGUGUGUGUUUGAGAAGUGAUUGUGUGUUUGAGGAAAUUGGUUAUGAGUUUGUGUAUUGUGGGGGUGAGAAAAUGGGGGCAAAGCUUUCGGAGAAUAUAAUUAGGAUUGAAGGGAUGAAAAUGGUUAGAAGUUACAGUUCGUAGCAUAAGUCCUGAUCAUCCGCUAAUCUCAAACUCUCCAUCAAUAUAUUUACACCUAAACAAAAUAUACAAGUCUGUCUUUUUGGAACCACUUUUUUUGAAAUUAGUAUAAUGUCGAAGAAGAUUCAUAAAUUCACUAAUACGAUCCCAUCCUAAUCAACCUUUAAUUCGGUUGCAUUUCUGCAACACUAGUGAAUAAAAUAAAUUUUGGCAUGCCUAGUCUAUAAUAUGCAAAUUAAAGGAGAUUAUUUUGUUUCCUUUUUACCCCCACCUUUUUAGUAUAUUCCUAUUUUACUCUUUUUGAAUUAGACACAAUCACUUCAAAAUGGUAUCUGAUUAUUUGAAUGUAUGUGUUGUUGGUUAGGAUCUAGAUAGUGUCUGAAUGAAAGUGAUCGUGUAUCUAAUUGGUGUAUCUUUUUAGAUGUACUACGACUACCAUCUCUGUUAGAUGAACGAAGAGAAUAAUUAAAUUUGAUAGACCUAUUUUCAACCCCAUUUCCUCAUUCUUUUUACAUCAAUUUUAUUUCUUUUCUUGUCUGGAUAAAUUCUUAAACCCUCAUCCAAAUGUGACAAAAUAAAAUUGACUAGAAAUUCUAAAAAUGUACAAAAUUGAUUAAACAAUCACUCACUUUGGAGAUUUUCAUUCAUGAGGCUGCAACGAAGAAAAUAUGUUAUUCAAAAAAACAAUAAUAAUAAUAUAAUGCAAUAUAUAUGUACAUCAAUAGCUUAUCUAUGUGUCCAAUCACAUGACAAACUUUUCUUUUAAAAAAUAAAUUUUGUUUUUUGUUUUUUUUUUCUUUGUGAUAGAAUAAAAUGCAGGGAGAGAAUAUAUAUAUAUAUAUUUUCCUUUUUUGUUGAAGUAUCAAAUGAUUCAAACCUUCACUUCAAUGAAUAGGCUUUGUUAAGAUUGUCCGGAGCAAAAGAUUUAGACUUGGUUGAUAUUUAAAUCAAUUAGAUUUUGUCAAUUGUGUCAUCGUUAAUAAUAGUUUUGUAGUUUUUAAUUGAACGAAUAUUGGCACUAAUCCUGAUUAGAAUAUCGGGCAGAAACUACGAAUAUAAGAGUCAGAUAUUUUAAUCCACAACAUUAAAUAAUUAGCAAAUUGGGUAGUAACUAUCAUAAUUAUACUUCGGUUUCUCUACAACUAAACAGAUAUGAACAAUUACAAUCAAGUGCACGGCGUUCCAGAUGAAUGAAGAAGAAAUUUUGUAUCUGUGGCUUCUGUGAAAUACCUAUUUUUCCUGUUCAAAUGCACCUAGUCCUUUCAGGAAGUGCUUGAGCCAGCUGCAGAUAACCUCAAUAACACUCCAGAAACAGAGAUCACUUCUCCACAUACGAGCAACAAACACUUUGUAAUUAGUAUCAACCGUAUGGUUUUAGAACAAGAAGAAGAAGCAAGCCCCUGUGAGUCCACUGGUUUCCUAUUUCAUUAGCAACAACAAAUAAGCAGAUAUCUUGUUUAUUUCAAAAAAGCUGGAAAACUAUUACUUGAGUAGUUGUAAUCUAACAAGUCAAACUUUCAUACCUGAAUUUUAGGGAGUUCAGCAAGACAUUUCGUCCAACUCUUGCCUGUAAAGUGCUAGACUCUGCACAAAAUAUACCAAGAGACAGAUGUUUAUCAAUCAAGUGAUGGGAUGGAGCAAAACAGACAGAAAAAUGUAGCAGUUCUCUGCCUUUUUCCUUUUAAUUUACUUGAGUUGACACAUAAGACGUUUGUCUAUGCUUCCUAAAGCACCAAUAUGAAUGUCAGCAUUUGAUUAAGGAUCCCCAGUUAUUCCAUGGACAUUUUCCAUAUCAAUAUAUACCACAACAGCAACUAAUUUGUUCUUUUUUCCACUUUGGUCAAUUUUAAUCAAUGAUUAGCAUAGCAAUAUUUGAAAUGAAUACUGAAGUUUUGCAAGCAAAUAUCAAGACGUCAAUUAUUAAACGACAUGAGGUCAAUGGAGAGGUAGAAGAUUCUUGCCUUUGUUAAUGCAUAUACACCAGCUUCUGAAGGACCUACAGGACUUCCUCGCUUCAUAAACGAUCCCUCCUUGUAUAUGUAAAGUAAUGGUACCCCAGUUGAUAGUUCCAAGUUAAUUACCUGUCUCCCAGCAUAUUAAUCAUUCACCAUCGAAAAACUAUACUAGAAGGUAAUAACUAACCACAUGAACACAAGAAUAACGUAUAGGAAAUGGUUUCUAUACCUCGCAGGUAGUCAAUUUUUCUAGAUACAUGAUAAUACACCUUAGCGAAUUAGCAUGGGCUGCAACCAUAACAUGCUUCCCAGAUUGCAGCCGUGGUUCAAUCUACAAUUCCUUCUUGCUUUGUGAGAAUCAUUAAAAUAAUCAGAGCAAUAAUUUGAAAGUGCUUACAUGUUCCUUAAAAUAUCCGACUGCUCUCUGUGAGCACAUCUCCAAGCUCUCACCCUCAGGCGGAGGAAUAUCAUAGCUCCGACGCCAUUCAUGCACUUGCUCUUCACCGUAUCUUUCGGAAAUCUCCUGUUUAUUUAAUCCCUGUAGCUCACCGUACCUGUAUUAUACAUAUGCGUAUCAAAAUAAUUAAUCUAAUAUUCGGACUUCAGAUAGAAGGAAAGUAUAAAUCCCAAUGAAAAGAGAGAGUACAUUCUUUCAUUCAAUUGCCACGCUCUAAUAACAGGAAAUGAUUGCAUUUUAGCCUCAUCACUGUAAAUUUGACUCCAUGCCUCUGCCUGUUUACUACAAUCAUGCAUAAUGAUAGGCACCUGAAAGCAUAAGUUUGUCUAAAUUUGAAACGUCUUUUCUGAAUAAUAAAACAUAAUAAUAAUCAAAACUUUAAAUGUAGCUAUAGAGGUUAAGUCCCUUGUUAUUGUUCUCCUCAGAAUCAGUACUAGAAAGUAUUCUUCCCCUAAAUGAACUAUGAAUUCUAAAAUGGAAAGUAUUUUCAUACAAUGAUAAAAAUGUCUUUGUGGAAGAAAAGAAAAUUUCAUAAGCUUUCUUUCCUCCUAUAAUUAUAUCUUACGACCGUCUUGGGCAACAAGUAUGAAGUUCUGAAUUCAUGAAAAUCAGGUCUAGGCUAAUAAAAAAUUAUCCACUUUUCAAGAUGUAAAGAACACGACAUAAUAUAGAUACCUUUUUGCAGCGAUGUUGAGUCAAAGCAAGCACAGCUGUCAUUUGCGAGCGAAUUAAAGCAGAAGUAUACACAAAGUCUAGUGGUAUGUUGCAAAUCCUCUUACCAGCUUCAAUUGCUUCGUCUACACCUCUCCUUGUUAAAGGUACAUCAACAGAGCCAGUGAAUAAAUUCUUCUCAUUCCACAUUGACUCACCAUGUCGAAUUAAUAUCAGAGCUGUUUCAACUUUAAAAUGGGACAUUUAAUGGACAGCACAAAGAAAUUCAAUCUCCUAGCUAGGCAACUAACAAAAUAUUAGAUGCCAUUGUUCCUGAUAGGUGACCAGACUUACUUGAAGAAGGGUUCUUAGAAUCAUCGAUAUUCAAACGAGAAAUAGGUGCAAAAUGGUCCUUAAUUGAAGCUUGUGGGGUGGUGGCACAAACAACAGAAAGCUUGUAAUUUCUUACACGACAAAACCCUCUUCUAAAGAAAGGAAUGUCAUUAUCAUUACCCCUCCGGACAAAGGGUGGAGAAAAUGCAUAGAUGUUAUGAGGAUUUGAAUCAUUGGCGUGAUUACAAAGCUGCAGUGAUCCAUUGAAGUCGUGAAAUCCAGGAGAAAUCAUGCUGAUAACACAGCACAUAUCAAUGACAGAAUAUUAUUAGAAAUGACAUGAGAGAAAUUUGAUAGUACAGGAACAGGCAGCACAAUACAAUUGGAAAUCGGUACGUAAGAGAUGAAAAACGAAAAAUAUGCGAAAUUGAUAGAAGGACACCAAGAAUAGGCAUAAGAGCGUAGUAAACAUCCAAAAUCAAAGAGAGGGAAGAGUAGGGUUACGUUGAGCUGGCAGUCCGAUUUAGUGGGAGUAGAGAAGCAAGGAGAUGGAAAAUAGAUUUGAUCCAAAAUGAGAGGGCACCAAGUUUUGCAGAUUCUGAACAGCGUAGAAGGACAUUUUUUUACAUAGUCGGGCAACCGAGAACACCGGAACGGAGGAUGCGCUAUCUUUAUUCUUUUUCCUUCUUUUGGUGUAUUGUCUUCUUCUUCUUCCUCUUCUUAUUUUAAAUAAGAUCAAAAUUAAUCAAACCAUUAUCUCUAAAAUUAUUUUUAGGGCUUUCUUUCUAUGUUACUCACCCAAUUAAAUAGGUUAAAUUUUAAAAUUAAUUUCUUUUUAAAUCUAACCUACUUUCAAAAUAUUUAUAAAAAAAAAAAUCGUUUAAAUAAUGAUACUUGACGCUUACCAAGAUUUUAAGCACACCCUAUUAAUUUAUUAUAUAUAUAUCAUUUUAGUUUUGAUUUUAAAAAUAUGUAUCUAUGACUACAUUCCUUUUAGUUUGAAAAUUUACUAUACCAAAUAAUAAAAACAACUAUGACGAUCAAAUAACUAAAAAAUAAUAAAUAUCUAAUAGUAAAAACUCUAACAACCUAGGAGUUUUUAAAACGAGAGACUGUUAAAGUCUGUGGCACAAUGGGAUUUGAUAAAUACGAUCUAUAUUUGAGAAGCUUCUUUACUUAGAUAAAAAAUAUUAUUGAGAUUAACUUAAGUUUAAAGUUACGUUAACAAGCUAUCACCAUAAGAAUUCAACCUUCAAUCUCGUAGGACGAUAUUCCAUAACGUUUCCUAACAUUUACAUUUAGAACUUCUGCUCUUUAAGAAACCAAGAAAUAAUUAUACCAUAAGAAUAUCUUUUAUCUUCUUCAAAGAAGAACUUUUGACUCCUUAUUUGUAAAUGGUCCUAAAUAUAAGGAAUAUAUAUUUUUUUUAUUUAAAUAAAAAAAAUUCAUAUUUGUCAAAUAAUCUCGAUUAAAAUCUUUUAUAUAGUAUUUACUAUGGCUAAACGUUUCAAACAGUCCCGUAAAUUUAUGAGAUAUAACAAACAUAGUUAUAUGUACUAAGUACUGUAUUUGGUAUAUAAACUUUAAACCAAAUAGAGACACUAUUUAGGGUUUACUGGUUAUAUAAUCAAACAGGUAUUAACUUUAUUUCGUAUAAUUGAACUGUAAAUCAAUAAAAGCAUGUAUACAAACGAAUUAAUCAGAGUUAAGUUAGUACUCAAUCUUGGUUAAAUAUCUUUUCUAUUUAUUUAUUUUUAUCAUUUGCAAUUGCAGGGAGUAGGAAUGACGCUAUAUGUGUGUAUUUUUAUUCUUUCACGUGGGCGAGUUGUGGACUUAUAUAUUUUCUUAUUCUUCAAACUUACUUUCUUUCUUUCUUUCUUUCUUUCUUUUCCUUUUAAUUUGAAACGAUGCUUACCUUAGGUAUCUUUCCUUCUCUCAUUUAAUUAUUUGGGAGUAUCUAAAUAUUCAUUAUUUUGCUAUCUUUUUGUUAUUUUUCCUAAACCCCCUCUUUGGUUCUUUUUUCUUCUUUUAUCACCAUAAACAUAUAUAAAAAUGCUUCUAUAGUCGUAUGAAUCAAUACUUUUUGUGAAAUAUGUUCAAAAUCUGCUAAAUUAGUAUCAAAAAAAUUAUUUGAAUUAGAAAAAGUUCAUAUAACAUUGAUGACAACAUUAUUCUUUAGUAACAACACUACUAAUUAAUAUAUGCACGAAUCUUAUCAUCAAAUAUUUUAAUUCUUCAAUAAUUUUAAGAUGUUUUCUUUCAAAAAUGUUGACUUGUACGUGACAUCAUGAUAGUAAAUUAGCGAUACUAAAUCUACGUGUCUAAUUCCUAAAAGAAAAUAAAAGUUAAAAGGAAAUAUUAGAUUGCACUUGAUUUACCUAAAAAAUAUUUAUUUGUUGUAGGUUUGGUUUUUAAUAAGAAAAAAAAUGUGGGUGUUGAGAUGCACCCAUAAUCUUACGGUAAAAUCGGAUUAGCACUAUUAAAAUAUGGCAUAGUGACAUUCUUUAAUAUGUUUUUUUCUUUUGCUUGUGUAAAGUGUGGGUAAAUAUAAGCUACACUUGUUUAAUAAAUAGCUUACAAAGGAAUACACCCUGAAAAAAUGAAAGAUUUGUGUAAAUUGAUUUUGUUUGCUGAAAAAUGAGAUGACAUAUUAUAUGAAGUAAAUAUUUUGUUUAAUAAAAAGAAAAAGAAAAUGUGUUUGGGAAGAUGGAAAGGUAAGUGGAAAAAAUUAUAAUGAAAAAGUGGAGAGCAAUAAUUAGUGGGUAAAGUCCUUUUUCAGCUCCCCAAUGAGGCAGCAGCUGAGUGCACUGCAGUUCCCCAACUUUCCUUUUUAUUUUUCUUUUCUGUGGCCACAUGCAUGCCUUAACUUAGGAUCUCCCUAACCCCCAAAAACUAGGUUAAUUAACAAUUACUACAACAUAAUUAAUUCAAAUUAUUUUCUCAAACACCGCAUUAUUACGCUGAUCAAUGCUAUAUUAUAUGUUAUAUAAUCCAUUAUGUGAUAGUUCACAACAUAAUAUAUAUAUCCAAAAUAAUUGGUAUGAUGUCACCACUUUUAUAUUAAUUAGACUCCAGUUGUAUAUAUCUUGUACCAAUUUUUAAACUAAUUAUACAUCGAAGAAGAUCAUGUCAAUUAUCAUGUAUGGAGCUAAACUUAUUGAAAUAUUGGAAGAGGAGUUGUUUUGUAUAUUUGGAGUAAAGUAAUUGCAAUAACUUUGGUGGGUGUGCUUUGUUGAAGGGGGAUUAAAAUAAUAGGGUUAGUGAAAACUGAUAUCAUUAGUGAUUGUGAUGUAAUCCUAUAUGAAAAUCUAUGGUCUAAUUAAAAAGGAAAAUCUUACCUUCGGCGGAAUCAACAAUUGCCACGUGGAAUCUUGUUGAUAUUUUAUCAACAAGGCCCAAGGGUGAUGUGUGUCUCAUGGGUCCAAAAUUAAAUUCAUUGAUUCGUCUGUUUAUGUCUUCGUCAUUCCUUUUCUCUCCACUUUUAUGAUUUCCCAUUCCUUAAAAUUAAUAAUAAUAAUUUAAGACUGAUGAUAUAAUUAGUAAUUGGGUGUAAUUAAUGUUAUUAUCCACCGUAUAUAUAUCCAUGAGGUAGCGUAAAUGGAAUUUAGAAGAUGAGUCAUGUAGUUGUCGUUUUAAACCAAAACGACACCUAGUGGUCCUAAUUGCGGAAAAUGGCAUAAUGCACAAAAUUGGAUUUUGUUUUUGAAGAAGAAGGAGCCGUGGGAAAUUACGAACACUUCCGAAUUGGUUAAUUAAACAAACAAAAACAAAAAUAUUAAAGUUUCACAUGGAUUAGAUAAUCAGAUAAUCAACUAUCUCCAUCGACAUGAGAUUUUAUUUUCCUAUAUUGUUAUAUUAUUGGUGAAGGUAUGAGUAGGAGACAUGUAAAUGAAGAAGGGAUGUUUUGAAGUUAGUUUUAGGCAAGAAAAGCAUAGGAAAAUAGUAGACUAAAAAGGUAAGAGGUUGCUGUGUCCUCAUUUCCUUCCAUUCAAAGUGGAGAAAUUAAGAAAUCUUUCGGGUGCGUGUCAUUGUGCAGUAAAAAGGAUUAAAAAUGUGUGUGUGUGUGUGUGUUGGGAAAGUGGGUUUAGUGAGAAAGGGGAGAUGUGAUAGAAGGGGGAAAAAAAGGGGAUGAAUGAAUGAAUGAAUGAAUGAAGGGAAAGGCAAACAAUGGUUAAAAGGGGGACGAAGGAAAAGAUGGGGAUGUGCCAUUGCUGUCCCAUUGUCUCUUUAGUAUUAGUAAGUGGGAAUAUGACGUUUUUGUCCAUCCCUUUUCCUUAAUUUUUCAUUUUUCUAAAUAUAAUUUCACUCAUCUCAUUAUGAUGUUUCCCUCUCAUCGCCUAAUCCUUCUUCCACUACACAUCUCAUUAUUUCCUUUUAAUCUCCUAACACAUACACAAGAUCUCAUUCUUUUUCUUCUUCAUUUAUAGACUUAGAUGCUAUAUCAAAUUUGUAGGUCCGAAACUCAAGUACUUCAAUGUUGUAUGUUAUUUUAUUUUUAUUUAAUGUUGAUUUUUACUCGAUAAAUAUCCCUCGUUAAGUUAAACUAUUAAUUUUACUACAUAAUAUAAUUUUCUUGUUUAUAGUAUUUUUAGCAUUUAAUUAAAAGAAAACAUGUAAGAUAAGUGGGCAAAUGAACGAGAAGAUUAAGAAGAAGAAAGGAUAAUUAAGUAUGUAUACCAUUUUUAGCAUUUAAUUAAAAAGAAAAGGAAAAUAUGUAAGAUAAGGUUUGGAAAUGAAUGAAAAAUGAGAAAUGGAUAACGAUAAAUGGCACAAGAUUUGCACCUGAUUAAUGUUAAUAAGAUUAACAUAAGUAGUGUGUGAUUAAUUAAGCAUGGGGGCUGUGAAAAGAAAAUAGAGUAUAACCCACUUUACAUCCUUUUCCGUAAACGUCAAAUAAUUGAAAUAACAAUUUUAACUUUACAGUUAUUGGAGAAAAAGAAAAACUAAAAAAGCGUGACGUGGGAUCUCUUGGGCUACGUGGUGCCCGCAAGCAACGGCCAAGAUUCCCUCUCACUCAUCAUCAAAAUACUAAUUAAUCAAUCUCAGUCUCUCUUUCUCUCUCUAACUCAAAAACACUCUUCCUAUAUAUUUCUUUAUUUGCCCAAUUGGCGUAGUUUCUCACACUCCUCCAACUUCCCCCACUCUCUCUUCUUCCUCCCGCCUCCACCUUCAUUUUUCCGCUUCUUCUUCUUUUAAUAUGCUGCUUGGCAAACGCCCUCGUCUUCCCAUCAAGAGAACUACCAGUAUGACCGGAAUCAGAGGGGAUAUCCCCGACGUCGAAUUUGAAGAACAACCCUCAUCCGAUCAGAUCAUCAACAACCCCGGCGGCGGCUACGAUCUUCACCACCCCAUCCCCCCGGUUUCACUUCCUCAUAAUACCACCGCCAUUAAUUACUCCGCCUUGGUUUCUCCUCGAAAUUUAAGAGAUCAGUCCCCACCUAACGAUCACUUCCUCCGCACGUGCGGUCUCUGCAAACGCCGCCUCGCUCCGGGCCGUGAUAUCUACAUGUACAGGUACAGUACCCUCCUCUCUCUCGAUUUCUUUUUCUUUCCCAAUAUCUUAAGAAAAUUAGAAUUUGUAAUUUAAUUUGGGAGAUGUGACGCGUAUGUGCAGAGGGGACACCGCGUUUUGCAGUUCGGAGUGUAGAGAGAAGCAAAUAAAAGAAGAUGAGAGAAAAGAGUACGGAGGGAAGAAGAAAGAGGAGCGGCAAGCGGCGGGGAUGGGGGUAAGGGGGUCGAGGAAGAAGGAAGCAGAGGGUGGAGGGAGGUAAUUAAUUAAGUAACGAUCGAUUAGAGUGGAAAUAUAAAAGUAAAAAAAAAAAAAAUAUUAUUGUGGGUAGAAGUAGAGCGGAGGGGUUUAUAUGUAUUUUAUAAUUACAUAAUAUAUGAAUGUAAUUCCAGUACCGACUCCGAUUCCGGCUGGGGCGGUGGUUGGUCACACGCCAGCUGGGUGGGGUGUUGGAGUAUGAGGUUACUAUAUGAUGAUGGGUAUAUUUUGGUAACUUUGUACAAAUGGAAUAUUUGGAAAAUCUUGAAAAAAGUAAAAAGGGAAAAUGAAAACAAAAAAACUAAAGGGAAAGGAAAAAUGCUGUGGGGAGAGGGGGAGGGGGAGGGGAAGUAUUAUUUAUUUGAUGUCGAUUUUGUAUUAGAUAUAUUGUAAUUUUAUGAUCUGGAACACUUCUAAGUUCUAACUACCUAGCUCUACAACACCCAUUAGAAAAUUAUUGUUUUUCUUUUUUAAUUAUUUAAAACAUGAAUUAAAUGUAUUUGGUAUCAAAUUAUGAGAUGAGACAUAUGAAUUUGGUAUCAAAUUAUGAUAUAUGUGAAUUUCAAGGAAUGGUCGUUCGAGAAUUGAAAAUAGAUUCAGUACCUUUUAAAUUCUAACUAGUAAUAGUAGUUUUUAGAUCAAAAAUAUCUUUCAUAUAAAUAUACUCUUUUCAUAUAUUUUUAAAUGUAUCUUUUUAUGAGUUUACAUUUCUUAAACCUCUUUCAAACAAAGUUAAUUAAAACUAAUCAUAUAAAAUUUUAAAGAAAAAUAUAUUAUGCUGAAUAUAAAUCCACUGAAAAUAAUUAAAAUUAUAAGCUUAAUUUAGCUUCAUAUAAUUAAAUAAUAUCGAUUUAAAAAAAUUACAAAUUAAAAUUUACCAAACGUCAAUCUUACUUUUUUCCACCGCUAAUUUUAAUAAAACUUUAAAGUAACUAGUCUAGAAGAUAAAAGUAUCUCAAAUUUAAGCUUUCCAAGUCUGCUAACCACGAUUACUAUCUCUACAAAUGAUACCCAAUAUAGAUAGAGAUACCAUUUAUUUAAGAUGUAACUACAAAUUCUUGAAAGCUGCCACUUCAAACAUUAGCCCGAAUAGGCCCAUUAUCCCACUUGGCUAGAGCUGGCUGAUUUGUACUUACAAAACCCAACUAUCGAAAUUAUUCCUUUUAUUAUGCUGAAACAAUCGAUGCAAUCUGCUUGUAACUUUUAUGAGGUGAAUAUUUAUAUAUAGAACAGUGUUUAUCAAGAGAGUGUCUCCAUAGCCUAUUGAGCUUGAAUGUUAUUUCAGUUUAAUAACAUUAGUUAUUCCACAUCACUUGCUUUUUGGAAAUGUGUGUUUACACCGUAAAAAUUGUGAGCGUAGUAACUUUAAAAGAAAAAUCAUUUGUAGCAAACUACAAGCCCAUUUCAGUAAUUUUAAUUGAUAAAAGUAUUGGAAAUUAUCUCUGUGGUACAUCUAAACAUAUGAAUAACUACAUCAUUGUUUAAUACCAUGAUCCAAUCGAAGCUGAGUAUAACUAGAUGUGUUGGCAAUUAUACAAUAUCCAAAAACAACAACCAGACCUUUCACAUUAGCUUUCAACCUUUCAACUUAGCUUUAAUUUCAAGUGCAUGUCAAUUACUAUGGAAGACUUGGCUCAUUUACGUUAUCAUUUAUAUGUGUUAUACGCCCUUAUAUUUGUUAACUAAAGUAUGAUAAUCAAACUUUAAUUCUAUCACUUUCUAUAAGAUUUUUCAUUUAGUAAAUAGUUGCCAGCAUGAGUAUAAUUCACCCUGGAACCACACCUUUAGAAAAAUAUAUUGAACAAUUAUUUCAUGUGGUGCAAAAUGGUCCAUCACAUUUCAUUAACUUCAACCAUUCAUUAAGAAUUUACCAAACUAAAUGCUAAACAUACGUAAUUUUUUGGUGUUUAGAGAUAACGUAAACAGCAGAGCAACUGGUAUAUAGUGUUUAUCAAAGAUUAUGGCUCAUGUCAAAGUUUACCAAUAUCUUCAACUUAUAACUACAAUAUUGUUUUAGUUGUAUUGAAAUGUCCAGAAAUUCAGAUUGAAAAUAUAUACCAUUAAUUUGCAAACUGAACAGUGGCUUACCCUUAACCCACUGAUUAUCUACUCCCAUUGAGGGAUGCUGUUGAAUCAGUCAACACAACAGCCUUCACAAAAGCUUACUUCUCUAGAAACACCCAUAAGAAAGAAAAAGAAAUGAACAUAGCUGAGAGGUUCUCCAAAGAACAAUUACAUCAAACUCAAACUUGUAAAGCAGAAAAAGGCAGAAUCUCUCAAGAUCAGUCUUCCUCCUUCGAUCACUUGUAUUCCAAUAUCAUAUUAUUCUCAGGAGCAAGCCCAACACAGGCCCUCAGAAUGUUCUCUAACAUUGCCCUUUGCUUUGAUAGUGCAUUCACAACUGGUGUGCCUGGGGGAACCUGUUUUUCCAUUACUCUCAAAUUUGUUAGGAGUUCUUUUUCUUUAAGUUCAAGUUAGAGCUCACAACUUAAAGAAGAUCGAAUUUGUACUUACAAGAGGUGCCUUGGUAAGGUAGCUCAGUAUUGUAGCCACUGGGUGGAAAGAAUGAAACUUCCCCUGCAAAAAGGAACAACCAACUGAUCUUCAAUCUUCAUCUUUUGUAAGUUUGAAAAAGAUGCAAUCAAUUCUUAAAUUUCAACCCACCUCUCCUUCAGCCUUGAGUUGGAUGCGAGUGCUUAGCUCAGCAAGUAGAACCAAAUCAAGGAUAAUGGGAGCAGCCAAGAGGGAGUCCUCGCAUGUGUUGUGCAGUACAAUGGUGCUCUUUCCGCCCAUGAAUAUCUCUGACGUGUACUCAUCCAUGGCUCUCUUGCUAUCUCCAACAUAUGGCACAUACUAAAAGAGCCAAACACUUUCAAAUCAGGGAAAAAACAAACAAAACAAAAACUUCAACAGAGAAGCAAAGCCAAAAGAGAAAGCACCUUGAUCACUACAACAUGGUCUGGAUGCUCCCCUGGUUCGUACAAGAUGCCAUUGCUCGAGACCAUGUCGUCGACCACAUUGCUCUUUGAUAUUUCUUUCGAGCGGAAGGUUUGUGGAGCAGAGAGAUUCAUUCCAUCAUUGUUUCCAAGAUGAUUGUAGCUCACAAUUGAAGUUGGCUGAAAUCAGAGAUAAUGAUUUGAUUUCACUAGUUUCCUGAGUUAGUUGAAUACCAAGCCAUUUUUGUGUCAGAGUUUUACCUUAAUACCAGCACCAACUAGAAAAUCUACUAGGACAGAUUUCAUCUUGGUUUGACCACUCUUAAAGUCAUCUCCUCCUAUCAAACUGUUUCUCCUAAUAGCCAAAUCAAUCAACCCUGAAAUUGGAAGAUUUUAACCCAAAGAACUCAUCAUCAAAAUGUUUGAUGCUUAGGAACAUACAAGCAAGAGAGCUAAAAAUGUUAAGCUUAUAUCAUACCUGGGACGAAGGUGUUUUGUGGGCUUCCAUUGAUAAAAGGAACAUUCUCAAGAACACAGGCUAUGGCAUACAGGGUAGAAGGAGAUAUUUCAGCCUCAUUCUUGUCCAAAGAAGCUAAAAGGCUCUCCAUUGUGUCAUUCAGUCCCACAACUACAUUGCUGUAUCUCUCUGUGUUGGCGGUCCAAAGCACAACAACUUCAUCCACUUUACUCUUCUCCUUAAACUCCCUAAGGAUUCAGAGAAUUAAUUACAAGAAAAAAAAGGGCAUGGGCUUCUAAACAAUUGCAACAAACAAAACAGAACUAGAGUAACAUAUUACUUGAUAUCACUUAUGAUUUGUUGGACUUGUUCUCUCUUGGUUCCUUUAAUCACAUUGUUAGCUCGAGAACCUUGAUUAGCAGCAAUGAAAUCAGGGUCGUAGAUCCCAGGAAGUGGGACCAUGGAUUCCAUGUAGGGUCUCAACUGCUUUUGUAGGUCAAUAUCAAACACCUUGGCCCUUGCCAUGGCAUCUGCCAAGUUCAUGUCACUAAUGUCCCAACCUCCAAACACAAUGUCAUCUGGAUUAACCUGUAGAUUAAACAAUAUAAUGGAGGUUAAAAAAACAGAGAUGUAAUUAACAUAGCCCUCCUCCUCCUUUAAACUAAAAGGUCACUACCAUAGGAAGCAGGCUUUUAAAUGGGGCAUAGAUCUCCUCUCCAUUGUAAGAACCCACCCGGAUGGACGAAGCCUGAGUCAAUGACCCAAAAUAAUUGGCUUGUUGUACUUUAUCCUUAGUUGCCCAGGAAAUCCCUCUGAGAAUAUUUAAAUAAAUCCACGUUAAAAAAAAGUAAAGAAGUUACUUCAGCAGAAACUCAAAUACAAAAGAACAAAAGAUGUUGGUGCCCAAAAGGAACAACACCCAUCUCAAAAUUUGCAACAAAAAUACUUUUCUAAGAAAUCUUACUCUCGAUUGGCAAUAACCCCCCCUGUAAGAGUACAACCAUUAUUCCCACCCCAUCCAACAAGCAUAACCCUGCACAACACAAAGUCAUAAGAAAUUUUCUUCUCAUAAAAGAAAUUGUCAAAAUAAAAAAUUGUAAAACAAUCAUAAACAACAAACCCUAGCUUUGGGACAUGAGUUUGAGUUUUGAAUUGGUAUUUGACAGUCUUGGGCUUCACCGUCCAUUGAUAGCUACCAUUCUUAAGCUCAUGAACAAGUUCUGUUGUUUCAUAGUUGUACACAGAAAGAAUCUCAUUCGCAGUGUACUCCACAUUUGGACUCUCAACCUUAAAGCUCUCAAUGAACAUUUUCCUUUUUCUGUUUUAGAAAUGCAAGAAGAAAAAGUAGUGAGAAUUUUACAAUGAACCAAACAAAGGCUGAAUUUUUUUUGUAGCUCAGGCUGCUGUAAUGUAUGUGAUCCAUUGCCUUCUGCUGAUGGUUUCAUUUAUAGACGAAAAUGCACUCAAAUAGUUAACACGUGGCAUGACAUGCAUGGAUUACCAUAUAUACAUACUACUUUGUAGAUUAGCAGAUUUCGUUCCCUAUUUCAUUCCUUAAUUUUGGUAAUUAGUUUUUUUUCUUUCUUAUUCUUCCGUUUCGUCUACAAUUACCUUCUAUUCACUAUUCUAACCCAAUUAUCAAUAAUAUAUCAAUUGUAUUCUAACCCAUUUAUUCUACAUUGGAAGACAUCAAAUUAUCAAUAAUAUAUAUAUAUAUAUAUACUAUGAGGUAAUUCAGAGGAGAGGGGUGUAUGGCCCACUAAAGCUAUUGGCUUUAUAUAUAGUUGAUGAGAAAUUGAUUUGAUAUAUGGAAAUGUGUGAAUUUGAUGGAAAAGGAGAGAGGGGAGGGCGUAAUAUUCCGACACGUGGUCAAUUAUGGUCUCUGUCCAAAGUUGAUGUGACCAUAAUUUAAAUAAUGCAAGCUAUAUAUAUAUACACAAUCCAUCAUCAUUAUUUUAAGACGAAACAUACUUGCUUCUUCAAACUUACUUUUAUGUCUUUGCAUUUUUAUCAAACUUUUUUCUUAUGUAACUUCCUAUUUUGAUUUAGUUGUUUUUUUUUUUUUAUAGGACAAAUAUGAAUGCAUGCACUAUAUAAUUUCUUUAGAACUACAAAAAAAUAUCAAUACUCUUCUAAGAAAGCAUAAGUAAUAAAAAAUAAAUGAAUAUGAUACUAUAAAUUACAUGGAAGAUGUUCAAUCAAACUCAUCAUCAAGAGUGUACAAUGGGCCCUUAUUAUAUUUGGUGGUUUAGUGGGUGGUUGUGAACAUUCUUCUAAAAUAAUGAGAAAGAAAAAGGAAGAGAGAAGAAUAUGGGGUUGCUGGGGGCAUAGAUCAGAUCACGAUAAAGCAAGAGCAGCCUAUGUGGCGGUGUAGGAAAAGGUGGGUCUUCUAAUGCCAUGCAGAGGGAGGCUCGUGACCUUGUAUCACCUUUGUGGCUCUCAUCACCCAGCAAUACCAUUCCCCCUUCUUCAUUGUUCUUAAUUAAUGCAUACAUCCAUAUAUAUCAAUCAAUCAAUCAAUCCAUUGUUUUUCUUAGCUUAUAAUCCAGAAUAGUUUAAUUGAAAAGACAUUAUUUACCUUCUAACAAAAGAACUUUCAAUUUUUUUGUUUAAUAAUUCGAUGAAAUUAGAUAUGAAAUUGUAAAGGGUAAUCUAGAAUGUUCCCUUGUAUCCAAUAGGUGGCGAUGGAGGUCCCAUCCUCAUCCCCAUCAAUGUGCAGGAAACCCACCCCAUUUAUUCACGUGAUAAUAUAUUAUGUAUGAUUUCUGUUUAUUUUUCUCAAUUCAAUAAAACGGUAGUUUUAAUCGGUUAAAGAAGAAUAAAGUAAAUAAGUAAAUGAAUGGAAGGUGGGUGGGUGCCAUAAAGUCCAAAAUGAAACGAAAGAAAACUAGAGGUGUCACAUGGGUUUGUAUAACUAUAAACAGGAAAUUGUGCAAAAGCUGAAACAGAGGCAUGAAACAGUAGAAUUGUAUCACAAUAUAGAACAGAGUUGGUUGGAAACUUGUCAAUUCAAUUCUUUGUAAAUUCCAACAACUGAUCCCAAACCAAUGCAUUUCUGAAACUUCAUAUACAUCCCCACUACUAUUUUGUUUGGGGUUAAAAAUUGGUGUGGCCCUUUUUCUUUACCAAAAGCUCUGUUUGCUUUUCCUUUUUAUCCAACUUUUCCGAAGAGUCUGGUAGUUGUGAAUGUGAUAAAGAAGAGAUCUCGUGAAAUUUGAUCUACUUUUUUAGCUAAAAAAUUAAAAAAAUUGCUGUUUAUAAGCCAUUGAAGGCCCCUUGUUUGGAGGCCCCUUGUCGUCCAUGUCAUUGUGAUAUUUGAGGGGGUAAGGGUAUGGUAGAUUACUUAUGAGAUAAAUAAAUAAAACAUUACAAAAGGAGUACUUACACGUUAUAGUUUUUUAAGGGUGUGUUCAAUUAUUACAAUAUAUGUAUGAAUAAUGAGGAUGUGAAUUAAUUCAAAAGUGGGGCUCUGAAACAUACACCAUCCCUUUUGGAUUUUUGCUAUCAAACUUUAGUUGGAAUCCAAUUGUAGCUUCCUGAUUUGACGUUUAUUUGUUUCCCUCAAAAUUACAACAUUUUCUAAUCUUAUUUAUAAAUAUAACAUAACAUCACAAUUUAUCAACCAUACCUAACUAUGUCAAAUCCAAUAAAAUAUUUUGUUAAUUUUUAAAUAGAGGAGAUUGUUUGAAGUGCUAAGUUGGUUAGUGAUUAUUAUGGUUUGUCAAUUAUAAUAGCUCGUAGAUUAUAGUAAUUUGUGUCUCGUCACAAAGUAUUUUUGAGGAAGAUGAUUUUUAAAUUAUUAUACUAUAGUUAAUUUAUAGGUUAUAGUUAGUUGAAAACAUUAUAAUUAAAUCUAAAAGGUGUAGUAGGGUUGCCACUCCACCACUUGAAGUUUAGAAUAAAAACUUAAGAAAGAAUUGAAGAAAGAAAACUUGUGGGAGGGAUAAAUACUUACAAAUUGACUAGGAGAGUUACAAAUUUUUUUUCAUAUAUUUACUAAUUAAUUGUAGGAUGAAUGAUCAAAUCUUCCACCUCCAGAUUAUGUUAAUUAAUUAACCUAAUUUCAGUUAGAUUUAAAAGUUGAUUUUUUAUUUUUAUCGAACAAGUUUAAUGGACAAAAUUAUAAAUGUGGUCUGUUCCAAGUUUAAAUUUUCUCUUGGUAACAAAUUGAUUUAAAGAAUUCAUGGCAGAGCCAUGAAACUGAGAUUUAAAGCUUUAUGUGUGUAUUUGUAUAUAUUUAACUGUGCUGUUCAAAAUCCAGAUGGUUGGUGAGAGAUGAUUUCAGCCAUGUGUUGUUUUGAAAGAAAGGUUCCAUUUGAAAGGGAAAAGGGUAUAGGAAAUGGACUUGGUUCAUUUUGCAUAAAAUUUGAAGAUGUACUCAUAACUUAAAAACAAAACAGGAUGAAGUAAUGAAAGAAUAAACCAAUGGAUUUCUGGUUAUAUAUUUUCAUAUAUGUACAUGAAAGAAUCCCUCCCAAGAACAAACAAGAAUCACUCUCCAAAAGCACAAGGUACUUUCAUCAAGAAGAUGACAUACCGCUCUUUUACGUCCACACUUCCUGUCCUUCAUAGAAAAUAUAUUGUUGUCUUCCUUUCCAGCUUAUUACAAAACAAUGACAAUUUGGAGUGCAAAGGACAACCAUGUGGUUUCAAGUCACCGUAAUAGCAGUCGAGAAUGUUUAAGUAAGACGUUGAGAUGCUGUUUUCCCUGAGCCAUGUAGAAUAAAUUCUUUACCUUAGCUGUCAUCUGUUUCAAUUCAGCAUAUUUUCAUAAACUGGUUGGGGAAAACAUUUCAUUGAAAUAUAAAGAAAGACCUAUGACUAAACCUUUCCAAUGCCUAAUCCUUCCCUUGAAUAAGGAACUGAUCUCAGUUGAUAUCCCGGUGAUGAUGGAGGAGAUUUUCGACUACUUUCCUCUCUGCAAUUCAGCUUCCCAUUGGCUCUGCUUCGAGUUGUUUUGGUGGAUGAAGUCUUCCACUUCUCUUGCAAUAUGCUUGGGAGGGUCGAUUCCUGGUGGAGAAAUUGUUUUAGAUAACUCAUUUGUCCAAGAAGAGCGGCAUAUGUGGUAGAAAUUUUUGUAUACAUACCAGAAAUAGAACAGUAGCACAAUGUUUGAGAACCUCCAAGUUCAUACGAACAUCGUCGAGGCUCCUGCACAAAAAUACUUUUGUCAGUUUGUGAACUAAGAUGAUACAAGUUAACACAUACAAAGAAGGGAGUCGAUCAAUUGUAUUGAUACCUGUGCUUUUGCUGUCCCAACUGAAAGUAAGAAGCCAAUGAUGCCAUCUAAAUAUAAAACAGUUCAAAAUAUAUGAGAACUAUUUUGCCAAACGUUGUAUGCUAUAUGUUAUGGUUUUCAAGGUUCAAAAGUUCGUUAUUUCUCACCUUCAUGUUCCCGGCUCUCUUGCCAAAUUUGUUCGUUAAGACUCCUAAAGAAUCAACCAUCCCAACUGGGAUAGGAGCAGGCCUGCCAAUCUCUGCAAAUGCCUCCUUAAUACGAACACAGUCGAAUCUUCGAAUGUUGUGACCUGCCCAUAUCCUUCCAUUCAAAAUGCUGAAUAUCUUGUCAGCCACUUCCUCAAACAAUGGUGCAGUUGCAACAGCUGCUCUAGUUAUUCCGUCAGGUCGGCUAGACCUCAACGCAACAGCAGAUAAAUCCGUUGGCCUAAUGAGAGUAGUAAAGCUCUCGAGCUCUACAAGUUUCAUUGGGCAGACAACAAUAGCACCAAAUUCCAAUACUCGAAACCGUUGCCCAACUCUUUUGGGUACGGUAGUUUCCAAGUCGAAAAAUACAAUCUCAGCUGCACCUUCUUUGAAUGAACUUGAAGCCUCCAUAUCCAUUGGCAUUUAUGUCAAAUAGUUUCAAGAUAAAGUUUUGUUUUCUUAAUGUUCAAUGACAUGGGAGAUUGAAGAGGUUAUAAAUGGGCGAAGAAAAGAGAGGAUUAUUCUUGGUGUUGAGGGUUUGAUUGGUUGUCUUGAAAUUAAAGUCAAGAGCUUGGUCCGUGGAUGAAGAAGUCCUUAGCUUCUGGAGGGUGUCAAUUGCAAAACCAGCUCAAAUUGAACGGUAAAUUGAUCAUCAAGAAACGUUAAGAAUGACUUUUGUUGUCACUUUCCUAUUGCUUUCUGCAAUCAAAUACAGUUCAUGCAGCAUCGUUUUGGAAUAUUGAUGGAACCUUUCAAGCCAGGUCUUCUUAACCAAAAAUUAUUCCGUCUCAUCCCUUGUUUUGCCUUCCAUAUUUUAUUACUCUACUCUUAAUUAAUCAACCAAAACAUAAAAUAAAAGUUUGUUUAUACAGUUGUGUAAGUUAGACGAGAAUUAUUUCCUCAAUCUCUGUUUAAUAGGAAAAACAGACUAAAAUAAAAUUACAUGAAUAUUUUCCCUUUGCUAUAAAACUUGCAAUCAGAGUUAACUUUCUCAAUUUAGCUAAUAUAAACUAUUCGAUUCAAUUGUAUAAUAGGAACAAUACAAACAAUUCAGUUUACAAAUCCGAAACCAAAACAAACUAAGAAAUUUUGAUUUACUUGGUAAUUUUAAAUCAAACUGAACAGACACAGCAGUAAAGUUUGAGUUUUUGAUUUGAUUCACGGAUUGGGUUCGAUUUUGGCAUUGGGUUCGAUUCAAUUGUAUCAUCCCUCUAAUUUUAACUUUGGCCCAGAAGAAAUGUAACAAAAAAUUACACUAGCAGAAAUAAAAACCUUCUGAGUAGAGAGAAUUCAUCAAAAGUUUAAAACUUCCCCAUCCUAGUUGUGGAAUAAAAAUUCAAGAAUGGACCAUAGAUGCAAAUUCAGGAAGGAAAGGAGAAACAUCAAAGGGGUUGAACCAGUUUUUGUUUUUGAUGACCCCACACUUUCCUUUUAUCUAUUUCCUCAAGCAGUUCACCCUGUUCCUGAUCAGUAAGCAUGAAGAUAACAGAUAAAGGAUUUGACCGGUUAUGAUGCAUUUUUACGAAUAGAAUUGGAUAUUAGAUUUUGAUAUACCUAAUAUAACAACUAAGAGCAGGCAAUAAAAUCAUUAGAAGUGCAGACAAGUUCAAUCCCUUAGAAGCUUUAGACAACAAGAAACAUCACCCGCAAUUUGGUUAAAGGGAAUGAUGCCAAUUGCAAAGUUCUGCGUUUAUCCAAUCAAAACAAUUUACCAUUUUCAUGGCACUAACAAUUUACCAGACCAUUCUAAAAGGUAACUCAUAAGCUACAACAACUAAUAUAACACGGUAGAAUAAAGAGGCAUUUGAAUGACCACCAGUAGAAUGAUGAACGUGACACCCAAUAAAGAGGAAUAGAUUUUGAUACAAGGGAUAGAACUCGAAACCCACACCGGUUAAAAAUGUGGGGGCACGGAUGCACAAGGUAUUGUAAUACCAAAAUCAUACACACAAACUUAAAUUCUAGUACUCGAAGAAUCAAAAUCAUCAGGAGCAACACGAGCAAUCCAGUUAUUGAGCGUUCUCUUAAUCUCAGAGUGAUUAACAUAAGCCAAUUCAUACAUACUACACAGAUUCACGAUCACUGUUUCAUUGAGAGCCACAGUCGGAACUCUUUCCAGUGCAUUUUCAAGCACCUUAAUCGAAUCUGCUAAAUCCCGCAAGUACAUCAAGCAAAGAGCCUUAUUGUUAAUAGCCACCAUGUCCGAAUUAUCCCUCUCAAUACACUCCUCAUAUUCCCUCACAGCUGAUAGAUAGUCCUUGCCCACCAAAAACACCAACGCCUUGUUCCUAUUCACAAGGUUCUUCAUCUCUACUUCGCUUAACGACCCACUACUUUUCCCCUCUUUAACCAACUCCUCAAUCCGAUUAAACGAACGUUUAGCUCCUUCAAUAUCUCCAGCGUGCAUUUGUAUAUACCCAAGUUUCGAAAUCAGAGCAGGAUCUGAGAAAUCCUCACUUAACAAAUUAUUAAUCAAGGUUAAACAAACCCCAAACUCCUUGUUACUUAAAUGAUGGCCAAUAAUACAAUUAAUCACAAACACUACCCUUUUCUUCCACAAGUUCACAGAGACAUCGAGCUUUUUCUCCUCUUUAUCCUUCAAUUUUGACUGUACAAAAUCCAGAAGUUCGUAGAACCGGUCCAACCCAUGUUGACGCUCGCCCAUUUUGAUGGGGAUUAGCGCUUGCAGCCACCGAAGUGAAAAGGGGACCAUGGAGCCGGUUCGAUUAGGGUACACGCUAGGGUACGAUUCAUACCUGUAUUGAGAGCUAUUGAGAUCUUCAAGAGAAUCAAGUUCUGCCAGGGCUUCGGCGAAACGUCGGAGUUUGACAAGGGCAAGGACAUUGUAGGAUAGGUAAGUGAGGUGGUCAUGGGGCUUCUGAAGCAGGGUGAGAGCUCGGGCUCGGGCAACCUUAUCUAAAAUUGAACGCCAUGAACCGCGAGUGGCGAGAUCUUGAAGAGAGAAAAGAUCGUGAGCAAGAUCGUUGAGGGAUCCAAACUGAGUGGUUAAAGGGUCCGAGGAAAUUGCCAAAUUUUCGAAUCCAGUUGUUAGGGUUUCGGGAUCGGAAGUGCUGUGAGAGUGAGAGUCAGGUGACGGUGACGGUGACUCAGUUUCCAUCUCGAGCGAUGAUGAGUCGUUGGACCGAGAGGAUCCAGUUUCCUACCUCCUCCUCCUUGGGGUCUUCUUCUUCUUCUUCUUCGACAACAGUUUCCUAUUUUCUUGUUACAUCGAUCAACCGUGCUGUACAUUGGACCGAAAGGAUCCAGGCUCAGGCCCAAAACCAAAUGAGCUUCGUAUUGGGCCUAUUAUACAUCAUGGGCCAUUUCAUGAAUUUACUAUGAAAAUCUUCCUGACAAUUUGAAAAAGAAAAAGAAUAAAAAUAAUUUUCAAAUAUACCCACCACAUGGGGGCUCUUAGGACAUUGGGUUUUAUUAAUACGUUGGGGUUUCUCAAUAUGUAUUUGGGGUUGGGGAUGAAGUUUCUAAAUAAAAGUUGUGCAAAAUGUUAGGAUAAAUACUUUAAAUAUAUACAAUAGAGCAUGAAGAAUAAAUUAUGUAUCAAAUUUCAUCUCCAAUAAUUAAUGAUGGCUAUAAAAUGACUAUUGGCUUUUUCAACUAAAAUCUGAUUUUUAUCUUUAUGGAAUAUCAAUUAUCAUUUUCACUAAAUCAUAAUCAAUAUAGAAACAUAGUCAAGUUAGAGAUCUUUUGACCUUAAUUAAAUAGAUCGUACCUAAUUUAAUAAACUAACCAAAUUUAAUAAAUUAUUAAUUCACGUAUAUAAUUCACUUUAAUUAUAUAAUUAUAUAAUUAUAAACAUACUAUUUAAACACGUCUGACACAGAAUAGAUAAACAAAUUAUAAAGUUUACCAGUCACGUAGGUGUUAUAAAAAUAAUUAUUCUUUCAAAGACUACAAAUUUACCCAAAACAAAAAUUAAUAAAGUAUAGGUUGAAAUAUCAUUUUAUUCAUUGUAAUUUGAACCUUUUUCAAUAUGAGUUAAUUAUACCUUUAAAUGUCUAAUAUUAAUACUUGUACUUACCAUCAAUAUUAUAUUAAAACCUUCGAAAAAUUAUUAAAACCUGUUAAAUAAUAACAAUAACUUUCAUAUAAUAUGUAAUAUGUUUUCAAAUUGUAUAUUAAAAUGCUAAUAGAUACGAACAAGAAUUUGAAAAUCCACGAUCCACCCGAAAACACCAAUUAAGACAAAAUUUAAAAUUGGUUUAAAAUUACAAUAAUUAAAAAUGGACGAUUGAAAUGGUAUAGAUUAUAAUUGAAUAACUUUCCAAUAGUGUUUGAACCUAAAUUAAAAUACAAUUAUUUGGUAAUUUGGGUUGAAAUUAAAAAAAAAUCACACAUUCCAAAUCUGGAAAAUGAGUAUUUUGAGAAGUAUGAAAAAUGAGAUUCAAAUGUAUUUGUAGAAGAGCAAGUUAUAUAUCACUGUUAUAGGACAUCAUCGAUCAAAUCUGGAUUUGUGGACUUUGAUUUUGAAGUUAAUAGAAUAGGAACUACAUCAUCGUCCAAUCUCUUAAAUUUGUCAAAAACUUUGAAAUUAAUGAGUUUAAGUAGAUUCUUACAUCGCAGACUUGUUCCAAAUUUUAAAAAUAAAUUAUUGAGAGAAAGGAAAAAAAGAAAUGUAAAAGAAUCCCCACCUUCAAGACUAAUUUAGUGGGUAUAAAUGAAAAUGGAAUAAAUAGUACAAUGUCCAAUUUGCCAAAAGAGUGAAAAAGGGAAAUGAAUACUUUUACCUUUUUCAUUUGAUACCCGAUGUCCGUUAAGGAAUUGAAAUUAAAGGCUUAGGGAGGUAGAUGAAUAUUAGUAAGAAAAAUUAAAUCUUCAUAAAUGUUCUCUUUCUUUUUUCUUUUUACAUAAAUACCCAACGUCCGAUUGUAAAAGGUAGCUAAAAAGUUUUAUGAUAUAUGCGAUUAAUUAAAAUCUUAAUUAUUUCUUAAAGAUCAAAGUCCUCUCAAAUGGAAAUGGUAAUGGAAAUAAAUCGUAUUUUUCAUUUUAUGAAAUGAAUGUAUUUAUUACGAAUUAAUUUCCAUCUUUACAAUUUACAAAAUUCCCUUUAAAUUGGACAGUCCCCAAUUUCAUUUUCCUCACCAACACAAAAACCUCGGAAUAAAAAAAGAAAAGGAAAAUAGUAAUCUGUAGAACACAAUCACAAUGCCUAUCUUCCCCAAGCUUCUUGCUGCCCUUCUUGUCCUCUCUCUCAUUUCCACAGGUAUAACUAUAUGGCAUUUCAACUCCAUUUUGUCCUUUUCUUUAUUUAUCCUAACCAUUAUUCUCUUCCAAGUCAUUCCACUUUUUUCUUUUUCCUUUCCUAUAAAAGCAGUUUUAUGAUUAGGUGUGAACAUACCUUUUCUAUAUUCUUCUUUUCUUAAAAAUAAUUUCGCUUAUAGUACUCCUAAAUAAUGUUUUAAAAAAAUCAUUUUUCCCCUUAUCAUUGAAAAGAGAAACUCUUUAGUGUCUUUUCUGAAAGAUGGAUCGUUAAACAACAAAAACUUGUAUCAUGUUAAAUCAGCAAUUAACUCAUUAGAGUAUGGUUAAACAUUCAAAUAUAAUUGUGUUUAAGUAACUGAAGAUUGAGAUACUGAGAGCUUAUGAUUGGUUUCAGGAAACUGCCAAUGUUUUUUGAACAACAUAAAAAUCAGCCAAAGCAUGACAGGAUUUCAGAUCCAUGGAAUGACAGAAUGGAAAGUAACAAUAACCAACAACUGCAUAUGUUCUCAAUCUGAUUUGAAACUAGACUGCAAAGGCUUUGCAACUACUCUAAGCAUCGAUCCUUCCAUCUUAGCCAUCUCUGAUAGCGAGUGUUUAGUCAACAAUGGCCAACCUAUUUUCAAUUCCAGACCCAUCACCUUCAAGUAUGCACAAAGCCCCAAAUUCAAUUUCAAGCCUCUCUCCUCCCAGAUAUCUUGUUCUUAAAAAUCUUAUUCAUUUUUUACUCGGUUCAAAAUUAGUGUCUUUAGACACUUUUAUAAUAAUAAAAACUUAUCUUUAUUUAUUUUGUUUUGUUAAGUUAUCCAUUAUUACAAUUGUUUCACGAAUUCCCAAUUUGCGCAUAUGACGUUGCUUGAACCACGUUAGAUUAGACCAUGACUUGCAAAUUAAAAUACCUUUGAAUAUAAUACAGAAGGAAGAAGAAUAAUCUAAAUCCAUAAUUUUUUCCAACUUGUAUUCGUCAAGAUAAUGAAAUAUACGAAAAUUCGGAAGGAUCGUUUCUAAGAAAUUUCGAAGAAAUAAUGAAAAAAGCACAGUGGACUUGAAAGUUUCAUUAACUUUUCAAUUGACUAUUAUUAUUAUUAUUAUAUUAACUUCGAUAUUAUCUAAAAUGGUUUUACGCGUAUGGGACGAAAAAGGGUUUAUCACGAUGAAAUGGACACUCCCUUUUUUUCAAAAUGGGAUAUAAGAAUUUCUUAAUCCAAAACGGGAAUAAUUUUCCAUUACUUUUUAAUUAUCAUUUGAUUUGGUUAAUUGUACCUAAAUUAGAAUUAUAUCAGAUUUUGUGUACCCAUGAGGUUGUAGAAGAAGUUGAAUGUCCACCCUACAUGAAAAAAUGUUUUGACUUAUCAUCUCAUUUAAUAAUCAUUUACACACAACGUGUUAAUACCAUGUUUCUAAGAAAAAAAUUUGUUCUUAUUAUUAUUAUUUUUUUCUAAAUGCAUUGUAUUACAAGCCAAUUAAUUAGUUUGGCUGAUGUUGACUAUUAUUAAUUGUUAUAACUUGAUGAUGAAAAUAAAAUUUUAUAUAUGACUAUAAUAACAUACUUGGAACUCCUAAUAUUGUUAUUGUAUGUUUAAACAUGUGGUAAAAAUGUUAAUUUAUUGUUGAAAGAGCUCUACCUAACGUCUUUUAUCAAGCCAUCGUCAUAUUUGCUGGAUUCAACGUAAGAACACCUUUUUCUUUCUUUGAAAAAAAAGAUACAUAUGCUAAUUUGUUCAAUACAAUAAAAUAAUGCUACACUUCUCGAUUAAGUUAACAAAGUUUUUUUUUUUUUUUUUUUUUUUUUUUUUGUAUGGCGGAUUGAAUUUUCUUUAAUGAACAAUUAAUAUUAUUUAGUAGAUUAAUCGAGAAUGAGCCAUUAUUUUAUAGUUUAUAUAUAUCAGUUAUGUUUGUUUUUGGCACUAUCGAGGUAAGUAGAAAAUGUAAAAAAGUUCAAAUGAAAAUGUCGCAGCCGCUGCCUUGGACCAAGAUUUGAUUGGGUCAAAGUCAUGCAGGAUAUUUAUAUAGAACCAAUGCUUUCCCCAAAGCAUCAACCUCAAUGAUUUUUAAGCCUUUUGGGUUUUAGAAGAAGCACUCAAACGAUUCUAACAAUGGCUUCGCCGUUACAAAGUACACGAUACCUCUUAAUUCUUCUCUCCUUUGUCUUCUUCUUACUACAAUCUCAAACUGCAGAAUCAAGAACUCUGAACUAUAAAUGGGAAGUGAAAUCUGAAUUGAAGUCCCCCGAUUGCUUUAAAAAAGUUACCUUGACCAUUAAUGGCCGAUCUCCAGGUCCCACUAUCUACGCCCACCAAGGUGACACCGUCAUCGUUGAGCUCAAGAACAGCCUCUUUACCGAAAACGUGGCUAUCCACUGGCAUGGAAUUCGACAGGUACCCCUAAAUUUUCAUUUCUCUCCAUAUUUUUCUUCGUUAGUUUUAUAGUUCUUCUUUCUGACGUGCUCGUACAUUUGAAGAUCGGAACACCAUGGAGCGAUGGAACAGAAGGUGUCACUCAAUGCCCUAUUUUGCCUGGUGAAACCUUCAGAUAUCAGUUUGUUGUAGACAGAGUAAGAGAUACUUGACUUACUCGUUUUGUUUUGUGUCUCUCAAAAACUCCAUGCUUUAAUUUGAGUUUGACCUUUGUGAAAUUUGAAAUCUGCAGCCAGGAACUUAUCUAUACCAUGCCCAUUAUGGUAUGCAGAGAGAAGAUGGUCUCUAUGGAUCCAUUGUGGUUUGGGUUCCAGAAGGACAAACAGAGCCUUUUUCCUAUGAUCUUGAUCGUAACCUCAUCCUCACAGAUUGGUAUCAUAAAAGCAGCCACGAACACGCCACUGGAUUGGCUACCCCUGGCUCUGGAUUCAACUGGGUGGGAGAGCCUGAUUCACUGUUGAUUCAAGGAAGAGGGAGAUUCAACUGCUCUAUUCUGGGAUCUUCCAGUGGUACCUGCAAUUCAUCGAGCACAGAAUGUGUUCUUCAUCCAUUAACAGUCGUACCGGGAAAAACUUACCGAUUAAGGGUCUCCAGUCUCACUUCUCUUUCAGCUCUCAGUUUCCAAAUUGAGGUAAUUACAAGUUCAUCUACUUGAUUUCAUGUACUCUCCUUGAAAUUCUUCUUAAAUGGCUUAAACUGAUAAACUCUCUGUUUUGGAAACAGGGUCACACCAUGACUGUGGUUGAAGCUGAUGGGCAUUACGUUGAGCCAUUUCAAGUAAACAAUUUGUUCAUUUACUCAGGAGAAACAUAUUCCGUUUUGAUAAAAGCCGAUCAAGACCCUUCUAGAAACUACUGGAUCACAACCAAUGUGGUGAGCCGAUCAAGAACCACCCCCCCUGGAUUAGCCAUUUUCAAUUACUACCCAAAUCACCAGAGUAGACUCCCUCCGACAACUCCUCCAGCACCACCUGCUUGGAACGAUGUUACUCCCCGAUUGGCUCAAAGUCAAGCCAUCAAAGCCCGGCAAGGUUUUAUCCACACGCCGCCCAAAGCCGCCGAUAAAGUGAUCGUGCUUCUCAACACCCAAAACACCGUGAAUGGCCGUCGCCGGUGGUCGUUAAAUAACGUUUCCUUCAAUAUGCCUCAUACCCCAUAUCUUAUUGCUCUAAAGCACAAUCUUCUCCAUACAUUCAGCCAGGAAAAACCACCCACUGGAUACGAUUUCAAGAACUACGACAUUUUUAAUCCGGCGCCCAACCCUGAAGCGACGGUAAGCGACGCCAUAUACCGGUUGGACUUCAAUUCAACUGUGGACAUCAUACUACAGAACGCCAAUAUGAUGAGCCCAAACAACAGCGAAACACAUCCUUGGCAUUUGCACGGACACGAUUUCUGGGUUUUGGGGUACGGAGAAGGGAAAUUCGAUCUUUAUAAGGAUCCAAGCAAGUACAAUUUGGAGAACCCGAUCAUGAAGAACACGGUGCCGUUGCAUCCAUAUGGAUGGACCGCUUUGAGAUUUGUGGCGGAUAAUCCUGGUGUCUGGGCUUUCCACUGUCACAUCGACGCGCAUUUCUUUAUGGGAAUGGGUGUAGUUUUUGAAGAAGGGAUCGAGAGGGUUGGAAAAUUGCCUACUUCCAUUAUGGGAUGCGGGGAGAGCAAGAGGUUCUUGAGACCUUAACUCAUUUCCAUUCCGAUUACUAUUCUUUAGAAAAACACAAAGAAUAUUCUUUUAUGUUUAGCCAAAUUUUUUGUGCUGAUUGAGAGUCACUAUGAGUGUAUAGGUAAAUGUUAUUGCUACUUAAUAAGAAGAAAUCGUAAUAGUUUCUUAAAUGAUUUAAAUAACAAUACCAUUGUUAUGUUGUUUAUUUGGACUACUAUUGGGAUGUUGUGUGUGUGUGACUUUUGUUGAUAUCAACUGCUCCUUUUAUAUAAAAUUUCAGUUAUUCAUUCAAUUAUGACAAUAAAGUUUAUCAUUUUAGAGGUUUAGAUAUCACAUCUCAUUCCACUAAAGAAAAAGUUUUACAAUUCACCUUUGAUUUGUGAACAAUGAUUUAUCAAUUUAGUUCAUUAUUUUGUUCUUUUUACUAAAUAUAUUAUUAAAUGUUAAUAGAACUUUUGACCUGUAGUUAUAGUUAACAAGUGCAUUGAAAACCAAAUUUUUGUUUUUAUAAACUAUAAAGACUACACAUUCAUACGUUUAAGAUUUCACUUAAUUUUGAAAAGAAAUUUUUAUGUAUUUAAUGCCAUAAUUAAAAUUUGAGCCUAAAAAGCGUUAAGGCUUAAACUUCACAUACUAAAUUAUGAGUUCAAUGUUGGAAGCCUUUUUUAAAAUAAAAAAGUUGACCAAAAGAAUAUGACUAAUUUAAAAGAAGUAGAAGAAAACAAUUGGAUGUUUAAUUUAUAUGUAUUUUCAUAUUGAAGUGCAAUUUGCAAAACGUAACUUAAACAGGUUUUUUGCUUCUAAAAGAUGGAAAGUAGUAGGUUUUAAGGAGGGUGACAAUCACAGCCCACAGGAAUGACCAAAUGUUUAAUAUUUAUAAACUAGAGAUGAAAGGCAACAGUAGUGACCAAAUGUUUUAUUUAUUGUUUAUUUCAACUUUAUCCUUUACAGUAAGGGACACUCUUUUCCUAUUUUUUUAUCCUCAAGUUUUUGUAGUAUUAGAUCACUAAUAUUCAUCCCUUUUCAGUAUAUCAUUUGGUCCAAAGUGUAGUAACUCUACCAAUUAAUUGAUAUAUCUAAAUAUCAACCUUUAAUAUUCCACUCUCACAAUUCUCUCUUUUAUUUUUCUUAAUUAUGAUUUUUCUCUUCUUCUAAUUUUAUUUCCACUUCAAUUUCUUUCAUUUUCGCCACAAAUUUGUUAUUUUAUUUUUUCAUUUUCUUUUUAUCUUCUCACAUUUACAUAUUUUCGAUUAUGGAUAUUUCAAUAAUGUUAGUCUUGCUAAACAAUCUUUAAGUAUGUUAGUCGUAUAUCCAUAGUGUAUUAUCAAUUUAAUCCUAAACCAUUAUUUGUUUUUUUUUCCUUCUUAUAUUUUUAACUUAGUCUAACAUCUAACAUGACCAUCUAUAAAUUCAAUUUUGAGGUUGAUUUAAAUAAAGAAAACCCUUUUCUUUCUUCUUCCUCCUCUCUUUUUUCUUCUUGUUGAUUGUGGUUGCAAGCAUACGACGAAGAAUAGGGCAAAGCUUCUAGUAUCGGGUAUGAGAUGAAGCUUUCAACGUUAUUUUUUUAUUGGUCAUUCAUCCAGUUGACAACAUAAGUUUUAGAUGAGAUAAAGAUUGAGAGAGUUCUAGAUAUAAAACCAAUGAAUAAAUGUACAUAUGUAUAAUCGUUUAUUUUAUAUAAACGAUAAUGGUUAUUGUCGUUAACAUUUGCGUAUAUUUUUAAAUAAACAAUAAAAUAUUUUAUAGUCAACUUAAGAAAUGAAAAAUAUAUAUUUAUUUAAAUAUUUUUAAAUAAACAAUCAAACAUUUUAGAGUCAACAUAAAAAAUGAAAUGGAAAAUAAAAUCAUGUUAAAUGUCAUCUUAUCUCUUCAAAUGAAAAUAGAAAAAAAAUUAUAUUAAAUGCCUUUUCACUCAAAAUAAGAAAAUAUUAUACUAAAUACAUUUACUCUCUUUUUAAUAAACCCUUAUAAAUGUAAUUUGUGUCUCAUCACUAAAUAAACAUUGAAAAUAGGAAAACAUAUAUUAAUAAAGUUAUUGUGAAACUAUAAAAUCCUUCCUCGAAGAUUUUGAAACUUAAAAUGAGAUUUUUGGAUUUUUAGGUAAAAUAUCUGAUUAAUUAAUUUAUAUUAUAGAGAAUAAGUAUGAGUCUGUUGGCCCAAAAGCCCAAAAGCCCAAAAGCCCAAAAGCCCAAAAUCUCAAAGGCAAUCUUCUCAAUAGGUGGAGGCUCUUAUCCAAAUCCAAUGGCCCAUAUUUUGCACUUGUGGGGCCCUACAGUUCGCCAUAUCUAUCCUAAGUGCGCAUUCAUUCAAACCACUGCCUCAAACAAACAUCACACUGUUACAACUUACCAUUGCCACCUUCACUUUAUUCAAGCUUCACAUACACCUCAAUCUGAUCAUACUAAAAUGGCACUUUCCCCAUUAACCUUCACAACCCCAAGACCUCAAGCUUCCCAAAUUUUCUCCCCCAAGUUAUCUUCCACUGUUAAACCCACAUCUACUUCUUCUUCUUCUUCUUCUUCUUCUUCUUCAGUUUCUGCUACUAAGAAGGCAAUAUCUAACAUGGGCAUUGGCCUUCUUGCUGCUUCGGUUUUGGCUCUUUCGCCCUUGGAUGCAAACGCUACCAGAAUUGAAUACUAUGCCACUGUUGGAGAACCCCUUUGCGAGUUCAACUAUGUGCCUUCCGGGCUUGGCUAUUGCGACAUCGCCGUCGGAUCCGGUGAGGAAGUUCCUUAUGGUGAGCUUAUCAAUGUCAGUUCCGAUCUUCAAUCAUCCACUUCUUGUUUCUCAUUUUACUUUUCUUCGCAUCAUCAAAUUCUACCCUGCUUUUAUAUGACUGCUUGUUUCCGUCCAACUUCUCCUGCAUUGCUUCGUUGCAGUGGAAUGUGCAAUUCCCGCCAAUAGUAUAUCAAUCUAAUAUGUGUCUCUCGUUUUUUGCUGAGUUUGCAUGUGGGUUAUUUUUCUUAAUAUGUAUAUGUUGUGUCACGUGUUGCAAUGAACUGCAAUUCACUACGUUUAAUUUCCCCAUUCCACGCAUAAGGGAUUUUAUGAUAUGUUUUUGCGUUAUUUUACCGUUCAAAUGCAGGUUCACUACACUGCAAGGUUUGCUGAUGGGAUAGUGUUUGACAGUAGCUACAAGCGUGGUAGAUAUCUCACCAUGCGUAUUGGUGUUGGCAAGGUAUUGAUCAAGUGUUUUGUACAGCUUCUUAAGGUGCAUAUGGGCUUGAAAAGUUUGGCCAAUUUGUUUAAGUGCGAGCGGCUACAGGCUUUGAGAGUAAUGAUACUGUUUAAGAGAAAAGUGAUGAAAAUAUAUGUAUUUUAGGUCAUUGGUAACUUAGUCCAUUUCUGCACUUUCCAGAUCAUGUCGUUUCUUUAGGAAAACGUAGUUGAGCAGAAUUCAAUUGUACUUAUAACUAUGAGAAAAAAAAAAAGCAAAUUUAAUUAGAGUAAAACGGUCAGCAGAAUAGCUUUUCUAGGAUUGAGGAACAUCUCUCUUUGUCCCAUCUUAAUAAAAUACGCACCUUGCUGCAUCAACUUGGUUGACAAUCACCUCCCUAUAUGCAACUAUCUUCUAAGAGACCUUGUGUGGAGUUAGUUCUCCUACAAAUCCCAAUUGUUUGUUGACGAGGAUGUAGAAAGAAAGUGGUGGGUUUCUUUAACGAUUUGACAAGGAAAGAGCUGGAUGAGAGUGGAGGCAAGUCUGUUACCAACAUGGGAGGAUCAGGGUACUGAGAAUUUUCCUUCUCAUGCCUAGAUUAGGAGCAAGAUACUAUUUGUAAAACAAACUUUUAAUUUACUUGCAACCAAUCAAUAGCCAUUAUAUGGAUAAAUAAUUCAUUACCUUAGCCACUAACUAUAACUACAUUCAUUUCACCUUGUGGUGAGUGUGGGACCGUGGGUAACUGGGUGGGUGUAGUUACUUACCACAUUGACUCAUCGGAAAGGGACUAAAGUUGAUAAGAUUGUUGCCAGGUAAUAAGAGGAUUGGAUCAGGGAAUAUUAGGGGGUGAAGGAGUACCACCAAUGCUAGUAGGUAUGUCUACUGACGCAAUGAGUAGAAUUUUGUGGUUUUCUUUUUUUGCUGGUUUGCUUCUAAGAAAUUAUUGCCCCUCUGAUUUUGCCUAGGUGGCAAACGUAAGCUUCAGAUUCCUCCACAUUUAGCGUAUGGACCAGAACCAGCAGGCUGUUUUUCAGGUUGAAUUCUUUGAACUGAACUGCUUUGUUUUGCGUGUUGGCUAUCUAAAUUUUCGUGACAAUGUUGCAAGCUGUCUGUAGUUGCUUCUGUUGGCAAGUUAACGGUAGUUUAUUUUGUGCAAAUGCAUUAUAUGUUAGUGUGUAGUUGCUUUGCUCCAGAUAUCUCUUUUUGAUACUGGUGAAACCCAAGUACCAAUUAACUAAUGGACUCUGUUAAUGCCAUUUGUGUUGCCUUUACAGGUGAUUGCAAUAUACCUGGAAAUGCAACUCUUGUGUAUGAUAUAAAUUUCGUUGGAGUCUACUCAGGAAAUAGGAAGUGAUGGAAACAAUACCCAAUUUCCUACAAAAUUCUUGUAGAUAGACAACACAGAGUAAGUGAUUUUCUGACUUUUCUAAAUGUUCAAUCAUAUCAACCUAUCCUUUGUUUGGUUUCUCUUUUAAGUUGUGUUCACAGCUCAGCUAUCUUAACACACCCAUUUGUUUUUUGGUCCAUCUCAUACAGUAGAAUCACAACAAUUAUCUCAGUAGUGUCUCAGAUUCCAUUUCAUGCUUCCUGCUUCAUCUAUUGUUCAUCAUACACUUUUUCCCUCUUGGUUUCCCAGAACUUAAGUUGAAGCUAAACCACGAGCCAAAAGAAGUGCAUUUCUCUCUGGAUUUUCCAAGUAUGUGGAACUCAAGCUUGACUCUUAAGGCAGAAUACUUGGUUUUCUCCAACUAACCACCAGCAGGACUGGCAAUCCUUUUUAGGUGAAAAUCCAGCUAGGCAUGGUUGAAAUUGCUCAAUUCAAACGUAAUUGACCAAAACUAUGUAUUUGGUUGUUUUACAAGAUUAUGACUGUAUUUCUAUGCACGGAUACUAUUAUACUUUGUAAAAGCACGUCUUGUUUCUGAGUACUUCAGUAACUUUAUGCAAAUGGAAUCUAAUGACCGCAUUUUCUUUGAACACAUUCUUUUUUAAUAUGAUCGAAUUGUCAAUGAACACAAAAUUAUUAAACAUAGAUCACCCUAAUUUUUUCUCACCGCGAUUUUUCUUUAUGCUACCUUUGGAUAUGAGAAAAAGGUUAACGGAAAAAAAAUGUUCCGAAAGCCAAAAGCAAAGAAAGCAGGAUUCUUUCCUCACGUUUGGUGAAGAGAGAGAACCGGAAAGGAAGCCUUGGCUUGGCCUUUUUCUUCGUUUGCUGGGACCAAAUGCCGUUUGAAAUAAUUUGAAUUUUGUGUUCAAAUUUUUAGGCUCUUUUCCAAACCGAAAGUAAGUGCAAAUGUAUAGCCAUACUGCUCCUUCACAAUUCAUUAACUUAAUAAUUUCCAGUCCUUUAAAAUAAAGCGACUUUGGUUUUCUUCUUUUUUCCUUUCCUCUAACAGUUAAUAACCAGGUUGGAAUCUUGUUUUCUUUAGGUGAAAGAACAGCUGUGGGGAAGCCAAAGUCGUCUCACAAACAGAAAAUUACAACAUCAUGAAAUAAAGUAAUCUCUUACAUCAGCUAGUAACAACUAACAACCCCAAAUAUUCUAAUUACUCAUCCAUCUAGUUGACCAUUUCUUCUUCACAAAUGAUUGAACACACAGUAAUAUAUAUCAUUACCAUAAUUAUUGAGGUGUUUGACAAAAAUUUAGCAGAAGAGAGAUAUAUAGAGAGAGGUACAAAACAGGAGACUUGUUUUAGCUGCAAAGAAUUACAUGACAGAGCAAGCAUUUGGGUUGUCAUCACUGAACAUGUUGAUGUAAGGAUCUUCAUAUUUGGUAACAGAAGCAGUAGUGGCAGUUUGCUCCACAUUUCUUACAUACCCCGGUGGUGCCUUCUUAUCAUAAGCCUGAGCAAUGUAAGGCUGUGACACUAAGCUGUAGGGAACAUAUGGCCAUAUCUCAGCCUUUUUCCCUGUAGACUUCGCCUUCUUCAGUAUCUUGCUUGCUUCAACAUACCCCGUAACUGUCACUUUCUGCUGCUUCCUGUUUAUCUCCACAGAUUUUACCCCUUCCAAAGUUCAAAAGCAACUGCAUUUUGUUAGAUAGAGAGAAAAGGAAGAAGUAAAAACACAAAAGGGUUGAGUUUCUUUAGACAUAACAUACCACUGAGUGAAGAGAGGGCAUUCUUGACCUUAAGUUCACAGCCAUCACAGUCCAUUCUGACUUUCAACUCCACGGUUUGAAGCUGUUUCUUCUUCUUGUGUUUAUGGGUGUUACCCACCAAAUCUGACAAGUACUCCAAAGUCCCACCAACACCCAUUUUUCACUCUUUAAUCGAUGUAGUUGAAAAGGGAAAGGGACAACAGAAGCUCACAGAAGCAAAAACCAGAGUUGUAGAAAGAAAUGGAAACGUAAGUUUGGGUAGAAUGAUGGAUCUUUCUCUUUAGUCUUUACCUUCUCUUCAAGCAAACAAGCAAAGAAAAGGGCAUUAGAAACAAAGGCUGCUUUCUCUGGUUUUGAGAUGGUUAUAUGAAAGGAAACAGAGCUCGUUAUAUAGCCAUCUGGGUUACAUUUUAAAACUAAAGGAAAAAGGGUUGUGUUUUGGUUGUGGCCCCCCAAUCACCAAAAAUAAUUUGGCUUAGGAAGCUUGGUUCUUUUUUGUUGCUGUGGACGUUGCAUUUUUACUUUAAAAUGGCAAUUCUUUUAAGAUUAUGAAUAUAUUAAAACAAAUCUAUAUGCUUUUCUUAAUGAAGAGGUACUUUUGGCUCUAUCCUUUGGAAGAUUGAUCGCCUUUAUUCCAGUAAUAAAAUUAAGUUUAAUUUACAAAUACCAAAACAAAAAUAUAGAAAACAAAUUUGCAAUUUAACCUAAAACUAAAACCAAUUGGGCUGUCAUUUAUGGAGUGAAGCUGAAUUCAACAAGUUUUAAAAACCAACGCUAUACCAAAAAUGUCACCGCCAUCUUUACCUUAAUGCAUGAGGAGUCUUCUUAAUUUAGUGGUUUGCAUAAUUUUAAUUUAAUCUCAAUUUUUUCACGUAACUUUUUAAAACUAUUUCAUCUUAAACUCCAUUAUAAGAAGCUUGAAGGUGCAUGGUGGUCGGUAGGUGAUUAGAUCAAUUUCAAUUUUAACCUUAGUUUUUAAUUAAAUGGGUUUGGCUGGCUUAAACAACAAGUAGUAACAACAGACAGAUAUGUUGUUAGGAAGAGAAGUAUGUUAUGUUAUAAUAGUUGAAAAGAAAAAGUAGUGGUCAUGUCGUUUUCUGAACAACAUAACACUAAACAUAUAUAUAAAAAAAUAAAGACUUGGGAUUAUUUUAGUUUUCAUAAACAAUAAUUUUAGUGUUUGUUUGAAAAGUGUUGUGUUGGGGACUUGGGGGUGGAGAGAACCCGAAGGAAGGAAAGUGGGCAGCAGCCUCCUUCCUUGUAUGCAAUUGCAAAACUUAAGUCUUUUUCAAUUGUAUUCUUCUAAAAGUUUUAUAAUAAUCUUUCCCUUUUCAUUUCUGUUUUUAUUGUGUAUAUUUAUUGGUUUUUCACAUGGACAGGUUAAUUGGCUUUGAUUAAAUCUUUAAUACUACUACUAAUCACUGAUUGGAGCCACAAAUGUUGAUUACUUGAGUGAUUUAGAUGAUCAAGAUUUUUCAAAAAUUAAGUCAAAUUAAUUUUGACUUAAUUUGUGAAUCCAGAAAUGUGGUUUGGGAUGUGUGUAAAAAGAUCAUGAUGCUGAUUCUUUAUUCUAAUAGAGGAAGGAAGUAAAAUGGGUGUGGCUAAUCUUACCAUUUCUUCCUCUAUUCCUUUUCCUCCACUUUCUAUUUUGUCUUCAAACUUCUCCCCUAAUAAGCACACAUUUAAUAAAGUCACUCUAUCACACUAUGUACUUUUUUUGGCCACGAAUAUUUUUCAUUUCAUCAUGCAACCUCUUUUUUUAUAUAUAGUAAUUAUAGCUACAUUAAUAACUUUGACGGGACCCCCAACUUAUAAUUAAUUAAUUAGCUUUCUAUCAAAUUAAAAAUAAAAACGGUAUUAGAUUAUAUCUAUCCAUGAAAAAAGAUAAGAAAAUUGUCAUGAUCUUUAAAACAUAAACCGACACUAGAGAUCUAACUUUACAUCUCAUAAAAUCUAAUAAAACUAAAAAUGAUGGUAAUUAUAAUUUGGUGUUUAAUUAACUUAGAAUAAUAAUUUGUCCAAAAAGGUAGACAUGAGAUGGGAUAGGACAAAGGCCUGUGCAAAGGAAAAACUGUUCCAACUCUUACACAAAACUGGGACCUUCAAUGUGAAGAUAAGAAUAUUAUUUCUCAUUAAACUAACCACCAUUCUUAUUCUUCAAAAUAUUUAGUAACCAAAGACAGAGAUUUAAAUUAUUGGUUACAAGUUAUUAUUAAUGCAUAUGUUUAAUAAAGAAAAAAAGAAAGAGGAAAAAGGGGAUUCACAAACAAUCCAUCUUCUUGUAGCUUUUUUAUUUUGGAGGUUUGGUUUUGUUAGACAAAGAGCAUUGUCUUUUUUAUUUAUUCUUUUCAAUGGAACAACAACUUUUUAGAAUUGGGAAAAUAAAGGUGACUUUCUUCUUCACCACCACCACCACCUCUACCUCCCAAACACAAUUAUUGCUAUACAUUUUAGCUCUCAUUCCUAUUCCUAUCUAUACUAUGAUUAAUUAUUCAACCUUCUCACUUUCCUUUUUCUUUUGUAAUAUUUGAAUUUACACAAAUUUGACGAUCUCACAAUCUCAUUCGAUAGUUUUUUCAUUUUUCGUUCUGGUGUACUUUUUUCACUUAAAACGCGUAAAAGAUAAUGAAAAUGGAGGGUUAAAUUUGUAAAAGAAAUUAAAUAUAAAGGAAAAACCCUUUAGUGUAUGAGGUAAGUAUCACAUUGUACUAGUCUUUUCUAAUGAUUUCUUUUUAAGAUGACGACAUAAUUUAAAUGUAUCUAUUCUUAUGAAGCUUAAAUUAGUAACAAAAUCAUUCCAUGGCCUUGUUUUUUUUCUUUGGAAUUGUUCAUUUGUACUUUAGAAUAAUUAUAGAACCGAAUUUAUGUAGUCUAAAUUGAUUUGUGAGAUUAUAUUAUAAAAAUUUAUAUAGUUUAAAGGUCUAAAUUGAUUUGUGAGAUUAUAUUAUAAAAAUUUAUAUAGUUUAAAGGAGAUUUUAUAAUUAUGAUUUUACAACAUAACAUGGCAUAGCUAGAAUUAUAUUAACUUUUAGCAAUGGCUUAAACACAAUAACCAAAGUUGGCUUUGGACAUUAUUUCAUGAAAAAAGAAAGUUUUGUUUCUAAUGUUUGUUUUGACCUCAUGAAUAAGAACAGCACACGACUCCUUUUUAUAACGUUUUGGUUAUAACUUUUUUGUACUUUAAGGGAUUGGGCUUUUUUUCUGCCCUUGAUUUCUUGAUUUAUGUUUUUACUUUUUCAAAAAAAGAUUAGAAUUUAUAUUUGAUGCAGAAAGUCAAAAUUUAAAAAGAAAUUGAAAGCUAUUGUUUUGCUAGAUUGUCUUUUUCUUAAAAAAAAAGAAAAGAAAAGAAGAAGAUUAAGUGAAUUAAUAAACAAAUAUAUUUGAUAUUGAAAAAGAAGAUAGCUGUAUAACACAUGCAAUCAAUUAUUGUAUGGUGAACAGUUUGGGUAUUCAUCUAAAAUGCUUAAUUGUUCUUACUUGAUUUAAAUUAAUAUAUAAAGAAAUUGUAAAAAAAAUAAUUAAGUUAGAAGAUAACAAAAAGGGGAUUAGUAAUAUGGAUGUAGAAAUGAAUUAAAAAGUGGUGUGUUGGGGAAAUGAAUAGAGAAGGAAUUGUUGUGUGAAUGAAAUAAUUAGAAGUACUUUGGUGUACGCGGUGUCAGGUAAUGAAGUUCACUCAUUGAUAUAUAUAAUAAUAAGAUGAGUCCUCUUCCCUACAAUUUCAAACAAUAAUUGAAAUUUGGAAACGAUGUGGCCUUCACGCACACGAAGGAACCAUAAUCUAUAUAUAUAUAUUAAAAUGAAAUAUUGGUUAGUUCUAAAAUUAGUUUGUAUUAUUGGGUUCCUCAACUUUAAAAAUUUAUAAUAAGUCUUUAACAUUGAAAAUCUAAAAUAUCUAUUUGAUUUUUUAGGCAUUGUUAUCUACCUUUAUUAAAAAAAUUAGGCCCCUAUGAUAACUAUACUCAAACUUUAUUACUUUCUUAUCUACAUUUUAUCUAUGGAUUAAAAAUCAAACCAAAAUUUGAAAAUUAAAAAGAAAAAAUAACUGACAAAAAAAAUGUUUUCUGUUCUUCAAAUUUGACUAAGAAUUUUAAUCUUUGUAUUUGAGAAAGAAUGCAAAUUAUUGUAAGAUAGGAAAAGGAAAUAGGUAUAAUUAUAUAUAUAUAAAGCAAAGCCGAAAGAAGAAAUGGUUACGAAGUGAAAUUAAAAUAAAUAACAAAUAAUAAGGUUAGGAGAAAUAAAGAGUAAAGAUUAAGAAGGUAGUAAACUAACGGUAAUAUAUAUCAGAAGAGGAAAACAUAUAGAUAGAAGAAUGUAUAGCUACAUAACCAAAAAUGCAACGACUAUCAUCGACCCCCAUUGGAUGGCUCAUAUAAUGCCCCAAAAAAAAAAAAAAACUAAGAAAAAAGAAAGAAAAGAAGGAAAAUGCCAUUGAUGGAACUUGCAAGGACACAAGAUCUACAUGUCGUCCUUGCUGGGGGGAAGAUAGAUGUAAAGAGACUACCUCCAUUUACAUGUAAAACUUACUUAGAUAAAGCUCAGAAUCUACAUCACACGCAAGAAGAAACAAGGCAGAGUGCUAGAAGAAGCAGGUGCGGCAAUCUGAUUGAAUAAAAUCUGGAUGGGAUGAAGCAUGGGGUAGCAGCUGAUGGUUUAGAAGGGGCCCUUCCAGCUACGGCAGGAGCCACCGCGUGCCCCCCUGAAGCGCUCUGCUGUUCAUCGGCUGGUAAUGGGUUUGGCGGUGUCUCUUUUGCAGGAGUAAGAGGCAUUUUCUUUUCGUUACUGAGAUCUUGACCUUCGACAUGAACAUGGUAGAAAUAUGAAUGGAAGUUCAUGAAACGAGUUUAUAAAACAAUGGAAAAGCCAUACUUUCAUUUAACAAACGAAAAUAAUAUACAAUGAACAAUACAAAAAACCAACCCAUAUGAAACGAAGCAAGAAAAAAAAUGAUGGUUAAGACAGUUCAAACAUUUUCUUUCGGUUUUAUCAUGCACAAGAUGUGGGCAUCAGUUAAGAAGCUGCAAAAUCAUGACAAGUAACUACUAGGAGAUGGAAAUCUUACAAUUUGCGUGUGACCAACCCAACUUCAAAUUAUCCCUAUCAAAUACCAUCCGGUAUCCAGUCAUGUAAUUUUCUGCACAAGACAGCAAUACAAAAUUACCAUUUUCAUUAGACGUACGAUUUACUGCACAUAUCGCAUAUAUCAUAUUAGCAAUCUAAAUUUGAGGAGACAUUGUGAGCUUACGUCCCAAUAUUCCGAUAUCUCCAUCAGCAGGUAGUAUAGCAAAACAAAAUCCAGCUAACCCCUGUAUGCAUAGUACUGUUUAGUAUUAACACAGGCAUUAUUUUCUUGUAUUAGAAGUGAUGCAUAGCAUGUGACUUCUUCAGGAUACUUAAAACAAUUAUAUCAUCUAUUGGAUAGUUAGAACUAGAGACUAACUGCUAGGCUGUAUCAAAGAAGAGGGCCCUACCUCAGCUUGAUAGUUUAAGCACACCUUAUUUUUUUUCUUUUAUUGUUUUAGUUCUUAUUCUUCGUUUCCUUGUAGUCUCUAGUUUCUGGAGUAUCUAAAGCUAUCAACUUCACUACUAUGUUUCACAGUUCGAUUUUUAAGUACUUUUAUGCCCACUAAAAGUCAAAGCUAUUCCAUUAAUGGCUAAUUAUGACAAAUUUCAAAGAUCAAGUCCACAUCUUCACCCAUAUUCACCAAAUCAAAUCAUGCACACUUAAACAUUCUUAGAAGGAAACUUCCAUCUACCUGAUCGCCAUAGAUAGGGAAUACAGGAUCAUGAACCACAAAACUAUUGUUUAGUGGAAACAACAAUGUCACAGAUGGAACCUUUGGCAUUGCGUCUGCACUGUUGGAAAAAACGAUAACAUUAAAGUUAGACAUGCACAAGGGUGGGGUUUAUGAAGGGAAAAGGAUUUUACUGGUUAUCCAUCUCAUCGAUAUCACCUGAUCUUAUAGCAAUACUUCCAUGGAUAUCCUUUAAAGGAGACGGCGCUUGUAGUGUUUAACCUUUUAUCAAACUAUGAAAAGGGGAACUGGUUAAAGGACAAACGAACGAUAAAUUAAGUACAAAGCUGAACUACAAAAUGAAUGUACCUCAAUCACAAUAUUUUCAUAAGCUUCCUCUGGAAGAUAUGUAAACGAUGUCCCACUAUCUAUCAAUGCUUUAAAACUUGUCUGCUUGAGGCACGAAUUCUCAAUACAACAUGCUUCCACCCCAACAAUGUAGGUUUCACUGAAAGAUUCAGGUAUCACAAGGACUUCAGUCGGCAUAUAUAACAAAACAUGAUCAUCAUAAACAUGGAGAUAAUUCAUUAUGGUAAUUACUAUUUCCCGUCUAAUGGCACAAAUGAAGUUGUUUGCUGACUUGCAGGUCCCUCGUCCCCAAAAAAGAUUCUUCCAGAUCCAUCCUCAUUAAAACACAGCGAGAAGGAAUUCUGCACCAAUUCUUCUUUCGCAAGGGAACUAAGAACAGAAAUUUCUCCUAACCCUAAUCCAAAAAGACCAUCUGGAGCGACUCCACUUAGAUAACCGCCGCUUUGUUUCAUACCACACCUGUAUUAGAGAGCAAAAAUGGGUAAUAUAAAUACAGUAUCCUUCCUUAUUGCUGCAGUUUACACACAGCAAACAAUUGGAGGAACAAAAUGUAGGAACAAUGGAUCAUACCCUAAAAUGACAGGAGCCUGAAUCGUACAAUUAGAUGAAUUCUCACAACCGGAUGAAAGAUGCAACACAUCCUGAAUUAGUAGUCCUGAACUUGAAGUAUUUUCAGUAAUGUAGUCAAUAACAUAAGGACAUGACUGCUUCGGACUUUGGCAGCUUUGGCCUGAGUCGCACAAAUUAUGGCUGCAAGAUAUAUGCUUGCUCGUGCUUGAACUGGAUGGACGGUAUUCAUUGAGAUCUUUAUCCUGCAUUAUAAAUAAUGCCCCAAACAUGAGGGAGCAGGAGCACCUGCCAAUCAAUCAUCGGAAAUAAGUGCUAAACUUGCUGUCUUAUUAAAAAGACUUCAUAAUCCACUAAUACAUUCGCGCCAAAAAUGAGUUAGCCAAUCUUUCAUCUCCGUCUCCCCUCGGGCAUUUUUUAUUUCCCAUUGGAACUGGCCAUGCCUUUCUUUUCCGCCAAAAAUCACUACAAGACUUCGAAUUCCAGAACACAAUUUGUCCAAGCAUAACCCUUGAUCUAACGGAAAUAAAAAGGCAAUAUGCUUGGGUAUAAAGCAUAAGUCGUGGAUUAGAAGUAAUUAAUGUUUAUGUGGAAAGAACAGAUUCUGAAAAGCAGGCCUACCAGACUGCCAUAGUAACUUGCAGACAAGGGAGCACAUUGUAUGCAAUUACAAGGAACCCAAAGUAGAUCACUCCCAGCAUCCAAUGCAACCAGAAAAGAAACACUCGGUGUCCCGAUAUCAAUCCAGGUGUAAUGCAACCUAUAAUACGUAAACAACAAGAUGAUUUACAAGUGCAUAAGAUAACAUUUUAUAACACAAAAUUUUCUCAUAAAGGUGCCACUAUGCAAAAAGCUAUUAGAAGAUGGUUUUUUUUCCUUUUUUGGUGUGUGGGGGAGAGAGAUUACUAAAAAAAAAAAAAAAAAAAAAAACAAACAAACAAACAGAAAAGUAAUGCAAAACGGAAGAACAAAAAAUAGCAAGAACAAAAAGGAGAAGGAAGGAAGAGUAACGGUGACCAGCCAAAAUCAUUUCCGAGCGCAAUGGUUUUACUGCCUUCAGACGGGAAAAGCAACUGAAACCGAGAACCAAGCUUCAUCUUCUGCCUCCGAAAGUCACCACUAACAAGCUCCUGAUAAUACUCCAUACUCCCCUUCUCAGGCCAUGAUACUCGUACACUCGUAUUCGUACUCCCUGAAGCCCUAAGGGCCUUCAUCUCCUCAGAGAACCUGUGAAGUAUCCUUGAUGUGAACGUAAUAGACACCACCUGGUGAACAAAAAUCACCAUCAGCAGCAACAAAAGCAGAUUCCGAAGCGACAUUGCAACUCAGUCCUUGAAAGGACGAAGGAAGUAGCUCGAAGACGAGAUCUGGAGGUUCAGAAGAAACCCACGAACAAUUCGGAGCUUUAGUUACCCGCCGGUGAACCAAAAUGAAAAACAGAAACAGAAAGAAUCUGAGGGGUAUGAAGAAACCCAAGUUACGGGACAGAGAUCGGAGAAGAAGGCGAACGAGUUACGACGGAAGUAGGAAAGAAGAAAUGAAGUGAAGUGUAAAGAAGAAGCGAAGUGAAGUGAAGUGAAGUGAAGUGUAAAGAAGAAGCAGAGGGAGGGAGGGGGAGAGAGAGAGAGAGAGAGAGAGAGAUAGAAGAGGGCAAAAGAAGAAAAGGAAGGGGAGGAGGAGGACAGAAGGGAUUUGUAAUACACGGGGAAAAUAGCGCGUGUUAUAAAAUAAUUCCUUUUCAGUGUGUGCGCGCCCGUAAGAGAGGUUGUCGUUUUCUUAAUCACCGUUGGAUACAUUUCUUCUGCCUCUUUACUUUUCUUAUUUUUUCGUUUUCGUAUUUUAUUUUUCAAAAUAUAUCGAUGCUUUUGUAAAUUUUUUAUUUAAAUAAAGAUUAAAUGUGAGCUACUACUUUUAGUUUCGGAUAUUUGGACUUUUCAAAUGAAAUAAAUUAAAAUUCAAAAUAAAGGAUAAAUAAACGAAAUAAAUUAUUUGGAGAUUUUAUAAAAAAAAUAAGUUCAGAUUUAUUUGAUUUCUGUGUUCGAAUUAACCCUUUCCAAUAUAAUAAAAAUUACAAACAUAACAUAAUUUAGAUUUAAUUUUUAAAAUUUAUUAAUACAUUAUUAGAAAGUUAAUAGAUAAUAACAACAUAAUCUAGUGAUUAAAGUAUUUGUUAUUUUUAAGAGUAAAAAAAAAAAAAAAGUUGAAUUUUCUACAUUUACAUUUAUUGGUAAGAAAAGUUUCCUAAAGCAAACAUUCAGAUAGAAAAUGUAUGCCUCAAUUAUUGACAAAAUCAAGAAAAUAAAAAAGGUAUCCCAAUAAAUCCCUUUCAUGAUUAUUGGUGGUCUUGCAUAAGAAAUGUAGUUGGGGAUAAAGUUCUAUUGAAGAUAGGACUCUUAGGUAGAGAGACCAAGACUUACUAAAAUUGUAUUUGGUCAAAAUGUAAACUUUUGGUAGGUACAAAAUCUCCACUCUUCUUAAUUCAAUUGGUCCAAAUUAAAAUGUUUACCCAAAUAUGCAUUGCUCCUACUCCUAACUAGCUAAAAUGUUCAGCUUAAGUGACUGGCACUUAACAUCUAUUUUUGUAGGUGUGAGUAAGGUUAGCCACAUACUCAUGUUCAUUUAGUAUUUAUAUUCCACCUUGGUUCGAACAUUUUACCCUAUAUGUAAAUAGUUUCAAAACUUUUGACAUUAAAAAAUAUAUAUAUUUUUAUAAGAAAAGAAAUGAUAUGUGAAUUAAAAGUGAGGAGACCUAAUUGAAGGGAAACAAAGAAAUUGAAAGAUGAACUUUGUGGAGGCACCACACCAAGAAGGUGGUCCAAGAAUUACUUACGUGUCGAUUAAAACUAAAAAAGCGCAUUCAUUCUCAUUGGGCGGCGGCCCUUCACUUGCGAAUUUAAAUGAUAAAAUUCUUUUAAAUAAUUCAUCGCAUUACGUUUCAAAUUUCAAACCUAUCCUCUAAAUACUACCAACUGCUGGCAGUGGCAACCCACUCAUUGUCAUUCACCUGCAGCACUUUUCACUUCUGAUUUCUGAAUAUGAAAACUCCAAACCAAACCAAACCAUUACUAGAAAGAAAAAUUAUUUAUUUCAGGGUAUCCUAAUAUAUAAUUCACAAGUUCUGAAACGAGAGAAAAACUAAGAAAACAGAGAGAACGUCCAGAACAUGUGUUUAUAAGAGGUUCCUAUGCAUACAUUCUUUUUAUAAUAAUAAAUUCACACAAUGAGAAGUUACAUAAUUACAUUAUACAUUACUUUUCCUCAAAAUUGACAAGCAAUUGAAAUCAAUGAAAUACAAACAAGACCAAACCCAGAAAAACUAGUGAAAGGAAAUUUCCAAUUUUCUAUUUAUAAACUAAAAAAAAAAAAAAAAAAAAAAGAGAAAUCUGGAAAGUAUAUUAUAUACACUAUCAUGAUAAAUGCUCAAAAUUGAAAAAAUAAUUCCGCAAGGGGAAGGGGAUGGUCUCCUACUAAUGCAAUGGUGUAGCUUACUUGUUAGACCACUGAAAUUCUAUUUCCAAAUUCCGAGGACCGCUUUUGCUUUCAGGCAACAGGGUGUACUCGCCGGCAACCGCUCCCAACAUUACAACUUUGUCAAUUUGAAUUGUUACUUUCCCGAAAGAGCUCUGUUUUUGUUUUAGAGUACAUGAAAAGAAAAUUAGUUGUGAAGCUUUCAUAUGGAAACAAAUGAAGAGAAACAAAGGAAACUUAAAUGAAACUCGCCUUCCCCAUUUUGCUUUUGUUCUUGCAAGAAAUAUGAAGCUUCUGGCCUUUCGGUGGACUCUCAAAGGACCAUGCAAAAUUCUCAUCCCAUUCUGGAUUUGGACCGGUUGAUACAACCUGACCAAAAUUUAAAGAGAAGUUACAGUUUAGAAAUCUGAGACAAAUUGGGAAAAGGAUCAAAGAACAAAAGAAGCGAUGAUAAUAUUGGUUAUGAUGGAAUAAAAUAGGACCACAAAUUUUCUCCUAAAACCGUUCUGCCAGUAAAAUUUUAAUAAGAUACGGGGGCAUUUCGUCCAUGAACUGUACAAAAGAAUUAUUCAAACAUGGUGCAUAUGCAGAUGAAAAAUGAUAUAUGGAGAUGGACCACACAUGCGACAAGAGAAAGGAACCACACUACUCCAGCACACAACAGACUAUAGUUCCGAUAAUUAGUUAAACAUAGCCACUAUAAUUGACUAAUAUAUAAAUUAUCUUCCAUGGAAUAUUUACAAGUGUAAAAACUAUGAAUAAAAGGAAGAUGCAGAGAUGGAGUACAUUACCUUUGUUUGCCUCGGUGGAGUAUUGCCAAGGGUGAGCUUACAAAACACGCUGGGGUUUCCUACUGACUGCUUCAUGUUGUUGCCACGUUUGAUUAUAACUAAUAAUGUUCCUGGCAAGCACUGUAACAAAAAUUCAGCCUUCUCCUGGAAACGAGGAGGACCUGACUGAAUUAGAUACUGAAGCAAAGGAAUGGCAUCUGCAGCAGCAACAGACUGAGCUCUUGAAACCUCCGCUGGACAAGCUGACCAAGCUUGCCUCAAAAGAAACAGGGAAUCUAACGCAGCUUCUUGAGUUGCCUCAGUACCAGUCUUUAAGGAUGUUACUAGAUGAGGAAUGCUGAGUGUAGCAGGCUCAGUAGCUCUCAAUCGUGGGAAGUUGCUGAAAAGAGAAUUUAGGGCUUUCAGGUAUUCCUCAUUCACGGUUCCAGUGGCCCACAAGUCCUUUUCAAUGGCAGCUGCAAGACCAAAUUGUUAUGACACUAUAUCUUCCGAGGCAGGUAAGUAAAGUUUAUUAGGCAAGCGUCUAAGAAAUUGUUGUAAAAGCAGAUGAUUAAUUCUAGAAUGCAGUCUCCCAAGGGGAAAAAAUAAAGGAAAACAUUCAAAAAUAUAUUCAAUCGUGUAGCAGAUGUGCGGAGAUGAUUGAAAAGGAAAACCCAAUUCUAUCAAUGUUAUUAUGCAUGUGGAGGGUUUAGGGAAAUUACCAGUGAUGGCCCUAACUGUCUCACUGGAUGCGUAUUCCUGAAUGGUAUGAUUUGAGAAAAGGAGUUUAAUAAACAUUGCAGCCUGCACAGAUGUAUCUGGAUCACUGGAUCCAAUUAGGUCCAAUACCACCUGAACACCACCAGCCUCUGCAACUGCUCUUUUGUUUGAUCGACUGUACAUAACAAGAUUUUGCAAGGCACAUAUUGCUACCACUUUCAUUUCUUCUGUUGGUUGGUCCUCAAGCACAUUGACCAGAGCACGGCAAGCUGAAACAGCAUCCGUGCUUCUAGCAAGAGCUUCAUUCUGGAACAAAUCACCAAGUGCCAAAGUUGCCAGCAACCUUGGCUGUUGAGCUUGAGUUUGAGGAUCCAAGAGAUACUGGGAUAAUGGUACAAUUGCAGAUUUAGUAACCUUGGUUUCUCUGAUCUUCACAUUAUUAAGAAGUACUUCCAGUAGUCUAGCUGCAGUUUCCUCACAUUGAUGGCUUCUCAGAAGUUCCAACAGUGCCUCAAUUGCUCCACUUUCCGCCAUUGCUUCAGCACUCGUUGCAUCAUCACUUUCAAGUACAAGUAAAGCAUUCAGUGCACCAACCACUGUGCUUUCCAAUCCAGAACGAAGCAACCUGACCAACACCGCAACUGGGACUUCCAGAUAAAAUUCAGAACUGAACUGUAGAAUACUCGCUAAUACAGUGGCAGCAGAUUCCCACAAUGAAUGAGGAAGUGAAGGAUCAGCUUGCAGAAUGACUUUGGAUAACUCACUGACACCACCUUCUUUUGCUAUUUCAUUUGGCCACGUUAGUGCAAUACUAACAAGAGCCUUGACAGCUCUCUGCUGCAAGAUUUGAAUACCAGAACCAAGUACUCGUAUUAGAGGACCAAUCACUUGCUGCGUAACUGAGUCCUUUUGCAAAUGUUCUUCCACAAGUAGGUGUGAUAGGAGCUCAGCUGCCAAUUGUUGCACAGCUGGAGCAGGGGAAUCAAGUAAAGGAAUGAGGGGUUCAAUUGCUUGGUGACAGGUCAAUGUAUAGUCAGCACGACACUGAGGAUGCUCUAAUAUAUUAACAAGAACCUGCAGUGCACUAUGCUGUCCAUCAGGUCCAAAUUCUGGUCUUGUCAACAAUAGGAAAAGAGGUUCAACCACUUUUGCAGCAGAUGAUCCCUUAGCAAUGUUAGCAUUAUUAGUCAGUAUACGUAGCAAUUCUGCAAAGGCUGAACAAAGAAAAUCAGGUGCUUCAAGGAGGAUAUCCAAAAUGCUUUCAAUUACUCCAGCUUUUACCAUUUCCAUCUUACAAGCAGGUCUAUCUUUUCCUAACUUUACAAGUGCUCUAGACACUGCUUCGUGAAGCAUGAAAUUUCUACCAUAGAGGAGGCCUACAAGAGGGAUAACAGCUCCAUGUGCAGCAACUAGUUCUGCUAGUUGUUCAUCAUCAACUAGUUUAUCCAAUGCACGGACAACUGAUUGUUGAGCAGGACUAAAUUCAGUCACAAGAAGCGAUACCAAAGGCUCGACACAUCUCGCAGCAGCCAUUGUAGAUCUGAUUCUUGUAUUUCCAAAAAGUACACAGCACAACUCAGCAGCAUCUCCCUUCAAGUCCAUUGUACAAUUUGUUGACAGAAUUUUGCAAAGGACAUCAACUGCAUUCAUUUCAACAUCUGCAACUGCAAGGGCUCUUGAUGGGUUUUCACUUAAUAAACGAACUAAAGCAGCAAUGGCAGCAUGUUGCUCCCUCUCUGAGCCAGUACUGAGAAUCUCAACUAAGGGUUGCACAGCUUGUCUGGACGAUUCAGCAUUCCUAAUAUGGUCAGCAGAAAAGAGGCUCUCCAAUGCUUUAGCAGCACUAUACCUUGCACCCCUUCCACCCAAACGCAGAACUGCUACAAGCUGACUGACAGCACCAAAUGCGGAUUCAUGCCUACGUAUCUCAGAACUGCUGAAAAGAAUUCCUAACAAAUCAGUAGCAGCUUCUUCAGUUGCAUCUUGUGGUCCAAGUGAAAGAUAUUUGGUCAAUGCUUCCAAAGCCCCUGAUUCUACCAUAACAAUCUUAUUUGAUGGGCAGUCUUUCGCUAGCUGGGUCAAAAUUCCAAGAGCUAGAAAAGGUGCUCCUGGGCGAUCAGGAAUUGGUUUUAAUAAAUCAACAAGAGCUGGAAUUGCUUUCCGAGAAGUAGCACCAGUCCUUAUGUCAUCUACCCGAAACAAUCUCUCCAAAGCAACUUGCUCAGGGUAGCGAACCAGCAUGAAUUCUUCUGACAGUUCAAGAAGAUCAUAUAUGUCAGCAUCUGCACACCCAAGUAAAGAUAUUAAUCCCCCUGCUGCACCAGAGUUUGCAACUGACAGCAGGGUACCCCUGCUACCAUUACAAACUAAACUUGCAAUGGCCUGGGCUGCAAAAUAUCUAUUUGCUGGCUCCUCUGCUUUCAGUAAAUUUGCAAUCACUGGUAUAGAUUUCAUGGUUGCAUGUGCUCGUAUUAUAUCCCUGUCUUGAAAUAGAAUUGCAAGCAAUAGAGAAGAUAUCCAUAUGCUGCUGUCUUCUUUAAAAUCAAUCUGUGUAAAAAUUGAAUAAGCAAAAGAAAAUUAAAUGCAAUUAGUUAUGAAACCACAAUGAGUAAAAUAUCAAACAAAGGACCAUAAAUCAUGGAAAAACUAAAGGAAGGUAAGAAGUUGAGCACCUGAGCAUACUGUGAGGAAUAAUUGGAUAUUCCCUCUGUGAGAACUUCAACUGCUCCAGCCUCCAUGAUCACAGUCUUACUUCUUCCGUCGUGGCAGGCAAGAAGACAGAGUAGCCAUAUUGCGAGGUUGACACCAUAAACAACAGCAGUAGCUUUAUUGCAUUCUGUACCACAGCUGCCUUCUUUGGGAAGUCUAUAUAUGCUGAUAAAUUCCUUAUCAGUAUCACUCUGAUUAUCCAGUACAGAACUCUGCGAAGAGCUUAACAUUGCAACAAGAGAUUGAAUCAGUAGACUACAUGAACUUGAUGCGUGAAGAUCUUCCAACAGCCUGUGGUGAUUAACAUUAGCGGCACAUACGAGAAGGGCAGUUCCACCAAUUUUGACCUUAAUGUUUGUGGAAUUGAUCACCCUCGUAGAAACAGAAGCUAUGCAUCCAGAUGCAGUAACUACUUCUUCUCCUAUAACACCAGGUUGAUCCCGGCAAAGUCGUGCUAAUACCUCAAUAGCCUUGUCCUGUAGUAUAGGAGUUGCGUCAGUAAUGGAUGCAACUAUUGGGGAAAUGCUUUGGGGGAAUUCAGCUAAGACUGCCCAUGCAGGCUUCAUGGUCCCGCUAACCCCUUCAGAUCUAGAUAAAAUAGCAAGAGCAUCUAGUGCUUCAGAUGUGGAAACAGUUCUGGUGUCUGCAGAUCCUAGAAAUGAGACUAAUGCGAGAACAGUUCCUGCACUAUUCACACAAUCAGUGAUGCUAUGGUCAAUUUUCCGAGAGCGAAGCAAGCGAGCAAUUCCUGCUGCUGCAUGUGUCUUUCCAGACAUUGUGCCUUCACGCAAAACCCUAGUGGCAGGCAAAAUAAUUUCUUCAGUAACAGCCUUCUCUUGGACUUCACUAUCAAGUAGAAGAUUUGCCAGAGCACAGGUUGACAGUUCUGUAACUUCCAGAACUGCAGACUUUGCAAGCACAACUAAGGGAGAUAAUACAUCUCUAGCAGCAGCAGCCACGUCCCUGUUCUCCUUGAUUGACAGAAAUAUGGCAGCAAGGCACCGGGAAGCCUCUGCCAGAAUACUGUCGGAUUCAACUUUAAGUAGUUUUAUGACUGAUAAGAGAGUCUGAAUAGCAAUGCUACUUUCACGCAAGUCUUUGCGGAUUUCAAAUAUUCCAGCUAAAGCUGAUGCAGAUUUGGCUUGGGUCUCUUCUCUAGUAGAAUUCAAUAUUUUAAUCAUGGUCUCAAUUGCAUCAUUAGCAGCAGUACCUUCACGCACAAUAUCAUUGAGGGGGACCACAGAAAGCAUACUUCUAAGAGCAUCCAAAACAUAGACUUUGGAUUCUGGUAAAUCACUGGUUAAUAAUGCAGUAAGUUGGCUGAUGGUUGCUGUAUCAGAUUUAUGAAUCAAAUGAUUCAAAGUCUUUGCUGCAAUUUCUUUUCCAUUAGAGCUUCCAUUCUUAAGCAACCACAGCAGUGCAGGGACAGCAUCAGCGCUUUCAACACAUGCACGUAUGUCUUCACUGUGAUUGCAUAAGUUUCUAAGAAUUGUUGCAGAAUCUUCUUUUGCCUUUGCAGAACCAGUCUCUAGAAUUUGAACUAGUGGAGGUAUGCCACCAGCAGCCGUUAUAGCCCAUUUACUCUCAUCAUUUUCGUUCGAUAAAAGACAAAGCAAUGCAACCGCACAUUCCUGUUGCUGCUCUGAUGAGAGUCCAAGAAGUGAAAUCAACAGCUGAACCCCCUCACGACCUUGCAGGGCACGCCAUAGACUACCUUCAUUGUUGCAAAGGGUAAGAAGGGCUCUUACAAGCUCUUCCUGAACUUCAUUGGUUGCCAUUGUGAUCAAACCAACUAGUAAACGUUUUGCAUCAGAAUUUGCAAGUUUGACAGCAAGUAUGGGAUUACCAUACAAACUAGCUAAUGCUUCUAUAGUUCGUUCCUGCACAAGAAAGGUUACACGGGAUCCAAACUGCUUUACUAAAGUCUGUUCAAUAAUUAUAGGAUCUGAUGCUCUGGUGGCUUCUUCUUUGCUAUCAUAUAUCAUAAGAGCUGAUGCUAAAGCCCCUAAUGUGUCGGCAGUUUGAGCAGCUGAUGAGCAUGCCUCAAGGCUUUGUCCAAGGCUUGAGAUAACAUAAGACAAACCACCUGAAAUGUUUGCUAAAGCACACAUAGCAUUCUCCUGCAAUGCCUGAGCAUACUCACCUUGCAUGAACUCUUUCGAGGGAGCUAUUGUUGCAUUUAUCAAGGCAGGGAUACCAUUUGAACUUGCUACCUCACGCCGUGCUUCUUUGCACUGAGCAGAAAGAGAUUUAAGAGCACCUGCAGCUUCUGCUCUAACAGAGGCUUCAUUUCCAGGUCCUAUUAAUUUGAGGAGCUUUUUCGUAGCCUCUGCAGCCAAAACCUUGGAGCAAAAAGAUGCAUCUUCCAUCAUCACAUGUGCCAGGAGAAAGCACACAUUUGCUUGUGUAUUUGGCUCUCCUGUUGCCAAUAAAUUCACAAGUAUGUCUACACCGCCUGCAUUUAUAGUUGCAGACCAAAAUCCCUCAGUGCUGCUUGAGAGGUUUCUUAAAGCUCCAGUCAGUAAGCCAACAACAUUUCCAGAUUUGAGCCCAUUGUGUAGCUGCUCCCAAAGUACCGGAACAACUCCCUCAGUAGAAAAUAUUUUGGAUCCAACGUGAUCCCUAGCACCACCUUGGGAAACAGCAUAAAUGGUCUUUGCAGCAGCAAUUUGACCCUCUGACGAACUUGAUUUGAGGAGACCAAGCAAUGGGGGGAUGCAUCCUCCAAGUAGAACCUUUACCCUUAAUUCAUUUUCCUUGCACAAGGAACCUAAAACAGUAGCAGCUUGUAUUUUCACCCCAAGGGAACCUGAACGGAGAAGAGAAACUAGUACUGGAACUGCUUGAGAGUGAGAUCCAACAGCACUGAAUGCACUCUCACGUGUAUCAAUAAGUUCCAGCAAUUGCCUCAAAGAAAAUUCUUUCUCCUGCACAGAGGAGGAACUCUGCCGCAGCUGCUCAAUGCAUUGAGCAACACUUGCGAGUGUCCCAUCUGGAUCUUCCAUGCUAUUGCGAUCUCUGCAAGACAUAUGAUCAAAGUAAGUCAUCUGAUCUGGGUAUUAUUGUUCAGCGAUACACAAAUUGAACAAUAACACUUGUAUUUUACUACUUGGAUCGACUCACACAAAACAAGACUGAAUUAUAUGCUAUCCUCAUUUACUAUUGGACUCAUUCAUCAUAUGCUGUCCUUUAAGGAGGCUUGGGCUCUGGAAAGAUGGGGAAAAUGAAGUUCAAACUGAAGGAGAAGUGGACAGCCAACUAAAAUUUAUUAGGUCCAUUCACAUCCGUGUUCUUAAAACAAGACAACACACACACAUACCUAUGUCAAAAAUUAAAUGAAAAAAAUGUGGAUAUGGUAAAACCUCUAAAAUAAAAUAAUGCAUGCAAGUGAAGUGUAUACAUAAAAGCAUAUUGGUUAUCAAACAAAAAUGAGUCUUUCAUAAAUGCCAUGAAAUGACAAAAGGAACAAAAAUUAUACAUACAAGGACAGCCAAUAAAUAAAACCAUAUGGAUUAUCCUUAGAAGUCAGAAUACACAUCUUCCAAAUAUAACAUGAACUUGUUAAAAAAAAUGAAAUAAAUAAACAUUCAACUUUGAUUUUACCUGGAGCCCAUCUUCAUAAUAGAAUGCGGAGUAGGAGGCUCUGAAUCUUGAAUUUUUCCAUCCAUGUUUUUCUCCUACAACAAUUGAACACAGAAAUGAUUAGUACAUAACUAACAUAACAUGUACCACAAAAUCGAGAAAGUAGAAUACUUUAAAGAAAGCAUAGAACUAUCUUAAGCAGCUUAUUUUGUUUUUCCCAAUACAUAAACACUAAACAGGGUACAUACUAAACCACUCGUAUCAAAUUGAAGAUGACAUCCCAAAGAAAACUGCAUUGACUAAGAUUAUCUUUGAAAUUCAGUUAACCAGUCCAUCCGUCUGUCCCCUCUUAAACCUCAAACAAUAUUGAGCUUAGACAACCAAAUAAUUAAAAUAAGCAUACUCAUGAGUCCAUAACCCAAUUUUCUUGAUAUGCAUCAGAAUCACACUCACACAUGCUCACAUUUAAAACAACUAUUGUUUUCAUAAGCACUCCAUGCAAGAAUUGGUAAAGGGAAAAUUAAUUUACAAAUCUAAUGACAACAUUUAAAUAGAGGCCACAAAAUACCAGAUCAUUAGUAGGAUGACUGCUACCGUUGCUGGCAGCUAGUCUCCAAGUUAGUGUCGCCGCCAGUUUCUCUUCCUUUUAAGUUACAAUGAAGAUGAAACAGAACGUCAGAAUUCUACAGAUCUAUGAAAGAAAGGCAAUUAAUAGCAUAGCAUUCUCCUGCAAAACAAUCAUGAAAAAACCAGAUCAGAGACAAUGAUUAAAAUGCCGCGAAUCCAAAUAUUUUAUAACACUUGAACCGUUUCCAUACAACUAACAAAUAAAUAACAAAACCAGAAAAACAGCGAUGCUGCUGAAGUAGCGGUUCUAAGACUAAUUGAGCCAAUUAAAGUUCUUCAGGACUAAUGUGAAAUUAAUUUCACAUCACGCAAGGACACAUAUAAACUGUCUAUACUCCCGACACCGCCUCUCUCCAGUAAAUCAAAUUCCAUCAACAAUUAAAGACGGAAAUGAAAUCAAACCAAGCAACGAAAAUCCACAGAUUUACAUAAACACCGACCAACUAAAAUAAAAAUGACGCAGAUCCAGCAACAAAGAAUCAAAGUACAACUGAUUUAGUGAUCAGUCAAACAAGUCUAUAAAUGCACAACACAAAUAAAGUAAAUUAUAAUAGCAUUUGGCUAAGGCAAAAUCGACAAAUCGAAAACAGGAAUUUCAGUGAAUUUUUUACAUCGUGGCCAAUGCAAGCAGCUCAAAUCCAUUUCAUGCAUCAGAAAGAAAAUGAUAGAGAGAAAAAACCAACCUAAGAAGAGACUGGAAUGAAGAGCAAGUUUCUUACAAGAGAAGCGAGCAUAAAGAGAGAGUGAGAGAGCUUAGCCUCUGAUUUUCCUUUUUUUCUUUCUGGUGCUGUUGCUCUCUCUCUCUCCUCUUUUUUCCUCUUUCUCUCUCUAAAAAAUGGGAAUUACGUCUCCGAAUAUACAGAGAUUGGAACGGAACCAAGCAGGAGACAGCGAUGAAGCUUUAUGAGCUUUUUCCACAUCCACACUCUCACUAAUACACCACCGACAAGCUAAGCCGCCGCUUUCCCGGCUAACCUCGGCUCGGCUCACAUAUUCCUCCAUUUUUUUCUUCAUUUAUUUUACAAAUUAUAAUUGUCAACCAUUAAUUAAUUUUUCUAACUCUCUCUCGUCUUAAAAAUAAUAUAUAAUAAUACUAAUUAUUAAUUAUUAUUAUUAUUAUAUAACUCUCUUUCUCUGUCUACAAUUUAUCUCGUGGUGACUUUACAAUUAAUUGAGUUGAGAAUUUCUUCUUUAAAAAAAAAUUUGGCUUGAAUUAUUAAAAAGUAGAAAAAGAAAAUUAAAAUCAAGAGGAUGAAUUGAAAUGAAAUGAUACCUUAUCUCUCUCUAGAAAUGUUUUAUUAUUAUUUUAUCAUAUAAUAGACAGGUAUUGUGGACAGUGAGAUACACCUAAUAAAGCUAAAAUAGAUUAUAUAAGAUUUGUCUAAUAGUCCCUCUCACUUAACUGAAUUUGAUUUUCACUCCCUAAUCAAAAUGCAUUACGCAUCCCAAAAUUGAACCCAGAAAAUAUAUAUAUAUAUAGAAUUCCCCUUUUGUAAUUAAAGGUUAUACGUCUGAAAUAUUUUACCCUCGAUGAUAAGUCAAUUUUUAGUUUUACAUAUUGGUGAAGCACAUGAGUUUAAUGAAAUUGUGAGUAAGAUUAUUGGGGAAGAAUGAGAAAUUUGGGAGGCAGAUAAGAAAUAGAAAAGACUUGAGGGAGGAGAGUUUGUUGGUAAUUGUGAUGAGAAUGAAAUGAUUGGGACUGUGUAGCAGCCGGUAUGAUGUUAUGAACAAUAUUCUCUGGUGAUUUAUAGCGACAUUAUUUGUAGUUUUGUAUUUAGCUGUGCUGUCACCUCCCACGUUCUUUCUCUUCAUUCAGCUAAAACUAAAACUCUCUCUCCCUCUCCAUAGCCAUGCCCCAUGUUCCGUCAUCUAAUCUCUUCUAUGUCUAAUCUCUCUCUUUAUAUAAUACAUUAUAUAGCUGUUGAUUUGGCAACAAUUGUGAUUAGGGAUAUAAGACCUCCAUUAUGUGAUAACAGUUGAUUAAGACUGUAAUUUGGAGCCAACUAAAGCAAUUACACGAUGAUUUGGUUCGCUGUCACUUUUUAUAUUAUUAUAUCCAAAGAAAUGUGCACUCUUUUUGCACAUCAACGGGCAAUCUUAUUUGAAAAGUAAUAGUAAUAAUAAAAACAAAAACAACACAAUCCAAGGACUGCCUAAAGCUGAUGACGGUAAUUUCAUGAUUAAUUACAAACCACGAUGGGAGAAAAAAGAUAUUUAUUAAUUCUUAAUCCAUCAAACUUGGAUUUGAAGAAUCCGAAAGGACACUUUAUUAAUUGGUCAUCUUCUAUUGGUGCAAAUAUGGAUGAAAUUGCCAGCUAAAGGGGCCGGCUUUGGUUGGUAUGUUUAGAAUUUUUUGCAGUACUUUUAAAGCAAUAUCGAAUUUUAGAAAAUCACAACUUCAACUUCACCUUACCCUUUUAAAAAGAGAGAAAAAAAGAACAGAAAAAAGAAAAAACUUGGUCUUGCCCAAUCCCAUCAUUUCCACCAUACAAAUUAGAUUGGGCCAAAAUGGAGAGAUUACACACCUACUAGUAUUAGUACUAAUUAGAUAUCAAAUAAAAAUUAUGAGUAAUUAACUAACAAACUUAAUCAUCCUAGCACAAUUUUGUCACAUUUCAUUUUUAUAUAUAAAGUAGGUUGUUAUAGCACUCUCAGAAGGUUAUCUUGGAUGAGGAUUUUUAGGUAAGGGUGGAUUUGACUAAAGAUGUUGAACAGAAGCAACAUGGAUUUAUGAAGUCCGAAUUUAUUGGAAAUAUCCAUAGGUUUCCUACCACAUCAAAAUUACUGUUAACAAGCUCCAAAGUGUUAUUAUAACUGAGGUUUUCUAGAUUCACUAUUUAAACCCCACAACAUACUAGACUUGAUGCCAAACUCAUGCCUCAAAGGGCCCCUCAAAUAGUAUCCUAUAUUAAGAAUAUUUUCCUCCCCCUAAUUUUGAAAAAAAGGGUCCGACAAGAAUCAUCUAUUUCUAAGUAAGACGAUUUCUUCAACGAUUUCUUCAACAAUUUCUAAUAGCAGAUCUCCGACAUGAGAAAUGUAUAUCCUUUGAGAAUAACUAUUCAUAAACGUAAGUGCUGAAAGCAAAAUACUACCGCCAAGGUCCCUUCAACCAGAUCUGGGAUAACCACCAAACAUGCUUAUAAUCAAACAUGUUAAUGAAAAGCAAUGCCUUUCGAAGCAAAGUAAUAAAAGUGCCUCUCAAGUGAAAACAAGAACCAGGUAUUUGCAACUAACCCACUUUGACAAAAGGUUGCAAUAUGAGUUUGGCAUUGGCCUGAGAAGUGCCCGAAUGGCUGCAGUUGCUGUUCUUGGCGCUGCAGCAGAAGUAAAAUCCGUUACAAAAUUUUUUAUCAAGGUCAAUACAGAAAGAAUGGUGCUAUCCAAGAAUCGUGCGUUCCUCUUGCCUGAAAACUUGUGAUCUUUCUGUUCCCUGGGUAAACAUAGAAUUUUAGAUGCUCUGUAGAUAGAACCCUCAACUAAGAGGUGCGACAUGAAGCUAAUAAAUAUGUACUACAAAAAAAAGCACACAACCAGUGCCUGUAUACCGGAGACAGAGAUGGCAAAUUACUUUGAGGUGUUAGGUAAGGCUUAUUGAUGAGGCAUAUAGUUGAAGCAGGGUCAGGGCUUGCUCCGUAAUGGCUCGAUUUCUUGCUUGCCUUACCCAAUCAUGAACUACCUCUUCUGCUUUUGUGCCUUUAACACCUUCUUCAAGAGAAUGUGCUGCUUCAGCCAAGUUUCCUUCAGCCAGGCAGGACUCCACUCGGUUGAUGAUAGAUUCGAUCCCAGUACCAGAUUGGUCAGCCUCCUUCACCUAAAGAAGGUCAAGGAAAUUUCAGAAACUACAGCAAUAGGGGAGAGUAAAUGGGAGAUUUAAAGUUCUCUCUAAUUUACCUUAAUCCAGGAUGCUACACGAGCUAAAGAAUGUGCCAAAAUGCCACCACCGCCUGGUGGGAUAAAGCUCAAGUGCCGUAACGGUGCUUUUAAUGCAUCAAACUGCAUGCAAGGAGAUGAAUAAGUUAUAAGCCAGAUACUUUCACCAUCAAAGAUGAACUAGACUACCAAACAGUCAAUAUUGUACAACAAUAUUCCAGAACGAGUCAGAUUUGAUAAAAUCAAAGAAUUACGACGGUUUGAUAACAUUCAAUACAUUUUUGGGGGAAAGAACAAAGGUAAAAGAUAAUAUCUGAUUUCCUCCCCAUAAAGUAAUUCAUGUUGACAGAUAUGGUUGAAAGUAGUAAGAAUUUCUUCGAAAUCAACAACAUUGCUAUUCAAGAACUUUUUUUUUUCUUUAGUUGCCUUUUCUCGUACUUCCAAAUUCCAUCUGACCUACACCAAACUUAAACAGCUAUUCAAUCACGUUUUCACUAAACUUUUGUUUUAAAAAAACAAAUAAUAACUCUUACCAAUGCCAAACAGCCCCACGGUUUUUCAGUAAAGGAAAUGACACUGAUUAUAAUUAGGUAACCUUUUGAGAGAGAAGUAUGCUACAAUUUAUCUUCAAACCAGGGAGAACUUAAUGUACCUUUUGUGUCAUCUGUAACAACGUAUCUGAGCCAUGAUUCAAUAUUUCUUUAGGAAUGGAUGAAAGGAUCAGCUCUAAGUUAGAAUCUUUGUCAAUGCCUUGAAGAUUAACACGUAAUGCUUUUAUUUCAGCCUGGAUCGGUAACCCUCUGGAAAGAGCAUCUUCAAGUGCCAGUGCCCCCUAUAAGAUCGAUGACUUAUAGUUGAUUAAACACUUUGAGAUAAAUUGGAUUGGCUAUGCGCUAGCAAAAUAUAAAAAGGAAAAAAUAUGAUUUACAACCAUGAAAGUUCCUGAGACACCUUGUACUUGAGCACAAUGCUCGUUGAUGGAUUUAUACAUAUAUAAACUUUCUUGACAAAUGAAAUACAAAAGCAAGGGUUUAAAAAUCCUUAGAAAAUGCCAAGUUUAUAAAAAAUACUCUACUGCAGAUUCAAGGGAAGUUUUGGAGAAUUUCCUCACUCUUAAGUACAAUUCUCUCACAAGAUAACUGAGCAAAAACGUACUUCCCUGGCACUUUCUUACUUACAGACUAUAUAUUGCUCAAACCAAAGCUCAUUCUCACUAUAUUCUCAGGGGCCCAUCCCUCUAACUAACUAAUAACAAUUUAAUAUUCCUCAACUGCCUACACUUAUACACAUGCUUAAUGGGGGGGUCUAUCAUAGACUCAUAGUCAGCACAAAUAACCAAAAGAGGCUAAUUACAGAAACCUCGACUAAGGAAUCUCCAAUUGAAUCUUACAGGCUAGAACAUCCACCCUUGACAAAAGAAGAGAAUGAGAUUAUUCAAGCAAGAAUACUAUGACAAGCAAUUUUACAAUGUCAAAACCUGUCUUCAUUCUAAGAACAACCUCGGAUCUUAUUUUCAAAAGAAGCCUCACAAAACGUAACUAAAAAAAAAAAAACAAAUACCGUUUCCAAAUUUCAGCGUACACCCUAAUUUUAUGUUUUUUAUGGAAACAUACUGGUUUCAAACUUUCUAAAAUGCCUACAAAUAUGUAUGUUGUUGCGGAGAGACCUAGAACUAUUUUAACCUGGAAGAUUUUAAACGUAGUUUAAUCCCAAUGUUCAUCAGUUUCCCUGUUCACAUGCAAAUGAUGUAAAUCUGAUAGAAGAAUGAUCACCUUCAAUAGUACCCAAACUACUAAUAUUAGAUGCACAAACGUGCACCAGUAUGUAGGAAGACAAAUCUUUCUCCAAAAGUAAGUUUAACUUCAGUUUCUUCUAUACUACAAGUAAGAAAUGAAAACAUCAAUAAGUAGAAGUGCGAACUUACCAAUGCAAGUUUCUGAGCAGAGUGACUUUGACGAGCUUCUUCAGACCUUGCAUAGAAUGCCAUGCAAAGGGCAUUAAUCUGCAAAAAGAAGUUUCACACAUAAACAGAUUAUUGGUGGUAGAUUGAUUGCCUGGAUUCAGGCCAAAGGACAUGGAGCUAUAUUGGAACAUGCACAUCAUUGACAAGAAAAUAAACUAUUAUAGCAACAAAAGAAUUGCCAAAUUGAUGUACAGUUGACGUGUUUCUUCAUUAUAGUGUAAAAUUUUCAUCAAGCAAUGUCCAUAAAAAUCGGUGAGCAUCUUUCAUCCUAUGAAGGAAAAACUUCCCCCCGAAUGGUGAUAUCGUAAAUGAAGAACUAAACAUUUUUUUUCAACUUUUUUUUUCUUGUUAUGAAUGUCAUUUUUUAAGGAGGCAUGUUAGGUCCUAAUAUUAUCUAUAACUUCCACUUUGAAUAUGCAUGAUGUUUUUAGCUCAGGUAAAUCAAUAGCUUGUGCUAUAUUGCUUACAUGAAGAUUUGCUUCAGCCAUUUUUUCUAUCUGGGCAGCCUUCUCACUUGCAAUUGCUGCAGCUAACUCUGCUUUUGCCAGAUCUUGAAGUUUUCUCAACUUUGAUUCUAACUCAUUUUCCUGCAAUGAAAUCAUUUUUAAAAGUAUUGGUAAAGGGUCAGCAACUUGAGCUUGUUUGUCAUUUAAGAAACACUCCUACCUUCUGUUCAAGUUCCUUCUGAAAUUUAUCUUCCAAAUUCUCUUGUAGUGACAUCAGAGCAGCAGCUGCUUUUGUUUUCUCUCGUUUUAACUCCUGAAAAUAGUUAAAAUCCCAAGAAGCCAAUUAUAAGAAUGAGAGAAACACAACAACAGUGUACAGAUGUACGCUCUCUGUUCAGAUGAUACAUCUAUAAGAGACUCCACGUGCGUAAUUCAAAAAUUGAGAAUUCAACCUUGUCCAACAUAGCAGCCUUUUCUGCAUGCAUAAAUUCCCUAACCCGAGCAUCCCUCAAUGCUUCGUCCAUCUUGUUCUGUACAGAACAGAAACAUAAAUCACAGUCAAUAAUAGUCGCAUUUCAUAAAAAUUACAAUCGUUUCACGUACGAUAUAAAAAAUAUCUAUCGAUCCAUACCCACAGUGCUGUCUUUUCAUCAGCAAAACGACGAUAAUCCAGCUCAGCUUGCCGCUUUUCAGCAGCAUGAAUAGCUUCUAAGAAAUCAAUGACCAAUUUCCCAUCCUUGGAUAUGAAGCCAUCAUUCAACUCCUCAAUUUCAGCAAUUAAAGCCUGGCAUCUUGGAAACAAAACUUUAGAUCUUGUCUAAGACUCCUUUACUCAAUUCCAGAAAAAUGGACAUCCAUCAAGAAGAAGGAAAAAGUAAAUGACCUCUGUUCCUUUGUAAAACUUGUCAGUUCCAUCUUUGCUACCACCACCCAAGGAAGUCAUGCCAGCCUCACCCUUCAAAUGGUAGGCCUCGAGAAGAGAACUUGGCUCCCCUGUAUCUUCACUUGUAUCAUUCAACUCCUGGAUAGAAUACGAGCAGAGACAGAUUCACUUUAAGUUACACAUCUUUACUAGAAAUGAAUAUAUUUGGAUAAGAGAUUAAUAUAUUUAAGAAACAAAAGUUCAGAGAUGAUAUCCUGUGAAUCUAGAAUGUCUAAUUCUAAUGAACCAAUCAUCCUCAUCAAACUUCAUUUCUGGCCCGAAUACUAUUAGGCAAGGGAUUCUAGGUACCUGGUAUUUUUUCUAACUUGCCUCCUGUAAUAAACGUUUCAGUAAUCCCUUUCUGACACUGGAGUGGACGAAUAAUAAGUUGGAAUAGACCAAAUAGGUUCGUCUGCUGUAUGAUGAGAGGCUAGUCAUCUUCUUCAACACCCUAUGCAAUAUUUACAAAUUUUAACCUUCUUAUUAAUCCAUAAGGAUUAUAGACCUAUAAUCUGGUCUCUCCUUCUGCAAAGUCCUCAUCAUAUUUGAGAAGAUUUUUAUCAUGAGAGAUGAUGACUUGGUUUUGCCACUAUCUUGCUAACACGUGUUUCAGUUUCACCCACGUAUCAAAGAUAAGGGGGUUUGGACAUUUGAUUGUUCCAAGUCUUUCUCUUGUGAGCUGGUUUCUGGAAGGUUACACUCAUGAAGAAAACUAAAUUUUGCACGCUUGAUGCCUGGUGAUUUAUAGGAGGAUUAAUCCCAAAUCUCCACAGGUGUUCCUAUUUUACCAGUUAAUUGAAGAUUAAGAGGAUCUACACAUUUUUUUACUUUUCCCUUUUCCCAUAAUGAUUUGGUUUAGGUUUUGCAAUUGUUUGGCAUUAUUUUGGCCCCAUUUUGUAAUUUUCAUUCUAUGAUUGAAGAAGUUCUAGUAGAUCCUUCAGUUCAGGAAAGAGAAAUAGACAAUUGUGGUGGCAGGUUUUUAAUCAACAUAAGAUAUAUUUGGUAGAGAGAAACGUGAGGAUGUUUCAAUUAAGGGUCCUCAGAUAAAGUGUAGCCAGACUCAAAAUUAAGUUCCUCAUAGAGGAUUUUUUGUUGAAACAUUUUUAGUGAUUUUACUCUCAUUUCAAUUACCAAUAAUUAUACCAAUUUUUUCUAACUGUUUUCCUUCUCAUAACCCUUUUAUCUUGGCGUGGGCUUUUUUAUAUACAGCCUCUGUUUACUUUCUUCCCUGCCUCUUAAUAUAAGCUGGUUCACUAUUAAAAAGAAUUUGCAUUGAGCACGUGCAUUGUAUUGUAUGACUUAAACCUUCAAGCUACCAUUACAUCAACAUUUGAUCUGAAUGGAUAAAUUGAAGUUACCUUCAGUUUCUCUUCUGCAACUGUAUCUUCUUGUGGUGGUAUUCUGAUAUCAAUCUGUGCGGGUUCUGCAUCUGUCUUGCUAGAUAUUGGUGAAGUUUGAACUUCAUCGUGAGGCCAAUCCCUAGUACAAGACUCUGCGCUUUGCAUGUUCAAGUUUUCAUCUGUGGAUAUUUUAGAUCCAAGAUUCUCAUCCUCUACUUGACUGCCACUUUGAGUAAAUUCUGGCAAGUUUUCCUCCUCGAUCUUUUCAUGUGGCAGUGUCCUGGAACUGUCUUCAAACUGACCAUCAUCUUUCUCUUUUCCCCAAUCUUCAAGAUGAGGAAGGUGGGUAUCUGUCUCAACUUUCUGCUCAGUAGACUCCACAAUGGGAUUUGAGCUCUCGGUUUCUUCUCUAACACUAUUCGAUUUUUCGGUUUCCUCACUACUCGGUAAAUCAAAUUUCUGCACCACCAAAGGUUGGACAUUGUCUGAAUCACUUUUCUGAACUGUUUUAGUUGACUCUACAGAAGAAUUCUGCUCUAUAUCAACAGUUCGUUGGUCUAGAUAGCCGGCUUGGUAAGCUGCAAAAACAGCAGCACCAAUAACAACACUGCCAAAGACAACUUUUGGGAUGGAAUUUCCAGAAUUAGGUGGCACAUUUGUAGGUUGUGGUUUCAGAUUUUGUUUGGGCGCAGAUGAAAAUUCCCUUAUCUUAGAAAUACAUUGGGGUGUAUGCCAACAUUGCACCUGCAACAAAAACCUGUCAAAGAAUCAGAAAAUAUUUGAAAAAGUACACCAUUAAACCACAAAAAAUAUCAGGAUUGCAUAGUUUGGUCCCUAUAUUUUAUUAUAGACUAGUUUUGCAACACACUCUGUUCGUCCUCCCAUUUCAUUUGUCUCACAGCUUUUGGGCACAGUAAAAUUAAACAUAAGAAUAGAAACAUGUCAAUGGGUUUAACAUUUCUUAACACUGUCAAUUAAUUACAACAGCAGAAGAAAGAAUGGUAUAAAUAGAAAGUUCGUGUAUGUUAUAUGAGAAGGCUUCAAGUAGUCAGUUAAUAAAGACAGCACAACUGCAUCACAAGCACGUAGCAGGCAGAUGAAAAACUAUAUGCAUGUCUUUGCUCCCAAGUCAAAAAUAAAUUUCCAAGCAUUUAUUUUGCAGAUGCUCGUACUACCAAGAAAGAAUAGCAUAAAUAGCAAUUUAGUGUAUGUUAAAAGAUCCCAAUGUUGUACAUUUCCACCCAACUGCAUCUACGAUAACAUAUGUGAAGAACCAAGCAUGUGGAUUUAUAUGCUUAUAAGUCGAAUACACACUUCUCCAAAUAUCUGUUUGUAAAUUAUCUCAGCGUUUGGAUUGUACAAAACGAAUUCUGAUCGCAAAAAUGGGAAAGUCUUAUUUACGAAAUUCUACUUGCCUGGGGUGAACUCUGCCUCGGAGUCCUUCCACCAGAUUGACGAGAUGAUAAUUUCAGAAUUGACCUGCAGACAACAAUGCGAUAAAAAUACUAUCUAUAAGCAUCACCCGCUGUAACCGAACCCAGCGAGAUCCAAAUUCAUACAUAACAUGGCCAUUGACAUUGAGAUUUAUUAUCAUUUAUUAGUAGAAAAUUCCUAUUGCUGAGAAUGCCAAAUUAACCCUCGGGAGAUUAAAGAAUAAGAAUCUGGCAAUUUUCAACCAUUCAAGAAAACACUGCACUCGAAGGACAAUCGAAAUGACUAAUUAACGAAGAACAUCAACAUCACGAGCAAAAUAAAACAUAGUUGAAACAUAGUUCAAGAACAUUUCCGUACCUCCGCCACAUAGCGUAUACCUAUUCAGUGAAAACGGCGAGCGACGAAGAUAUUUGAGCGAAUAACCAAGUAAGCGAUUAAAUGCAAGUUGGGCAGUGGGUGAUGGAAAGUCCGGCCUGGUAGGAGGGUGGAACAACGGGUUCGAAAACUCAAAUUAACAAUCGGUUUACCGGAGGAAGAUCGCCGGAGACGAAGGAAAACAUCCGAUGACACCGGAAUUUUACCGCCUAAUUAGAUGUGUCCGACCAUCCGCAAGGAAUUAUUCCGCGAGUUGCAAUAGAUUCUACAAGGCCCAUUUAUAAAGUUGGGCCUUGAGCCCAAUAGAUUUGUAGGAGGUUGAUGAGCUGGGCUGAACGAAUCUGACAAGACUGCCCUUAUUCGGGUCCAUUGUGAUUCUAAAGGUAUGACUCGAUCAAUACUUUGUAGAUGUAAAUUUGAUAGACGAGCUAGUUUUUUUUGCAACAACAAAUACAGCCUUCUUUUUAAAUCUCAAUUGAAGCAAGGUAAUCUUUUAUGAUAUAACAUACGUGUAGACUUGAUUAAAGAAACAAACAAAAAAUUAGGGGAAAAAACUAAAGAGAUUGUAUUUUCUUCAACUCAAAGUUUCCCCAACUAAUAAUACUGUUGUUGCUAGUUAGGUUUCUCCCACCACAAGAACUGAUAAUGAAUUUAAUAACUGUAAAAAAAUAAAAUUUGGGAUAAUUCUUCUGUAAUAGUAUUUCAAGUGACCGAUACCGUUUUAGGCUAUUUUUAAACAUAGCAUAAUGAAUAAACAUAUAUAUUACACCAACACAAAUUACUAUUUUGUAUUUAUCAUGAUAGCAGUUUAUCUUGGUAUAUCACAUGUAAACAGUUAUAUUUUUUUAUAUUCAUAAAUAUUAUAAAAAAAACGUGCAUUAAAAACACUUUAUCCUUUUUCAAAAGUAACAAUAAUAAAUAUUUUUCUCUAAUAAUAUUCGAAAUUAUUUCACAACCUUUAAAGAUUGUGUGGAUUGCCCAUGUGUUCAAGCAUCUUUAUGUCUAAAAUAGAUUCGACUUAGUUAAACUAUAAUUGACCAAUCAUUUCUCUCUAACAGUCAAUGAUUUGAUUUUUCAUUCUAUGAAUGUUGAAAACAUAUACAAGGGUGUAAAAAUUUGUUUAAAUGAUAAAACGAUUGAAAUAUUUACAAACAUAACAAAAUUUAAUAGUUUAUAAAUUUAUCCGCAUCCAUUUGACAUUUAUUAGAUAAAUGAUAAUAAUCUAUCAACAUUUAUUAUUGAUAUUUUACUAUAUUUAUAAUUUUUUUUUGGUUCAUAUCACUUUAUAGGAAGUGGUUAUAUAUAUAUAUACAUACACUUAAAAGCAUCAAAGUGGAGUGGUAGGGGCCAUGUCACAUGGGAAGAACAAAGAGGCAUCCCAAAUUCAAAGAGUGAACCAUGCAUGUCAUGUCACAUAAAGCAUUAAUUUUCUUUUAUAAUAUUUUGUUUCCUGUUUUUAGUUAAAAAGAGAUAUUUGAGAUAAAAUCCCACAAAAGUGAUAUCUAAUGAAUUUCACUAUCAUAUCCAAAAACUCAAUUAUUAGUUUUCAAAACGCACACACACACAAUUAUCAAAAUGUUUCUAAACAUAUAGAAAAAAUCUACUCACGUUUUUAUACUAAAAUUUCUUUUGAACAUUACUGAGGUUGUCUGUCUCUAAUGGGUGAAUUUCUUUGACAUACUUAUUUCAUUCUUUCAGCAAUCCUUCAAUUUAGAAAUCUAAACACUUUCUCAGAGCUAGAGAUGCAUCAAUCAAAGACUAAUCUUGACAUUUUUCUAAUUCUUUAUUACAAAUUACCAUAUUUUUCACCAAAUAUAGAAUCUAUAACCCAACUAUUUUUUGCUAUUCAAAAAUCGUUUAGAGAGAAAUUGCACAAUUAAGUCCUUGAGGAAAAUCGGCAAAUGGUACAUAACAGCCAUGAGGGUGGAAUAGCUUCCAUAUGAGAACCAAGGCGAUGGCUUCGUUUUAAGAACAGCGGCGACUGUCUUCUCGGCAAACUCGGCAGUAGGGGUGGCGUUAGAGCCCUGCGAGGCAUUGGCCCUGGCUAACAUUGCAGCUUCAAAGGGCUUGAAUAGCUUCAACUCAGGCAUCUGAUUAAAGUUGGCAAUGGCAGAGUUUCCAAUGUUUGAUUUAAUGGCUCCAGGGACAACGUUGAUAACGUCGAUUCCAAAGGGCUUCAGCUCCAUCCUUCAAUGAUGAAAAUAUCGAUCAAGUCAACCAACAUCACAGUGUGAAAUAAAUGCGAAAAUCAAAUGAAAUAUGUCAGCAAAUUGAAUUGGAUAUUCAUUGCGUUUAUUCAAGUUUCUAUCAUGGGCCGUGGCCCCCUAAAAAGCAAAAAGAAAAAAGAAAGUUUUAGAUUUUGAACUUUAAUGUCUUGGAAUAACUUUUCUAAGCAUUGAAAAAAAGAAAGUUUUUUUGGAGGGGUAUUUUUUUGCACAAGAGUUGAGAGUAACAACAUAGAAACAGAAGUAGAAGUGUGGAAUGGUAAACUUCCCCUCUUUAUUUAAACUAAAAAAUUUGUAGGCUUUCACAACUAAAAAACAUCAAUAACCCGUACAUUUUACUCCCAUCAGUUUACAAGUUUCUAGUUUUCAUAACUCACAACUUCACUCUUUGCCUCAAAGAUCGUCUUAUAAAACAAUGUUCUAUAAAGUCAUUUCAAACCGACUUUCAUGAAGAAAUAAGUUGUCUUGAAUCAACAAUAAGUAACCCAUAAAAAUAAACCCAGCAGAAAAAGAAAUAUUUGCUUACCCAUCAGACUUUUGUGGGUUGUUUCUGUUUCUACAGUUCUACUUCAGUGCAUUGUAACUUAAUAUAUUCUAUACAUAUCUUUGAGAUCUUUGAGCUGCUAAAAAGAUACACUAGAAAUUCAAUAGGACCCCGGCACUUAUUUUUCUCAUAUGAAUACUCAAUUUAAACUUUAAGCAUAAAGGUCUCGAACCCACUACAUAAUCAAACAAGCAAAAACAUCAAAAUUUCAAAUCCAACUAAAAAUUAUUCAAAGAUAGAUAAACAAAGUGGAAUGAUGCUCAUCCACUCACAAGAAUGGCUACAAGAAUCGGAACUCAAAUCCAUAGAAAUAUUAAUUUAAUCCCUUGAUUUAAGGUAAGAAUUGCGGUUGAAAGUUAAACUCCACCAACGAGCUUUAUUUGAAUUUUGGUUCUUUAUUUUUAAAAAUUAAUAUUUAUAAACCCUAUUUUCACCUCUAAUUUUCUUCCUAACUCGUUUCUAAAAAAUCUAAACCACUCAAAAACCAAAAAAAUAGUUUUAAAGUAUGUCUGAAAACUUUUUAGUUCUUUUGUUUUUGGUCCUCGAACAAUGGAUUUGUUCUUUUAACAACUUCCCUGUCAUACUAUUUAUCAAGAAAGACCAAAUUUUCUUAGUAAAUUUUCAAAUUGCAAAAACUAUCUUUCUUUACUUUUCAAAAUUUAGUCUUGGUUUUUAGAAUUGCAAAUUGCAAAAACUUUCUCUACCUUUCAAAACUUAGUAUUGGAUUUUAGAAUUAAUGAUAAAAGGUGGAUAACUAAAUAAAAAAACCAAUAGAUGAAAAGUAGAGAGUUUGUAAACUUAAUUUUUAAAAAGCAAAUUGCUAUCAAAUAGCUUUAGUAGUCAACUUUCAUCCCAGAAAAAGACUAGUGAGGUUCAAAUUAACUUAAUAAACUAUCACUAGCGAGGGUCUGGAAGAUCGAGAUAAUUAACUAAGGCAAGGCAAAACAUUUCGUGCAUGAUCAGGAACACAAAACAAUUGUUAAUUAUACCAUUAGAUGAGAAUCAGAGAGGUAUAUACGAACCUCAGACAGUCAGAAAUGGAAUGAAUAGCAGCUUUGGAUGCAGUAUAAGCACCAGCCCAUGGAAGAGGCGCCAAUACGGUGACACUUCCCAAAUUCACAAUCUUCCCCUUUCUUCGUGAUGCCAUGUGAGGAACCACGGUUUGAAUCAAUCUCAUAGUCCCUGCAAAUGCAAUUCUCCAAUUCAUAAAUACUAAUUUAACAUAAUACAAUAAUCCACUCCUUUCCAUAUUGGAGUGUUCAUGUUCAAAUUUUCCCCACCUCUAACUCUGCUUUCUACAUUUCACAUACCAAACAAACAGCUUUGUUUCUAACCAGUGGCGAAUCAGAAAUUUUAUUGACUAAGGCUUUAUAGACUAUUAAAAAUAAUUUGGAAGAAAAUAUAACUAAUAGGACUUGAACCUGAGUAUAGAGGGACUAAAUAAUUUCAUUGUUCACCAACUUCUUAAAUUGGUACUAUUUCAGUUUUCUAUAUAUAUAUAUUGUAAUAUAAAGAUCUUAAGUUGAUGGAAGAAAAUAUAACUAAUAGGACUUGAACUUGAGUAUAGAGGGACUAAAUAAUUUCAUUGUUCACUAACUUCUUAAAUUGGUACUAUUUCAGUUUUCUAUAUAUAUAUAUUGUAAUAUAAAGAUCUUAAGUUGAUGGGACUCGAGCUCCUGUACCUAUGCUAAAUCCACCCGUGUUUGCCAGGAAUACAAUUAUAUACAGUAGCAGAAGCUGACGAACACAGUAGAGCAGAAGAUAGGAUGAUAAAGUCUUCAGCGUUUAUUUCUAACCGACCACUGGAUCAAAUGUUAAUCACAAAACAAUAUCAAACUCAAAUCAAUUCGAAAUCUAAAUAAGCGGCUCAGUCAAUUCACAGUUUCUAAUCCCUAGAUUCGAUAUCAUUCAAUUCUGAAGGAAGAAAAAUGAAAUGGCGAAUCUGAAUAUUGAAAUACAAUUAAUUUCGCUGAUGGAUAAUUUGUUAGAGACCGAAGCUCACCGAAAACAUUGGUAUUGAAGGCGUUCUGCAUAGCGGAAAGUUGAACCUCGGCAAUAGGUCCAAUACAUUGAACGCCAGCGUUGUUCACCAAAAUAUCGAUUCGACCGAAUUUUUCGAUGACAAGAGACGUUAAUCGCUCGACGCUUUGGUCGGACAGGACAUCGAGUUCUUGUAAGAAAAAUCUGGGAUCGUGCUCCAGGUCCGCCAUUGAGGAGCGGGACCUGCUGGUUGCGACUACCAAACAGCCCUGGUCGGCGAAGGCUCGGGCGAGAGAGUGGCCUAUGCCUCCGUCGGAACAGCCGGAGAUGACAACUACUUCUUUUCCGGCAAAUUCCAUAUCCUUUUUAUCUUCUUGAAAAGUGAACGAACCCCGCCCUCCUCCAAAUUAAACCGAUUGAUAAAUCGGAGAUUGAAGUGUUGGGUAGCUCCAAGUACAUCAAUAAGAGCAAUUGCUCACUCGUCUGCACCUAGGCCCUGAAGACUUCCACAUGGCCGGUCUUUGUGGUGCCACUUGGCAACCCCACAUGGACGCUUUCCCUUUUUUCCCUCCUUCAUUUACGGUUAUUGUAUUUCUUGGGUGAUUUUAAAAAAAAAUUGGGAUUUUGGUUUUAAAUUUAUACAUAUAUAUAUGCUCAAUCUCUUCUCUCAUUUAUACAACACUCUUUAUUUUUAAUUAAUCAAUUAAAAAGUAAUAUUUUUAAAAAAUUGAAAUUAUUCUUACCAUGUUUUUUUAUUUAUGUUGCUAAUUCAUUUUCGUUAACUUGUGUUAAAUUGUUUAUGAAUUGUUGAUAUAAGUGGUUGAAGUUUCUACGAGUUACGUGCUGGUUUAUAGGAGUUGAAUGAGUGAGCAUAUGUGAGUUUUGAUUUGAAAGUAUCUGUUGAUAUAUAAAAUCCUAAUAAAUUUUAAACCUUUACUAAAAGUAAAAAUUAGAUUCCUUUGUUGAAGUCCAUCGAUAAUAGACUAUUUUAGUGAGGAGUAUCUAUAAGUAGUAGAUAUGGUAGAAGUCUUUUGGUAACAAAGUUUAACACUUGAUUUUAUUUAAAUUGCAAUUUUGGUUUCUUAAAUUCAAACCAUAGUUGGCAUUGGCUCACCGUUGGAAGGACGAGUAAAUGUUUAACUACAACAUUUAUUGCAUCCUUUUAUUUUAUUUUUCAGUAUCCAUUGUUUGUUUUAUUUGUAAAUUGUGAAUAAAACUAUGGCAAGAGGUAAUUGAAAUGAAACCAUAGCAAAUUUUAUAGAAUUAAAAGCCGUGGCACAAUGCAUGCAUUCAUUUAUCUAAAUAAUUCAAUUACAUGAGUACAAAAAAUAAUACAUUUUUUAAACGUAAAUGUUGAUAGAUUUUCAUUAGUGGAUAGAUUCUCAUGUCACAUCAUACUCUAUAUCGUUCAUAUCAAUAAUAUAAAUUUUUCGUUGAUAGAUUUUGUUAUAUUUUCUAUUUUUUAAAAAUAUUAUUAUACAAUUGUAUACCAUCUCUAAUAUUAUUAUGCCCUCGAUCAUAUCAAUCACUUUUAUAGAUUAAAUAAGUAUACAUCAUUAUAAUAGAAAUAAAAGUUCACUUUGUAUAAAAUUGUUUUAAAUUUCAUAAUACUAUGCAUAGUUUAUAUAUAGUUUAGAGAAUGUGUUCAUGAUACAUUCACAAAUAUUUAAUUGAAAAGAAUGUUAUUAAAAAAUAUAUAAUAUUUGACAAACACUCAAAAUUAGUCUUAAAACAACAUAAUCCAAACAUAACCUAAAUGGUUUUACUAAUUGAUAAUUUGUUUGCAUUUACUUGCUCAAGAAGGCCAUAAGUUUAGAAAUCAUCCCUAGGAACAAAAAAACGAAAAGUUAGAAAUUAUCCAAAGAACUAUUUUCCAUAUUGUUUGUUGGUUCUCAAAAAAAUAUUGAUUAGGUUAUUACAUUUUGGGACAGCAUACAUCUAAACUGACAAACUAAAUUUAGUAGUUUAUUAGUCAAUAAUUGAGUAAUAUAUCAUUAUUGACCACAACAAAUAAUGGCCUACCUCUUCAAAACAAUACUUCAAAUACAAAGUUUCCCCGACAAACAAUUACAUCGAAAAUUACAUCGAACAAAUCCAUAUUUAAUCUCCAUUUUUUUCAAGACUUUAGGAAAUGACAAUGCUAUUCCCCCCAUAAAUUGACCUAUAUAGAUAUAGAUAGAUAGUAUUUAAUUCUAAACCCUCUUAUUUCUAUCUAAACACUGGUACCAACAAGAAGAUGCUGUCUCCUUAUUUCGAGAAAAAAAAAAAGAUAUUGUCGAUAUUGUCUAAAGUCUUCCCUAAACGUGAAUUGAAGAUAAAAAGACGAAAUUUAUCACUAUAAUUGAAGGGAAAUUAAUUUAGUUUCUAUUGUUUCAUAAGUUUAGAUUUAGUCUCUUUUAAGUGCAGAAAGUCUAAGAGAAAUCCUUAUAAUUGAAUGAAGCUAUCACAAAUAAUCCUUGUUAUUGAGACUAAAUUAUAGUUUUCUUAAGUUAAAGUGACCAGUUUUACAAUUUAGAAUAGGAUUAGAAUGUUGGAUCUCAUUACACCAUGGUUGUACUAAAAAAUUACAACUUUGUUUUCAAGAUAUAGGGACAAAUUCUACAAUUGAAUGCAUAAUUACUACGAAUUAAUUAACCAGUUCUCCCAUGUUCAGAAGUAUCAGAAUCAUUUUUUGACUUGUUAACGUGUUUUAAUGAACUAGAACUAUAUUUCAACAACGCUCCAAAAUUCACACCAAAAAUGGAGACGAAGAGAGAAAGAAGAAGAUAUAACCCAUAAUUUGUACCUUCCUUAGUUUGAUUUCUAGCCAGAUCACAUCACCGAAGGAAGUUCAAAAAUUUACACAAGACGUAGAAAAAGAAAAGAAAAGAAAAAAAGCACUAAAAGCUUCGACUCUGGCAUGAAAUUUCUAUUGAGAAAGUAAAAGCCAGAGGAGGCCUGUUUUCAGGAAUUAGAGGUGGCCUGAAGCCCAAAUAGGGUACCCGGAUGGACUUUUUUACUGGAUUUUCCGGCAAUUCCGCCGGCGGCGUGAUGGGAAGUUUUUGGAGGUUUGACGGAAUCUUCUCUCCUGCCAGAUCUCUCCUGCUCCAUCCUCUGCAGUUUUUCCUCUGCUUUCUUUUUCAUUACAUAAACCCUAGCGCAGCUAGCUCCCAUGGAGGACAUGGUUUAUACAGAAGAAAAGGAAAUGAAAUGAAGAAAUUUCUACAAAUGUUUCAGUGGGCUUUUAAUUUGUUCAAUCGGUGGGUAUUGAAUGGCUUAAACCCUUGUUGUAUUUAUAGUGGAAAACGUGUUUGGUGGCCUUGGUGUUUCGUUGGCCCCUAGCGUAGGGGUCAGAUAACCAUAACCCCCAUUUUCUGUACCUUAUUUGGAUUGGACAAUUUCUUUUUAUUUCAAUCAAAUUUAAAUUAAAUUAAAUUUGCAUUUUUGUUAUUUAUACAAUUUUGCGUUUAACUUAAUCAAUGUAUUGUUCAAAAGUUGAGAUCUGCAAAUUCAUUGUUUCUUCCAUUCUAAUUUACAAAGGAUAAGUUUUGUUUUUAAUUUGAUCUGAUUUUUAGUUUAAUUUUAUAGUUUUUAUUUAAUUUUCUACAAUUUAAGCUUCUUUCAAAAUGCUAGCGUAGUUUUAAUUUGAUAUGGUUUGUUUCUUUAUUAAACUUAUAUCACUUCAUUACUUAAAUAGAUAUGUCAUGUUGCAAUCAUGUGCAUAGUUUGUGAAGUAAAAGUCAUGUGAACUUGGUUAAAUUUGUUAUGAACUCAACUUAAAAUUAAACUUUUUUAUUUAUUUGUUUUGACUCCAAUAAUACACUUGCAUAGUUGAGAUGUGUUUAGAUGUGUUUUACUGUUCAACUGUAGUUAGAAGUUUGUAUCUAAAUUUAUACUACAAGACAAAAGAUUAAUAAAGCAAUUGAGAACACAAAUGGAUAAGCAGUUGACUUAAUACAACUCUAAUUAACCAUUACAAGAUCUAAAUUCUCCUAAUUUAAAUGAUACAAGCAUAACAUUGUAUAAAUUUAAAUCUACAACUAAUUUGAAUCUUUCCAUUUACAUUAUGAAAAACACACUAUAUAAAAACUACAAUCUUUCCAUUUACAUUAUGAAAAACACACUAUAUAAAAACUACAACAGUAUAAUUAAUGUUUGAAUUCAUAAACGAAUCGGUUUAUAAUUUUAAUUAGAGUUUCCUUUUAGAAUCGUCAAUAUCUACUUUAAUCAUCUUCAAACUAAUGGAUCGAUGAUUUUCAAAUGUAAUCAUACAUAGAUCAAUUAUCUUUUUAAAAAAAUCUACAAAGUUUGAUACAGUAAUAAAAAAGUUAAUUAUUAGUUUAUGAUUUCACUAAAUUCAAUGUUCAAUUUUGUUUAGUAUGAUACUUGAUAAAAGAUUAUUGUCUUUAUGGAAAAAGAUCACAUGAAUUAUGAUUAAUUAAAUGAAGCUGAAUUUCAAAUUAACCAAUUAAUUAAUCACAACAAUACAAAUGAAUUUACACUAAAUUUUAAAGAGGUAUUUAAAAAUGGGAAGAAAAAAGAGAGAGAGAGAGAGAAAAGAAUUGAGUAAUAGACGCUCAAUAAUGGAAUAUUUAAUUGGAAUCACCAAGAUGGAGAAAACGGUUGAAAGACAACUAACACCGUUUACCGGGAUGGUUUUUAAAAACACAAAGUACACAGAAACGAAUAAAACGGUGGGAAACCCCAAGCUCUGAGGAAAAUAAAAAAAGAAACAAUGGCUUGUAUUAGAUGCGGCACUCACACCACUCCAACUGUGAGGUCGCCCCACGUCAGCUAAAGAUAUUAUAGAUGGAGGCGGCCAAAGGUUCUGCUUACGUGUCUGUUGAUUAUUCGCCCGAAAUUUCCAACAUAACAAAAAAGUGCUCUUCUUUUUUCUUAAUAUAUAUUUUUUUAAAAUUAUGGAAAUUAAAUGUUGGAGAGAUAAGAGUUUGAUUGAGGUCACAAUCUGAGUCGUGGACCGUGAAGGCACCUUUUUUCUUUCUUUUUCUCUCUUUCUUUAUUUACUUUGAAUUAUUUCAUUUGUCAUUAUUACCUUGCACUUACAAAAGUACCUAAGUCUAUUUCUUCAUUAUGCACCCACUCAAAUGCGUUGUGCCGACGGGCUAAUUAACAUCACCAUUCUAGAUAUAUCAUCAAAGAUUUUCUUUAUUAUUCAAAUUCAACAUUAUCCAAGUACUGAACUUUUUCCCCCAUUUGACGUUAGAUACUGUGGGUACAAUUUGAUGUUAAAUCCCACUAUAAUAUUUCAAUUCACCAUUUGUUCAAGUGCUGAUUUUUAUAGGAGUUAGAAGGUUAUAUGGUUGAGUUAUGAAUGGAAGGAGGAGAAAGAUUAUAAUAUGAUAAUGAUUCACAAUUAUAAAGGGGAAAGUCAAAUUAAAGUAAAGAUUGAAUGGUAAUGACGAAAAUAAUAUAAUUUAAUAAUUGAAAAAAAGAAUUAAUUUAAGAAUGAAAAGGAAUUGGCAUUAUGUGAAGAUACUGAAUGAAAUGGAAGGGAUGGAUGAUGAAGGGUACGGUGGUUACGGAGUACGGAAAUUCCAUUAAGGUGAGAAGAAUCGGAGAUUGAGAUUAGGUUGUCUGCCUUUUUCUACUGUUUCGUAUCGUUUUUUGCUUUGAUGUUUGUCCUCACUUUUUAAUUCCUUUUUCUUUUUUAAUUCUUUUUUGGAAGAAAAUUCCUAAAGGUUAGGUUUAAAAAAGGUUAUCUCUUACGUCCCACUAAAACCGUCUUCGGCCGAAAGGCCCAUUGGUUUUUGUCUUUCUCGCUUGGGCCGCACCCAUUUUUCCACUUCUGACACCAAACUCUCUAAACAAAUACAGAACAAUUUUGGUGAUAAAAGUGUUUAACAUAAAUAUAAUAUGUUCGACAAAUUUUGUUAUAUUUUUAUUUUUAAAAAUGUUUUUAUAUAUGUUAAUGCUUUAACAAAAUUUGUAAAAUAAUAAUAAAAAUAUUUUCUCGAGAAAAUAAUAAAUAACAUUUUUUUAAAAGAUAAAUCAACAAAAACAAUAAGAGUAAUUUAGAUGCAUUGAAAGUGCACAAACAAUUUUGUGUAUGUCAUUAACUAAUUACUUCCUUUUGGUAGAAGAAGGACAUUUCUGUAUGUAGUUUUGGAUGCUUGGUACGCACAGGCAUACAUUUCGUUCUUCAACUCCAAAUGAUUUCGUAUAUGAAUCGUGUCUUUUAAACUAAGAGUAUAUGUGUUGUUUAUCUAAAUAGUUGAAGGUUGCUAAUGACAUUCUUCUUCCCUUCCUCAAGCAUGUAUCCUACUAAUUAAGACUUGCCAUACAUAUGUUCAUGCCUUUACAUUAGUAAAGGUCUAGGUUCCUUUCCCUGGUGAAAGACUUGAGGAAUUUUUUUUGAAAUGAUUGAUUCUCAGGUAAAGUGACAUCUAUUUUAUCUAUGUAUAUUAUCGAUUUGAAAAAUUACAAUGAUGGCCUUUCAACAAUACAAGUUAAAAUUACACACCUAAAACUUUAAACUUAAUUCAUCAUCCUCUCAAACUUACAAAGGUUAGUUGUUCGUGAUAACUAUUAAAAACAAAAAUGGGCCAUGCGUGUGUUAAUAAAAUGUUAGGCAUGAUAGUUGAUUUCAUAACAACAUAUAGUUAGUAAUGAAUGAACAAUGAAAAAAAUUGUUGUGUGUGACAGAAAACAAUUGUGAUUUUCGUAGUCUUAUUUCUUCAAUACUUUAUCAAGAAAAUGCCAAGACACGCGUGGUAACAGUUGCCAUUAAUUACCAACAUAAUAUCAAAUUGAAUUCCACCAAAGUUGUUCAAAAGUCAAAAAUUCCACAUUUUGAUUAAAUCCAUUGUUUCCGUACCCAUUUCUAAUAAUUUCGAAAGUUUAAUACGAAAGAAAUAAAUUAAUAUCAUAUUCUAUUAUCUUUUUCAAAUCUUCAAACAUUGACAUCAACAAUUUAAACCGUUCAUCCGAUUAGACAAAAAGAAGGAAUAUAAAGUGAAAUUUUGCGAUGGAGAGAUUUUGUUCGUUUGGGCGGGAGGGUUUGGAGUUAUUAUUGAUGGAAAGGGUAAUUUGAGUAAAAUUGUAAAGUUGUGGCGGGACGGAAAGAGAUGGGCUGACGUGUUGGUUGUGGACUUCGGAAUGGGUCCAAUGGAUCCAGUCUCCUUCAACUUUGUCGGCCCACAAUACUCUUAACAAUAAUAAUAAUAAUAAUAAUUUAUAUUAUUUGAUUAGAGCAGCCGUACGUCCACAGUAAAAUUAGGGUUGUUUUGUUGCUGUUUAUUAAUUCCAUCCAAUUUUACGUCUCUUUCUAAAACUUCAAUUAACACUCACUAAUUAUGUCAAUUUUAUAAUUGAUUUACUAAAACAUGAGAGAUUUCAAUGUUGAAUCAAUUAAGACUAAUUGUACUGAGAUUUGAAAGGUGACAUUAAUUAUCUAUCUGUUCUUUCCAUCUUGUAAAUGGUAAAUAUGAAAAUAAAGAAUUUAGUGGAAACAAACUUCUAUUUCACACACAUAUAUAUUUGGUAACAAAUUAAAAAAUCGAAUUAUAAUAUAAACAAGAUGUAUCGUAAAAAAUAACAAAGCGACCAAAUUGUACAAAAUCAAGUGUAGUAAGUUUUUGUCGUUUCCUUGUGCUAUGGAUUGUGAAUAGUUUAUUUAUUUUGUAAUCAUUUAAAUAAUGGUGUUUAGAUGCAUUUAUACUAUAUUUAUAAAUAAAUAAAUAAGUUAUAAUUGUGAGAAUUGUCAAAAAUAGCAAAUUUGACAAAAUAUUUACAACAUAUAACAAAAUUUCAAAUUCUACUAAUAAUAAACAUUAAUAGACACUGAUAUGAUUCUAUUAGUGAUAUUGAUAAACAAUUAUAUAAAUUUUUAUCUUGGAUAUAAUCCAAAAUUUUGCUAUAUCUUAUUAAUAUUUUGAUAUUUAAAAAAGUGACUGUCAUAGUUACUCAAUAAAUAUUGAUAUUUAUAAAUAAUAAUGUAUUAUUAAUUUAUUUACCAGCCACGUUAAGUAAUUUUUGUAAUAUCAUAUAAUUUAUAAUACAUGGUAUUUAUAUUUUAAUUGAAAAGAAUAUAUAUUGAGUUUAUAAAGUUCAAAAUUUAAAAUCAUGAUAGAACAAAAUUAUUAUUUGUAGAAACAAAUAUCAACAAAAUGUCAAUAAUUUAAAGAUUAAUGGGGGGUGGUGGUGGUGGUCUGGUUUUGGUAUAUUGUUUAGAAAAAGCCAUUUAUGGGGAAAAUUAAUUGUUAGAAAACAUGGGCUUAUUAGGAAAUAUUUCAACUCUCUUUCUUCCUUCUCAUUUCCCUUAUAUGUAGAGAUGCUUUUUUAUUACACCAACUUUGUGUAUUUGGAUAUAUUUGUUAAUGUAUUAAUUAUUCCAAUCAUUAACAGACAAGUUAAUAGAUAUAUAAAACCAUUCUUGUAUAUAAUAAAAAUGGCUAUAGAGUUUGAAGCAGCCUGAAAAACAUCUCAAGUUUGUAGAAAUUAAAAAAAAGAAAGAAGAAUAAAAACGAUAUUCAUAAUUUCAUAUUAAGAAAAGAUAAUUAAGUAUGGAUGGUCUAUGAGUUGGCCAAUCCAACAAGAGAUAAAUAAAUAAACAAAGGAGAGGCAAAGGGAUUGAUUUUCUUGGAAAUUGGGUAAGUUCAAAACCAACUCAUUCUUUUCCCCAAUCAAUUAUUAUUUAACGUCCCAAUUUCCAAGUUGAUCCAAACUCAAAACACAAAACCAUUAUCAUAUUUAUUAUUUUUGUUCUAAAGUUUAGAGUGUGUGUGUGUGUGACAGUAUAUGAACUGUAUAUUCAUAUCUUCAAAUUUGUAUUCAUAUAUGUUUUAUUUGUGCAGUUUUUUGCUUUCUUUAAUUUGUCAAUUUCACGACACCUUUAGGUUAAGAAAUCAAUGCGUCACACAAACCAAACUAAAAGAAAAGAAAAGAAAAAACUUAUCUUUGAAACAGUCAAAAUAGAAGAUUGAAAUUAUAACAAUAUAGUUUGAUUUAAUUGUCCACUUGAAUGAGAUUAAUUAAGACAUCAUAUUGCAUCCUCAUCUACGUCAACCAAUUAAAGCCCACGUCUUAAAUCGACUAAGAACAUUAAUGAAUUUAAACCAUGAUUAUUGUUUGGAAGAAAACUUCUUAGAAAUUUUUGUAUUGAUAUCUUUUGGAAAGUUAAACACAUAUUGGAAUCUUGUUUUAAUUAUUGUAUAGGAUGAUGUUCAACUUAGGUAUGAACUUUAUCUAAUGUAGUUUAAAGAAUAUGAAAUCCAUAUUUUAAUCAAAUGUGUGUGUGAUCUUAUCCAUAUUUAUAUAAAUAAAAUAAAUGGUCAACUAUAUUGAUCAUUUUUUUUUAAAUUACACAAAUUAAUAAAUAGUUGCAAACAUUGAAACACAUAUCGAAACGUUUUGUAAAUUUAAGAUAUUCUUUAGUAUAAAUCAUACCAUAUAAUGAGAUCGACGUUAUUUAUAAUUUCUUUCAGAUAUAUAUCUAAGAUUACUGUUACAUGUACUUCCAAAAGGAAAAAAAUAAACAACCGUAUUAAUAUUUUGAUAAACUAUUAUAUUGUCUUAACUAGUAGAAAACCAAAAAAAUUUAAUGAGUAUGUAAAAGUAAGAGGUCUAUUGAUCGUAGCAUAUAUGGUUUAUCGUUAAGUUUUAAUUACAAAGUUUGAUAUAAUUUCUUAUAUUAGUUUUUCUACCAAAAAAGAUAGAGAAUUGAUGAACUCAAAGGCUUUGCAGAGUAAUUGGAACGAAAUUAGAGGUUGGAAUUUAAGUAUGACAUCAAAAUGAAUACAUUAAAACCCAUUUUGAGCUUAUAAUCAAUUAAUCUAUGUUCAUAUAUAUAUAUAUACAGAGAGAGAGAGAGAGAGAGAGGAGAGGAGAGAA